AGUGCAAUGCUUUAUUGCACUUCCGUCCGACCAUUCCCUGCAACCAUCAACCUGCUCAUUUGUAGCAGUAAACACAUUUCGUUCAGUAGAUGCAAUUGAUAUGGCGACAUCGCGAACUACAUCAUGCAUAGAAAACAACUCUUUCUUCUGGCUUAUAUGGUCAAGCAACAUACAAGAAGCUUUGAGUGUGCGCACCAAUGUAUGUACUCGAUUUCGUGCUACUUCAAUCUUAUUCACACCUUGAAAUAAACCCAAUCCCAUACCACACAUUAACAAGUCUUCAAUAGAUGCUAUGGCUGUAUAUCCUAUUAGCAAAAAGAUGUUCUUGAGAUCAUCCCUUCCUAGUUUAUUGUAGCUCAACUCGAUAGCUUUAAAUGCGGCUGGCUGUACAUCCUUAAAAUUCGAUGAAGAAGGCCUUCUUAGCUGUUCCAAUGCAUCCUUCCAUUCACGUAUGCUCUUGUUCCUUAAUGCCCUUGCAACCGUCACAAUGGAAACUGGUAGACCUGCACAUUCCUUUGCCACAUCCCUUGCUACCUCUUUCAAUUCAUUACCUUCAACAUAAUCACCUGCCAUCUUCGUGAAUAGACUCCAAGCUUCAUCUUCUUUUAAAAAUCCAACUGGGAAAUUUUUUCGAGACUCCAUCUCUCCAGACAAUACUUCUUCACUCCUUGCCGUGAACAGCACUUUACAUCCCAUGUGAUCAUCUCCGUGAGGAAUUCCGACAUCCAACAAAUCAAGAUUUUCCCAAAUAUUAUCCAAGAUUACAAGGAUCCUCUUCUCUUUCUUCAGUCGAUCAUAGAGUCUUCUUGCCCUACCCGAUUCACUCUCCUCAUCAAAUUUUAGACCUAGUUUAUCCGCGAUUUCUCCUUGAAGCUUUCUUACGUCUCGACUCUCAGACACCUCAGAAAAAACCACCUGAUCGAAAAGCUUGUCACUCUCUGCUUUUCUAGCAACUUCUUUAGCUAGCGUCGUCUUUCCGAUUCCGCCCAUUCCAUAAAUCAAAAGCAUGUUGACAUUGGGAUUUUUUAAUGCAUCAAUUAUUUCAUUCAGAAUGGACGUUCUUGAUUCAAAGGCCUCGAAGUCUUUGUUAGGCAUAAGCAAGGUAUCCUCCGGAAUGAUGCUGUAGGAAAUACUAUUAACUGGUCUAGCGUCCAGGACUUUGACAACAGCCUCCUUCUGCCUCUCUGCUUCCUUGCUAAGUCGAGGGCGGGUCUUCAAAUUAGGACAUAACCCCUUGAAACAACGCUUAUUUGCAGUGGCUUCAUCUUCUGUAAAUUUAUCUGCCUCUUUAAUGACACUGUUGGCCGUUGCAAGCCAAUUCUCAACGUUCUCUUCAAUCUCUUCUCCUUUUCUUUUAGCCUCAUCAACCUGGUGCUCUGUAUUCACCCUCUCAGACUUUAGUUUCACAACUUCAGUGUUGAGAUUCUGUAAGUUGCUCGUGUACUUACUCUCACGCAAAUAGCUAAUUUGGCGAUAUGCGGGAGGAGCCAAGCACUUUGCAACUUCUAAAGCAAUAGUAAGAAUGAUUUCAGCCAUCUUCAGUCCUUUGUCCUUGUCUCUCUAUCUCUCUUUUUCUGAAUUUUGGAAAAACAAUUCAACAAGUGACCACAACAAGUUGGAACAAAAUAAAAAGGAAAAAAAUACAAAGAGUGGAUGGAGAAUAAAACAGAGACAGCGGCACAGCUAGACACAACUAGAUAGAGAACAGAGGAAAACCAAAUAACAAGACUUAAGAUUACAACAAACAGAGGCCAAGUAUUGUUGAGAUCAGAAGAUGGAAAAUUCCAAAGAGUUGAUGGCAGAUGCUGAAUAACAGAACAACAAUGAACACAAUAAACAGAAGCAAAGUGUGUUUGUGAUCGACAGACGGAAGUAAGGAAAGCGGUUGUUGAUUGAAAAUGAAUGAAUGCAAAGAAAGACUGAUGUUAAAAAUUGAUGUCAAUAGCGAAGGAAUAAUUGAACUUUCGCUGAAUUAUUGUUUGUGGCUUCUUUUACUGUUUAUUUGUGGGUCAUGUCUUUUGGAACUAAUCUUGUCCAAAAAAUGUUGUUUAUUUGUGGGUCAUGUUAUUCAGCAUCUGCCAUCAACUCUUUUGUUUAUUUAUUCAAAAAAUAAAUUGUGAUUAUUUGUUAAUGUAUGCGAUUACUUGUGAUGGUAAACAAAGUAGAUAUGGUAUAUUUUGAAGUUAAAUUAAAAAAAAAAAAACAGAGCUUUUACCAUUACUUGCCUUAUCAUCUUUUAAAUUAGAGUUAUUAUUCUUUUAUUUUUCAAGUUGCCAAUUCAUCCGCAUUCUCUUUUAUUGAAUUUAAAGAUCAAUGAUUAUAAAUUUGUGUGAAAAUUUUAAGUCAAAACUUUAAAUUAAAAUAAUCUUUAAGUUAUAGGGAAAUAAUAACUUAGUAUAACAAAUAUUAUAUCCUAUACUUUAUUGCUACAAAAUUACGAAACCUUAUAGUUUCAAAAACAAAAAUUACGAAACCUUAUAUUAUAUUAUGUUUCCAUAUUUCUCCUUUAUAGUGAAGACUCAUACUUCUUCUCUAAUAAAUGCUAAAGUAUUGGCUUAAAUUUUUUAACCAGCAUAGUAGACCCUUAAGCUAUAUAUACUAUAAUGUCCCUCUUCUCUCACAGAUUAAACCAAUCUGAUCUCAGAGUGAGUUGAUAUCAUGACUUCGCAUCAUUCGUGAUCAAAGGAGUAUCAUUACUAACUAAUAUAGGCUCCAUCAAUAGGCAUGAUAAUAAUUUUUUUUUUUUAUCUACAAACACUGUUUUUCAAAAUAUUAUAUCUUAAGACUUAACUAAAUAUUUUUUAACUAUGUAGAUAUAGUUUGUUUGAUCUCUUUUAAAUAGUGGAGAUUACAAACAAACAUAUGUGAAUUAGUAGUGAUGUUGAGUUCAAAAGCUUGAAGUUAAAAAAAUUAAGGGUUUCUUGAUCUAGAGAAAUUUCAAAUGAGUGAAGCGUCCUCGAAAUCGGAAGACGAAAAUAAGGAAAGGGUAAGGGUGUAUUUUCAAAGUGAUUCUAUUAGGAGAUCUUUGAAGUAGGGGUGGGCAAGUCGGGUUUUGGUUCGGGUUGUUCAAAUUUCGGUUUGGGUUUUAACCCAAUCGGGUUUGAGAAUUAAACUCAAUCGGGUUGAAAACGCCAACCCAAACUAAACCGAACCGAAUUUAAUUCAGUUCGGGUUCAUAAUUCGGAUCGGACUGGGUUGAUAAUUCAUGUUAAAAUUUCGGUUCGGGUUAAUUUGGGUUAGAAUAAUUCAAUCUAAAAUUUUGGGUUAGUUCGGUUUAAAACGGGUUGGAACUAUUUAAUCCAAAAAUUCUACCAACAAUCACUUAAAAUCUAAAAAUCUCAAUUCCAAAUAUCCUUAACAACAAAUUUCAACUACAAAGUACAAACCAUCCUUUACAACAUUUCAACAAUAACAAUAGCAAUAAUAACAACAACAACAAUAAUAAUAAUAAUACCAACAACUAUGAAUCAACAAUUCAACAUAGUGCCAUAUUCUAAAUUUAAAAAAACACACAAAUUAUUUAAUUAAUUAAUUAAUUAACAAUCUCCAAUUUAAUUUAUAAUAACAACAAAAAUCCUCUCAAUUUAAUUAAUAACAGUCUCCAAUUGUUUAAUUAUCAGUCAACAGCAACAAACCCAAUCUAAUUUAAUCAUAACAAUCUCCAAUUGUUCAAUUAUCAGUUAACAGCAACAAACCCUCCCCAAUUUGUCACGAACAGCCUCUAAUUGUUUAAUUAUCAGUCAACAACAACAAACACACUCCAAAUAAUUGAACAAUUAUUAAUUAAUUAAUUAAAAAUAUCCAAUUUAAUUAAUAACAACACCCAGGAGCAAGUCAGCAAUAAACCCACUACAAAAUCCAAAUAUCAGUGUAAACUAAGUGUCAAACCUUGAUCGGCGGGAAGCUACAGCGUCGGCAAAGCGUGACCGUGUGGGGCUGAGUGAGACCGUCGACCGAGGGUGUGAGAAGGGAGAAGAGGGAGCCGGGAGGUAACAUGGUGUGUGUGAGUUUAUAUAUAUAUAUAAUUUUUAAAAGCCAAAACUUAAAAAAAAAAAAAUUUAACCCAACCCAAACGCCCACCUCAGAUUACUUCCGUGUUAAGAGCUGAAUCCCACACUCUUGAGCCUUUGUCGUCCUAGUCAACUAUCAAAACAAAUCAUUAUUGAAUGUGAACAGACUUAUUGAUCACCCAAUUUUCAAACUUGUCAUCCUUAUUGAAUCUGCAUUCCCUUUUAAAAAUUUUUAAAAAAAGUACAAAUAAUGAAACAAAGUUUUGUUCCUUCAACAGUUGAUAGAGUUACGCGGCUUCAACUUGCAAGUGCUGUCGGCAUUUUCAAACUUGCAAUACCCUUCAACUUGCUUUCCAAGAUAGCUAUAAUUAAUAAUGACAACAAUCUCCCUUAUAGUGACUAGUGAGCAACUUGUUUCGUGAAAUUAACGGCAUCUUCUCUCACAUUUAAAAAAAAAAAUUGAAUUAUAAAACCCACCAAAACUAUAAAAGAAUUGUUAGUUUUUCUUCAUUAAAAUUAAUAGAUUGCUCCUCAUAUUGAAAAAUCAAAAUUCAGAAUAAGAAUGAUUGAUACUCUUUAUUUACUAAAAUGAAAAUAAAAUAUAUGAAGCCUACAUAUUUUUGAAAUAAAAAAAAAGAACUUUAUUUUCCAUGGGGAGUGUUGGGAAUCAAGUUCUCAUUAUUUAAAGUCUCAAUUGUACCUCACCAAAAUUUCAUAAUUUCACUUUUAUUCUCAAUUAAAAUAUUAUUAUAGUUAUUAUUCUUAUUUUUAUAGUUGUUGUUGUUGAUGAUGAUGAUAAUGAUGAUGAUGAUGAUACAAGAUAAUAAAAUUAAUGAUAAUUAAACUAAUUUGAAUUCAGAGUGAGUGAGUACCAUGACUUCGCAUCAUUUGAUAUCAAAGGAGCAUCAUUACUAACUAAUAUAGGCUCAAUCAAAUUCAUCAUGCGAAGUAUAUUAUCGGCUGUAGGUAUGGAAAUAAAUUUUGUACCCACAAACACUAUUUUUCAAAAUAUUUUAAGACUUGACUUAGCAUUUUUUAACCAUAUAUGUAUAGGUUGUUUGACCUAUUUUAAAUAGCGGAGAUUACAACAAAUGAACAGAUGUGGAUUAGCAGAGUUGUUGAGUUCAGAAGAUUGAAGUUAACAAAGGGUUUCUUGAUCUAGAGAAAAUUCGAAAGAGCGAAGUGUCUUCGAGAUCAAAAGACGAAAUAAGGAAAGGGUAAGGUUAUACUUUCAAAAUGAAUCUGUUGAGAGAUCUUUGAAAAUUACUUCCGUUAAGAGCUGGAUCCCACACUUGAGUCUUCGUCGUCUUAGUCAGUCAGCUGCAAAAUCAGUCAGCUAUAAAGACAAAUAAUUAAUUUUGAGUGUGAAAGGACACAAUUGAUCACCAAAUUUUCAAACUCGUGAUCCUUAUUGAAUCUGCAUUCCCAUUUGAAAAACAAUAAAAGAUUAACAUUAAUUUAACUUCAUCUAGAUUCCCAUUUGAAUCUGCAUUCCCAUUCCCUUGUUCUCUGGGAAUGCACAUAAUCAAACAAAAUCCUAUCCGCAUUUUCAAACUCAUGACCCUUCAAGCUUUCUAUGACAACUAUGAUGAAUAAUUACAACAAUGCUACCUAAUAGUGAGCAACUUGUUUGAUGAUCUCAGAGUAAGUUUGCUUCAAAGGAGUAUCCUUACUAACUAAUAUAGGCUCGAUCAAUAGGGAUGACAAUAACUUUUUUAUCUACGAACAUUAUUUUUUCAAAAUAUUAUAUCUUUAGACUUAACUAAAUAUUUUUUUAACCAUAUAUGUAUAGUUCGUUUAAAUAGUGGAGAUUACAACAAAACAGAUGCGAAUUAGUAGUGAUGUUGAGUUCUAGAUCAAGACGAAAAUAAAGAAAGGGUAAGAUGUAUUUUCAAAGUGAUUCUAUUGAAAUAUCUUUGAAGAUUACUUUCGUUAAGAAGUGGAUUCCACACUCUUGAGUCUUUGUCGUCCCAGUCAACUAUAAAGACGCAUUAUUAUUGAGUGUGAACAUUCGAACUUAUAGAUCACCAAAUUUUCAAACUUGUGAUCUUCGUUCAAUCUGCAAUCCCUUUCGAAAAACAAAAAAGGAAAACUGCAAAUAAUGAAACAAAAUUAUGUUCCUUAAUAGACUUACGCGGCUUGAACUUGCAAGUGCUGUCGGCAUUUUCAAACUUGUAAGACCCUUCAACUUGCUUUCCAAGAUAGCUAUAAUUAAUAAUGACAACCGAAGACGGCUACGUUUGCGGUACAAAAGUUGCACCAUAUUAGACGUUCUUUUUUGUUCUUAUCCGAAGUAACCGUUGGAUUCAAAGGAAAGUGAUCAGACAUUCAAUAGCUUCACACGUGGACAUUAUAGGAUACCGGUCAAAUCGGUUAGUGCUCCUCCACAUCAAACUCACAAGCAUGGCUAUCAUCGUAUCAGCUUGGAAACUUGUUACUAGUGACGAAGAGCAACAGGGUCCGCUCCUCUAGAGUCGGUUAGUGCUCAAUAAUGUUACAGGUUUUAUAAUCUAUGUAACUGGUACGAUCGCUGUCUCAAGUGGUAAACUUUUGAGGCACAAAUUUAGAACGAAAAUUAUCUUAAAAGUGUAAAGAGUAAAGUACUAUUCUGAUUAAUUUAAAAAAAAUUAUUUUAUCUUAAUCUUUAAUGCAACAUAGCUUUUUUUUUUUUUUUCUUAGCAACAAAGCAUUGUUCCAAAUAAUUAUUAUUGGAUUCAAAUAAUGUUCUAGGCAUUUUUUCUUCUAGUCGUCUUAAACUUUUAAUGAUUUAUUGGCAUGUGUCAAUCAUUAAUGAAAUUAAAUAACUAAGACUUUGUUUUAAUUAACGUUUACAUAAAUAGACAUCAAAACUCACGUGUAAUUCUUAUCAAUUUUUUUCCUGCAAAUUCUUUUCCUCUCAACUAUUCAUAUUUUGACAUUAAUUUCCAGCAAAUUAUUAAAAAAAACGAAGCGUAAAAUGGAGAAAAGUGAUUGACAACAAGGUUUGCAUCUUAAUUUCAAAACUUUCCUUUCUUUGCUAUUUUUGUGGGUUCUACAAUUGUUGUUUUCACUCUCAGCUGCAGUUCAAUGAACUCUAUUAAUAACCAUGAAGCUUAAUGUAUCAAUUCCAAUACGACAAGUCCUUCUACGCAUGUUACAACACUUUUUGGUCAUUAUAGGUUGCAAAUGUUCCGUAAUGUACUCAUUCAUAUAACGGAAACGCUAUUAUCAAUAAUGAAAGUUGACUAAGUUUGUAAAUUCUAUUUAACGAAAAAGUAACAUAAAUUUAGUUGAACAAGAGGUAAUCAAUAUGUAAUCUAUGAAACUAGGGUGUGACUAAGUUACAUAGUAAUGUAACUUACAUGAACACAAAAAUAAUUAGUUUUUAAACUACAAGUAGCUUUGGAACAGCUCUUAAAUUGAAUGAUGCACAUCACUAUUGUUUCAUGUGAAUGAUGCAAUUGGAUUAGCCAAUACAUACCGUCAUCCCCGGGAGAUGCUAUGGCAAUAGCUUACUCUACCGUGCCAAUGUCAUUAGUAUUAAUCUGUUGAACCUAAGACCAAAUCUAAGCUGAUCUAGAUUCCCCAAGAUCGCACACCACACAGUGAUUAAUGAAUCAAGAAUAAUAAACCAUCAAAGAAUCGCAAACUUACAUGUCGGGUUACAUGUAAUAAAUGUUUUAAUUAUUAGAUGAUUCAUAAUGUUAGACCACUUUUUGUAUGUUUUGUAAUCUACGUUUGAUAAUUUAAUUAGCUGAUAAACACUUGAAUAAUAUUAUUUCAUUAACUAUGUCAUUGAUCCCAAGGAAAAAAAAAACCCAAUUUGGGAUGUUAUACAUUACUUUUUAAUUACUUCCCAUUUUAGAUUAAUAUUUAUCACAUAUAUUCUUAGUAACUUGUAACCCUUUUUGCUAAGGGUGAAAUGUGUUUGUACCCCUUCUAUUUCUGAGAUUGUCCUUACAAUAAGGAUGCCGGCCCCAAUGUCAAAAACUGCUAUCUCUAGGUGUAAAUUCCUUAUAAAAUUCUUUUUUAAUUGAAAUUACUUAAAUAAUUGAAGAUAAAUUAAUUUUUUAUUUCAUUCAAAUAAAAAAAAAUCAAUUAAACACUUAAAUAAGCUAUCCUUUUAAUUUUUUUUUUACACCCAUCCAGUUUCAUAAUUUAUAUUUAUAGUUUAAAUUUUAAUGGAAAAUAUUUUUUUGAAAAAUUUUAAGAAUUAAGAAUUAUGGGGAUAAAAAUUAUGUAAUAAGAACAAAAUAAAUUAAAAUUUUAAAAUUUGCAUGUAUUAUAAACAAAAACUUGAAAGAAAUACUCUUUUCAGGGUGAGAUUUAAUCAGAAAAAGAUUAAUUUUCAUUUAUGGAUCAGUAUUUUAUAAAUUAAACAGAGGUAUUUUAAGAAAUAGAAUUCAAAAGGCAUGGGAAAGAAAUACUCUUUUCAGUAAUUAUAAUGCUGUGGAGCUUGUCGGAGAUUCCCUGCCCAUUUGUAGCUUAGACUCCUGGGGUUUUGUUCAUGUCUUGUCUGUAUCCCAAUUUCUCAUGCAGCAGAUGUACAUAUGAUGAGAUGAAAACAACAGCAAAAAUUGCUGUCUCAUAAGAGAAAUAGUCAUACAUAGUUGGUUAGGCCUCCUGUCCAUUAACUUAAUAAUGAAUUUUAUGAAAAUUGAUUAUCUCAUUGGAAUUACAUAGAUAUUGGAAAACAUUACUCCAGCCCCACCAUCCCAACCAUUUACUUAGUUCAUCAGUAAAAGCUGGAUUUUCCAUUUGUUCUUGAGAUUCAAAUUAAGGCAACAAGUUGCUCAUUCUAUAUUAUCUAUGUAAUCCUGUAAAAGUGAAGGGCGUUUAGAUGUGGAAAAACCUUACUCCUGCCGCAACACCUCAAACAGAUUGUGAUCAGACAAGACUCAGUUCAUCAUUAGUAGUAGUUGGAGCUUCCAUUUGUUCUAGAGAUUUAAAGGCAGCAAGCUGCUUCCUCAGUGCUACUAAUUCUUCCCCGGCAUUGUAUAUGUAGCCUGAGGCUUGUCUACCAGACAAAGUUGCUCCUUCCAUACUAUCUAUGUAAUCCAGUGAGAGUGAAACCAUUUAGAAGACGUAUCUCUUUCUUUCCAAUAUUUAGAAUGAAACAAUUAUAUACAGUUACCUGUUUUGUAUAUGAGCCGGCGAGGAAGAAGUUCUUCACUGGUGUCUUUUGAUCGCGUCUGAAGGGGUCUUUACCAGGUCCCUCACCGCACAAAGAUUGCCCGAUUUUGACGAAAGAUGACCAAAUAACUUCUAAACCUUGGGAUGAUAGAAAUAGAGCUAAAACCUAAUAAAAGGAACCGUGAAUGGAUAGUAUGGACUCAUGUAUAUUAUCCAGAAAGUUGCAUGACCUUUUUUGGUACUCAGGUCACUAAAAAAUGUGAGAUAAACAUCUAGGAUAAGAAAAGCAAAAAAGCAUAACCUAAUACAUAUUAUAUGAAUUGAAGGUGUCACUGAACGCUACCAACCUGCUUUGCCACUCUCCUUAUAAUUUCAUCAUUUGGUAAGGGCAUAUAAGGAUCUCCAGGUGUCAAAAUGCAUCUGAAAUAUAAUAUGGCUAUAGUAAGUAACACAGAAUACAAAGACACUUAGCAAAAGGAAGUCAAUCAGAUUCCAUGCACAAAAAAUAACUAAUAAUGACGAGGAUAAGAAAUUUGUCUUGCUGGAGCAACGAACCUUGCCCUUCUCUGUAGUAGUCUUCUGGUGAAGUGAGUGCUAGAUCUGCAAAGCAAGAUAAAUCUGCAUCUGGAGUAUAUGAAAGGUUAUCUAACCCCACAGCUUGCCUCAAUUGUCUACAUGUUCAAAACAAGGAUCUGUUAAAAAAUGGAAAUUUCUUCAAUGCAUUAGUAAAGGGAAGUGAAGUGAAAGCUGAUUUCUUAGGCCUUCACAGAGCAUCAUGUGUUUGAAUUCCGGUAACCUCACAAAAAAUUAGAGCAUCACCUUGACCGUUCUAGGUCUUGCAACUCAGUAACCCAACCAUUGCAUCUAAGCUGCACUGUGACAACGGGAACUCCAACUAGCUCAUAAAUAUUGUUGAAAAUUUUCAUUUCCCUCCACGAUGAUGGAGGCAAUCUUUUAAUUCCAGGGACAUCACAUGCAGCCAUUAAAUAAGAAGUUGAAUAAAGAAAAACCGUUCAACUAAAUGAUUCAGGAGUUAAAAAAAAAAUGUAGAAGUAGAAAUAAAUAACGAAGAUUUAACCAUGAACCUGCAACAUAUGCAUCAGCUUGCACAACCUUCUUGUCAGUGGCCUGAAAUAGAAUGAGAAAUUGAAAGACAGUAAGCAUUAAAGAAUAAACUCAAAGAAGCUGCUUCUAACAGAUGAUAUAAACAAUAAAUUUACAAAUGUCAGAUCAUUGCAUUAGCUCUAUGCCUCCAUCAGAGGGAAUAUUAAUAGAUGCAUAAAAAAAUAAUUAGAGCCACAUGUUAAACAAUUUACCUUAGACGUAGCAAGUGCUUUGACAAAUUUUUCCCCGUUAGCAGAUUUAUCAUAAAGUAUCUCUCUGCAUCCCCACCUAAGAUGGAACCUGUUCUCACAAGAACAGAUCCCAAGGUUGGGAAAAUCAGUUCAUCAUAGGAGAAAACAAAGAAGAUUAACAAAUCACUACAAUGGUGUGAACCCGUAAAUACAAACGUACCUGCCCCCUUUAUCUGUGAUAUAUUUUCUUAUGGGCCCACUCAAAUAAACAUCCGGAGAACCCUUGAGCAUCAGCAAUAGGGAAGCCUCGGUCUUAGUCGCAAACAGUGCAAAUAUAGUGAGCAUACAACGAGCACUGAUGUUAUCACAAUCAAUAAACCCAAGGGCAUACGCAACAGGAUCCCACAUUCUUUGGAACCCUUGGACAAAAACCAAUCAGAGAAGCUUAUCUGUAAGAAGAAAUGAAGUUUUAGGUAAAAUGACAAUCUGUAAGAACAGGGAUUGAAAUUCAACAAACAAGAAAAUAUGAUGUCAUUCUUACACUAUCCAAAUCUCAUAUGUCCUUCAAGGCUCCAUCAGGAUCAACAAGUGCCUUUACAACAGCACUCAGAGCAAGAGCAAGAGCAUUUCUUGCUUUAUCAUAAGUCUGCACUUGAGCAAUUUAUGAGGCAAAGUACAUCAAAAGAGAAUCCAAAAGAGGCAAGAAGCUUCAACAUGAAAAAAGGAGUACUGCCUCAUCAUACUGCUUUGCAAUCACAGUGCAAAAGAUAACAUCAACAAAAUCAAAAUCUAGCAUAAAUCCAUAUGCACUACCUUAAGCUGAUUUGUAGACAAAAGAAAAAUCUAGCAUAAAUCCAUAUGCACUACCUUAAGCUGAUUUGUAGACAAAAGACCCGUUUGGGGCAGCUGCGCGGUUGCAGCGCAGCCCAAACGGGUCCAAUCAGAAACCCGAAAUCAAGUUCUGGAGUUGAAAAUCAAAAUCAUGAACCAAAUCAGAGUUAUUAUUGAAUUAGACAAUCCAUAAACCAAUAGAAGGUAAAACAAAAAGGAAUAAAAAUUCUUCUAAAUUCUUUCACCAUCAACAAAAUCAGUAAAACACAUACUAAUUCAAAAUGACAUAAAGUUUGUGAAUUGAAAUAAUGCCAACUCCUAAGAAAAAUUAUGACUGCUGAUAUUUUUUCCGAAAUGCUGAUAAAAGCUUCUGCUAUUUACUUUGAAAAAAUAGAGGUUAGAAGCCAAUUUACUUGAAAUUUUGAGUUUAGGCAAGAGGAUGAAUGGCAAAAGUGAAACAAUUUAGGGAAAAAUGUACUUCAGAGGCCAAUGAAAGCAUUCAGAAGAUUGAAAUCUAAAUAAGCAAAACCCCGUGGCCUUGAUCCAACAAAUCCACUGCUGUUGACAUGCCUGCAAGCCCAGCUCCAAUAAUAGCCACUUUCAGCUUUGGUCCUCUAUAAUGUUCCGGUUCUGGUAGAAACAAACCCUUGGGAGCUGCCAAGUAUACCAUCCAAUUAUCCACAGCGAUAAUGGAAAUAUAUGUGUUUAAAGGUACUAAAUUCCUAAACAUGAAAUGUAUCCAAAGAGAGACACAAAGCAGAAUUGUGAAACCCAAUAAAUUUUAAGAAUACAAAAUACUCGGUCUGUUCCUCAAUUCCUUUAAUAAAAUUUCCACUAGAGGCUCCGGAAGCCACUCAAUAACACUCCAAAGCCAGAUUUUAAACGUUCUCUUUAUCUUUAACUCCAAUCCAUAAACAAUUCUGCCACAAAUUCAAUUCAAAAUUGUUCAAGUGCACCGCCACUUCUCCAUCAAUUCCCUCAAAAAUUCAUAAUUGGCAAACACUACAAACCAAAAAGAGCUUCCAGCAAUAAACGCAUAAAAAUCCACCAAGCAACACAAAACAAAAUACCCAGAAACCAGAAAAGCCAAAAGAUCAAUGCUUAGCAAACAAGCCAAUCAAAUAAAACAAAAAGAAGAGAAAUUUACCAUUAACGCUCAUAUCAGAAACAUUAGUGUCCAAAGAAGCCCGUACACCGAAUCUUGGAUCCUUCACUUGAACCCGAGACCAUGUAACGCCAGUAACUGAAGUUGCAGGAAACAGAACUGAAGAACCCAUAUUGCAAAUCCUGAGCUGAAAUCAAAGAAAUUCAAUUGGAACUCAAUUCAGCUCAACCGAGCGGAGCUCUCUUUUGCUUCAAUAACAAAGUGUUUUUCUUUCAUAUCAACAAAGAUUUGUCAACAUCAACAAAAUUUAACUAAGAAACUAAAAAUAAUGCGGUAUCUUUGAGUUUAAGAAUCUAACAAGAUGCUAAGGAAGAGAGUUUUGUCAGGGAACUGUUUCGGAGAGGUUGGCCAAGUGCAUUUUUGUUUUUUUCUUGUUUUGCCCUUUUCAUUAAUGCACAACAUUAGUCCACGUGAAGAGCACAAAAUGCUGGUGGCUUUGUCACUAACGAUAAUGGAUGGAGUGUCCAAAGCAACCAACUAAAUUUUAAAGAGAGGGAAUGAUAAGUAAUAUCUUAAUGGGGUGAUUAAUUAAUUUAUUAUCAAGCAAUUGUAUUUAUUUAUUUAAAAGAUAUCCUUAUCUUUGUACAAGGUUUGAGGAAAGACGACGAUGUUGUGUUGUCACAUAUUUUUACGUUUCUCCAUAAUUCACUGCAACAUCAACUGGGCCACCACCUCUUGCCUCUCCCGGUUCCCCUCAAUUUUCGUAUUCAAUGUCCACCGUUGAUUGUACAUUUAUUGAAAUUCUGUGGUUAUUGUUUUUUUGCAUACAUUUAAUUCCACACGGUCUAUGAAUAGAGCAGGUGCAUCGUAGUUGUGGUUAGGGAAGGCAAGUAUCCAAUUAUGGAUGGAUAAUAUCCAUCUAAAUACAAAUCUAUAAUUAUCCAUGAUGGAUAUAUUCAUAUUCAUAACCAGUAUUUAAUAUUGGACAUGGAUAUGGAUUUUAUCCAUAAAGAUAUGGAUAUCCAUGGAUAUCAUGAAUAUUUUAUUUUUAUUAUAUAAAAAAUAAAAAAAAAAUAAAAAAAAAUAGUUAAAAUCAGUAUUAGAUUUUAAUAUCAAAUAAAAAAUAAUAAACAUAACAAAUAUCAAAACUAUGAAUUAAAAAAAAUUAUAAUAUGAAAUUACAAAUUAAUUUCAAAUUAAAUACAAAAAGUUCAUUCUUCUAACGCAUCAUUAAUCUCCAAUCUUCUAACACAUCAUUAAUCUCCAAAAAGAUCAUCAUCAUUAAUCUGCAAAUUCAAGCAAAACACAGAUAAUAUUAAAUGCACAAUGAGCCAAAUGAACAUAAAUGCAGAAAUAUUAUGUUUUUGUCAAUAGCAUAAAUGCAGACAUAUGAUCACAGCAUAAAUACUAAAGCAUUAUUUUUCCUAGUAUCUUUUUGAUAAGAAAGGUUUCUUUCAUAUCAAAUCUACCAUGCUUCUGGAGGCUGAAGCAGUCCUUUUUGGCUUUCAAGUUGCCCAACAAGUAGAAUAUUUGCCCAUGAUUAUUGAAUCGGAUUCAACAAAAGUGGUGGAGCUGGUGUGGAGUAGGAAAAGUAGCUUGACUGAAGUUUCUUGGACAGUAGAAGAAAUAAAACAACAGCUGCAGAUCUCGAAUGCAUCUUCAUUACAGUAUGUUCCAAGGAAGUGUAAUGCCAUAGCUCAUGCUAUAGCAAAAGUGGCUCUGGAUUUUGAGAAUUCUGUCAUAUGGCUGGAAGAGUUUCCAGUCCAGAUCAUGAUGUUACUCUCAAAUUUUAUCAAUUAGAAAGCUUUACUUUCUUUUCAAAAAAAAAAAUCUACCAUGCUUCUAUUUAUUUGCAGAUUUGCCGUUAGCUUAAGGAAUUUAAUAAAUAAGUAUAACCAUGAUAUUAAUAAUUGAGCAUCACAAUAAGCAUCAAGCACAUACCAAAAAAAGAAAAAUAAACACUAUUUAGAACAUGGUUGGGUCUCCUCUUCAUCAUCAUUAUCAGUCACUUCUCCAUUUAUUUCUUCCCCAUUCAUCACCUUAUCUUUAGGAAUCUCACCUAAUUUAAAAAAAAAACUUGUAAAAUAUAAAAAAAAAACAAAUACCAUCAAAAUCAAAUAAGUGCAGAAGUGAGCUGAAUUUGAUACCUUUUAAUUGAGCCCAUAUCCAAUUCUGAGUACACAUUAAGGCCUCUACUGUACUCGGAUGAAGUCUACUACGAUGUGGGCUUAAACAUCGACCUCCCGCACUAAAAGCAGAUUCGGAAGCAACUGUGGAGACCGGAACAGCCAGCAAAUCUCUAGCAAUCUCAGACAAUAUCGGAUAUCUACUUCUAUUCACCUUCCACCACAUUAAAAUAUCGAAGUCUGGAGUAGUCUUAUCCUCUUCUUCCAAGUAAGUAUCUAACUCCGACUUAACUCGUUUACGAAUAUGUUGGCUUUUGAAUGCAUUAAAUUUUUGCACAUCCCACAUACCCAUCACAACUUGCAAAACGAAAGCAUUUGAUUGAUUGAGAGGCGGGAAGGCGGGAAAACGAGAGAGAUUUGCUUUUGUUUUUUCUUCGUUUGGUCAUACAUGUGGCCCCCCAGGUUGACAAGCGUUAUUACUACUACUUGCAUUAUUUGAAGGACGCGUGUCAUGCAACGAUGAUGGAAAAAGUGGUGCAAAACUUCAAUGGUCACGAAAUGACGAUAAAACAAAAAUAUAUGGUUAAUUUUUCACUUAACAUUGGAAUAUCAUAUAAUUUUAUGGUCAUUUUCUCGCCGUUACGCCACAUUCUUUUAAUAAAAUAAUACGGUUAAACUUUUCUAUAAUCAUGAUAUUAGAACCCAAUUAGCUUUAUUUCUAUAAAGUGGUUAUAGCUUAAUAAAGGUAAAAUUAUAAAAACUAUUAGUAGUCUUAAGUGAUCAAGAAAUAACCAUACCACCAAUUUCACCACCCUUAUUCACAAAUGUAUGAGUAUGAUCCUUCAUGAGUAAAUUUUUUUGUGUCCGCACUGACCUGUAGACAUCCAUGAAAAACCAUCAGAUUAUAAACACAGGGUCAAUUUAAAGAGGAGCUAUGAUUCUGAUCCAUCAUGAUAUUUGAAGAACAUUUUCAUAUUUUCCUACAACGAGUAAACUAUAACCAGUUAUCAUCACUAUAGAUGGCAUGGUCAAGAGGAAUUAUAGUUCUUGUUUCAAGAAUCUCAAAUCAUAAUUCCUUUGCAUGGCUAGUGUGCUUUUUAUAAUCAUUCAAACACACAUAUCCACAACUAAGCAAGCUUUACCUUUUUCAUCAAUCGGAAUAGAUUGUUGUAGCAUCCAAAGAAAAUGUGGUUUACCAUUUCAAUAUGGUUUCCAUAUUUAUCAAUAAAAGAAUCCACUUUACCACCAAUGAAAGACCUUGACUCAUAUAUAUCCACCUGGGGAGAAGGGGGGGGGGGGGGGGGGGAAGAAAAAAUCUUCUAAUUUCUUUCACCAUCAAUAAAAUCAGUAAAACACAUACUAAUUCAAAAUGAAAAAACUUUGUGAAUUGAAAUAAUGCCUGCUCUAAAGAAAAUGAUAACUGCUAUUCAUUUUUCUGAACUGCUGAUAAAAGCUUAUGCUAUAUACUUCUCUGCUUUUAAUUUAAAAGUAAAUCAUGCAUAAUAACGGGUUUGUAAAGAAAUGAAAUUUCUGGUAAUUAACUGACAAAAUAAAAAAAGAUGGAUUAAGCGAAAGAAGUUAAUAUAGAGUAAGUCGAGUACUUGACAAUCAAAGUAAUUUACUCGAGGUUGAGUAAGGAUAGUACAAUACUUUCUCAAGUUUUCUGAGGACAUUCACGUGACAUUGGACUAUUGACUAUACUUAGAGAGAAGUCCAAGGAUGUAAGUGAUGAUGAUAGAUUCAGAAUUCUUUUGAUGAAAAUAUUUUAUAUAAACUUAAUUAUAUGGCAUAAAAUGAUUGGCCUUAAUAAAAUUAAAAAAUAAUAAAAUUAAAAAAUAAUAAAAAUAAUACACGCCUGGGUCAUGCAAUAUUUUCAACCAACUAAUUUACACGCAAAAUUAAAUUUUAUGAGUACAUUUAUUUGCUAGCAGAAACACUGCCAAAUUUUCCGAAAUGUGAAAGUGAACACUUUUUACAGCGGCACAAAAUGCCUGUGAUAAUGAAACAAUGUACCAUCCUUAAACUAAUAUUAUUAGAAACUAUAAGUGAAUGUUUUCAGAAAACAUGUGAUAAGUUUUUCUUGGAAUUUGUUUUCUCCUUUGUUUUGAUUUACGCGAGAGAUAGUUCUAAAGAUUGUUUUGAUAAGUUUUCAGAAAACAUGUGACGAAUCGUAGUAAAAAAUUUAUAUAUAAUAAUUGAAUGAGAUCCAUGGUUCACAAUUGCAAAUUAAAGGUUGGUUUUAUAAUAAAAAUCUUUUUGCGCAUACCAAAUUAGAAAAGAUUAUAAGUAAAUUAAGAUUUUCAAAAUUUGCCUAGUAUUAUAUUAUCGUACAUCAAUAUAAUAUAAAUUUGUUAUAUAUAUAUUUUACUCUGUAACCAAUGCUUUCAAAAACUUUGUACUUGUAUGUUUGAACAACUUUUUUCGCUUUCUAUUUAUAUACGAUCUCAUUUAUAUUUACAUAAAUUUUCAUAUGUACCCAAAUUAAGCAUUAAAUACACACACUUUGGUAAGACACAUUAAUUUCUAGUAUCAGACAAUGGUAUUAUAUUGAAUGUAAUGCUUCAAUGAAUUUUAUUACUAUAUACUAAAAUACUCAACGAUCUCCAUUAAAAAAAAAAAGCAUGAUUAGAAUGAUUAAAGAUCAUUUGAUGAGGAGUUUCAUCAUUAACUGUGUCGAAACACAGCAGCAAUCCACAAUACACUUAACACGAGAGGGGCACACAAGCAUGCAUGAAUCUUCCACCAUUAAACCUGAAAUCAUAAAAUAAAAGAAACAAGAUGAGUGUUGUUUUACGGUCUGAAAGCCGAUUCCAAAUAAUAAUAAUAAUAAUAGUAAUAGUAAUAGUAAUAAACCUUUGUUAAUAAUUACUACUAGUUGUCUCUACCUUUUGCAUCUUCCUCCUUUGUAUCAUCGUCCUCUUCCAAUCACACGGCUGGACCAGUAUGUCUCGAGAAUCUCUACUGCCUUCUCAGAGAUGCCGUUGUCGUCAUGACUUCGUAGAUUUUCAAUCUUUUCUAAUCCCUCAGCCUCCUCAACCAGCUGGGCAUAUUGAUUAAAAUCUCCAACGGCGGUACCCGUAUUCAUUUCAGCUACCCCGACCUUCAAAAUGUUCUCUAAUCCUUCUAAGCAAACAGUGACGAUCUUUGGAUCAGCGCAUAGAAGCAGAUCACACAAUGGUUUUACACACCCCUCUCUCACGAGGUAUUUGAUUUGCUCAUGAGUGCCAAACUUGGUGGCAUUUGAAAUUGCCCAAGCGGCCUCCUUCUCUGUAUCAAAUUCAGCAUUUUGAAGCAGAUUGACAAUGGGACCAAUUAAGCCGGCAUCACUUACCGCCUGAAUCUGCUCCCUGUUUCCAGCUGUAAUAUUUGAAAUAAUCCAGCUGACUUCGUUCUUGAUGCUCUCUCCAUGAUUAUGGACCAACAUGUCCCAAAAGUAUGGCAGUGCACCACAGUUAAUUAUACACUGAAUCUGGAAUUCAUCCCCCGUCACAAUAUUUCCAAUAGUCCGCAGGGCAGGAGUGAGCACCGAGGGUGAUGGAUGGCCAAGGAGCUCAACAAGUCGUGGACAGACACCUGCCUCGAUCACAGCUUGAAUUUUGUCAUUUCGUACCAUCAGAAAGAUAGGAGAGUGUCCAACAGGCGUCACUCAACACCUCUUCAUCAUCUAAAUGAAUAAGCUGUGCAAGUGCCGGAAGAGCUGCCCUUACCUGAUCAAAUGGUGGUUCUGGCUUGCCCUUGCAUAAAUUAGACAAUGUCCUUGCGGCAAUUCUCAGCAUUGAAAGCUUAGCAUGCUCAUUUAACUCUGCCAGCAAUGGAAUCAAAGCUCCUUCACCAAGCACUAGAUCACGGCAUCCAGAUGAGUCACCAGCAACAUUUCCCAAUGCCCAAACAGCCUGCUCGCGGACAUCAUCAUUUGGGGAAGCAAGCAGCUUCACAAAUAUUGGAACGGCACCGUGGUCAAUCACCACCUUAAUGUUCUCUGAAGUUCCAGAAGCAAUGUUUGAAAGAGCCCAAGCAGCCUCAUACUGAAGUUGCGGAUAGUCUUCCCUCAUAAGAAACUCAACAAAGCGCGGAACAACGCCAGAUUGUAUGACUUUAUCAAUUUGUGGACUCCUCUCAAUCGAAAGCAGUUUGCUGAACUGAGUAGUUGCUUCCAGCUGCAAGCCGCUGUCAUCUGACCAAACCCCAGCAACCAUCCCGGGUAAACUCGCCUACUUAUUUUAGGAGCAGGAGCAAGAGGAGGAAAUUAAGUUAGGGAUUUGGAGUGAGAGUGAAAGUGGAGAAAAAGCAAGAGAGGGAAAAAGCUAAUUGUUGAGAAAUAUAUACCUUUCGUAUGGUUGUGUUAAGGUCGUCCUUCCAAUCCCAACAUGCUUCACCCAGCCGCUGCACUUUGUGUAAUUUGGGUGUACUUAAUUUUCCUUCAGAGAAAAUCUUCAUACUGGGGCAAUCAUCCACCACUAAUCUUUCCAAAGAUAGGAAAUUGAAAGCACAAUUGCCAGGGCAGAAGCUUGUCAGACUUUUUAAGUGUAAAAGCUUCAACUCCUUCAAUUCUCUGAAAGUAAUAACCUCAUCUUGUGCUACAACAUCAUCCCCAAGUACUAUUUCUGCUAUCUUAUCGCAUGAUUCUAUCUCCAUAUAUCUAAGUCGCACCAGAGUCUUUGCAAUUGAGGAUGUUAAUACGAUUUUCAAUCUUUCGCAACACGAUACCACCAUAUUUGUAAGAUUCUGAAAGGAUGACGACGAUGGCACUAGAUUGACCAAAUGGUGACACCCAAUUACACGUAGAAUAACCAAGUUGUUCGUAACAGAAGACUCCUCCAUCAAAAUGUGCUCCAGUUGAUAUUUUGCUUCUCUUAUUUCUACCCUCAUCCCAUUUUCAACAUUCUCUUCCGGCAACCAAGCACCAUAUCCUCCUAUUUGGAGUACUUUCAUUGUGUGAAGUCUCUGGAGGAAGUCACCAAGUGAUAAAAUAGUCCGCUCAUCAACCAACUCCACGUAAAGAUAUUUUAGUUUGCAAAGCAAGUCUUCAGAAAAUAGAUAUUUAUUUGUUACUACGUGCUUUGCAUCAACUUUCAACUUUUCCAAAUUAGGGAAUACCUGGGAGAUUGUAGCAGUAAACACAUUUCGUUCAGUAGAUGCAAUUGAUACGGCAACAUCGCGAACUACAUCAUGCAUAGAAAACAACUCUUUCUUCUGGCUUAUAUGGUCAAGCAACAUACAAGAAGCUUUGAGUGUGCGCACCAAUGUAUGUACUCGAUUUCGUGCUACUUCAAUCUUAUUCACACCUUGAAAUAAACCCAAUCCCAUACCACACAUUAACAAGUCAUGAAUAGAUGAUAUGGCUGUAUAUCCUAUUAGCAAAAAGAUGUUCUUGAGAUCAUCCCUUUUUAGUUUAUUGUAGCUCAACUCGAUAGCUUUAUAUGCAGCUGGCUGUACAUCCUUAAAAUUCGAUGAAGAAGGCCUUCUUAGCUGUUCCAAUGCAUCCUUCCAUUCACGUAUGCUCUUGCUCCUUAAUGCCCUUGCAACCGUCACAAUCGAAACUGGUAGACCUGCACAUUCCUUUGCCACAUCCCUUGCUACCUCUUUCAAUUCAUUACCUUCAACAUAAUCACCUGCCAUCUUCGUGAAUAGACUCCAAGCUUCAUCUUCUUUUAAAAAUCCAACUGGGAAAUUUUUUCGAGACUCCAUCUCUCCAGACAAUACUUCUUCACUCCUUGCCGUGAACAGCACUUUACAUCCCAUGUGAUCGUCUCCGUGAGGAAUUCCGACAUCCAACAAAUCAAGAUUUUCCCAAAUAUUAUCCAAGAUUACAAGGAUCCUCUUCUCUUUCUUCAGUCGAUCAUAGAGUCUUCUUGCCCUACCCGAUUCACUCUCCUCAUCAAAUUUUAGACCUAGUUUAUCCGCGAUUUCUCCUUGAAUCUUUCUUACGUCUCGACUCUCAGAGACCUCAGAAAAAACCACCUGAUCGAAAAGCUUGUCACACUCUGCUUUUCUAGCAACUUCUUUAGCUAGCGUCGUCUUUCCGAUUCCGCCCAUUCCAUAAAUCAAAAGCAUGUUGACAUUGGGAUUUUUUAAUGCAUCAAUUAUUUCAUUCAGAAUGGACGUUCUUGAUUCAAAGGCCUCGAAGUCUUUGUUAGGCAUAAGCAAGGUAUCCUCCGGAAUGAUGCUAUAGGAAAUACUAUUAACUGGUCUAGCGUCCAGGACUUUGACAGCAGCCUCCUUCUGCCUCUCUGCUUCCUCGCUAAGUCGAGGGCGGGUCUUCAAAUUAGGACAUAACCCCUUGAAACAACGCUUAUUUGCAGUGGCUUCAUCUUCUGUAAAUUUAUCUGCCUCUUCAAUGACACUGUUGGCCGUUGCAAGCCAAUUCUCAACGUUCUCUUCAAUCUCUUCUCCUUUUCUUUUAGCCUCAUCAACCUGGUGCUCUGUACUCACCCUCUCAGACUUUAGUUUCGCAACUUCAGUGUUGAGAUUCUGUAAGUUGCUCGUGUACUUACUCUCACGCAAAUAGCUAAUUUGGCGAUAUGCGGGAGGAGCCAAGCACUUUACAACUUCUAAAACAAUAGUAAGAAUGAUUUCAGCCAUCUUCAGUCCUUUGUCCUUGUCUCUCUAUCUCUCUUUUUCUGAAUUUUGGAAAAACAAUUCAACAGGUGACCACAACAAGAUGGAACACAAGUGACUACAACAAGAUGGAACAAAAUAAAAAGGAAAAAAAUACAAAGAGUGGAUGGAGAAUAAAACAGAGACAGCGGCACAGCUGGACACAACUAGAUAGAGAACAGAGCAAAACCAAAUAACAAGACUUAAGAUUACAAAAAAAUUUUAAAAUUUUUUGGAAGGCUUUUUUUUUUUUUUAAAAANNNNNNNNNNNNNNNNNNNNNNNNNNNNNNNNNNNNNNNNNNNNNNNNNNNNNNNNNNNNNNNNNNNNNNNNNNNNNNNNNNNNNNNNNNNNNNNNNNNNUAUUGGGAAAUAAUAACUUAGUAUAACAAAUAUUAUAUCCUAUACUUUAUUGCUACAAAAUUACGAAACCUUAUAUUAUAUUAUGUUUCCAUAUUUCUCCUUUAUAUUGAAGACUCAUACUUCUUCUCUAGUAAAUGCUAAAGCAUUGGCUUAAACUUUUUAAACAGCACAGUAGACCCUUAAGCUAUAUAUACUAUAAUGUCCCUCUUCCCUCACAUAUUAAACCAAUCUAUCUCAGAGUAAGUUUGCAUCAAAGGAGUAUCCUUACUAACUAAUAUAGGCUCGAUCAAUAGGGAUGACAAUAAUUUUUUUAUCUACGAACAUUAUUUUUUCAAAAUAAUAUAUCUUUAGACUUAACUAAAUAUUUUUUAACCAUAUAUGUAGAGUUCGUUUAAAUAGUGGAGAUUACAACAAAACAGAUGCGAAUUAGUAGUAUAAUUUUAUAAUAUUAUCUUUAUUUGUAAGUACAUUUUUUAUUCUUAUUUAUUAUAAAUUAAUUAAAUCAUAUCAAUAAAAAUUAAAAUAACACAAUAAGUUUUGGAGUAAAUAAAAGAUUGAAAAUAAAAAUAUUUUUCUUAUAUUUUUUGUUAUUUUUAAAUGUUUUUCAUAUAAUAAAUGUACAUUUUAUAUUCUUAAGAUGAAUUUUGAGUAAAUGACUCAUUUACUCAUUUUUUUUCUUUAAAUUUUUGUUACUAGGAGGAUUUUUAGAUAUAAUGAAAAUUGUAAGGUAGUAAGUAAUAUCUAAUAAUUUUAAUAGAGAAAAAUAAAAAAAUCUCUUAUUUUAAAAUAUAAGGAGAAAAAUAAUUAAUUUUAAAAAAUUUUAGAAGAUAUUUCAAUAUGCUGUGGAUCACACCCUCGAAUCUUUGUCGUCUCAGUUAACUAAAAGGACAGAAUAUUGAGCGUGAAGGUAGCAAUUGUUAAUUUCACAGCAAUUGUCUUUUUUUUAUUCUUUCUUUAUUUUUCCUAAUUAUUUUGAAAUAGUAGGUAGCAAUUGCUUACAUCAAAAUAUCUAGACUCACUCGGCAAAGUAUCCGAGGCCAAAAUGUCAAAACGUGGGACACGCAUACAUCUAAUUACAAAGUCUAAAGUUAAUGAAAAGAAAAAAAGAAAAAGUAUAAAUGAACGGUAAUCACCUCAUUUUCAAACAUCUAGUUCAACAUGAAUUUCUUUUUACCAAAGGUAAAUUUUCUCCCGGAUUGUCCUCAUUACAUUAAACGAAUGAUGACGACGCUCUGUCCGUUUCUGACUCUCUGCUUUGCUCUCUCACAUCACGAGACACCUCGUUUCUAACUGGGGUACCACCAUCAUAUUUAACUGUCGGGUCUUCCUACUAUGCACCUAGUGUAUGCAUGAUUCCUUGUGACAUGACAUAUAGCCAAUUAAAUUCUGACAUGCUUGCAAUAAAGACUGUUAAAGUGACCGGUUAUUCCGGUUGAAUUCACAAGAUCUUUUGUUUGUGUGUUUAUGUUCCAAGUUGUGUACUCUAUGUUACGAGUUCUCUGAUUAGUCUGAUAUUAUCUGUUGCUCAAUAAUGUUACAGGUUUUAUAAUAUGACUGGUACGAUCGCUGUCACAAAUUUAGAACGAAAAGUUCCCAAUAAAAUAAGUUAUUUAAUUAAUUAAAUAAGAAUAAAAUAAAUUUGUGAAAAAAUUUUAAAUUUAAUUUUGAAUUAUUUUGACCAAAAUUUAAGUUUUUUUAAUUUGUUUAAGAAAAUGUGUUGUAAUUGUCUUGUUUUAAUUGGAAAAUCAAUGAAAAAAUUAUGUAAAAAAAAAAAAAAAAGGCAAAACGGUUUGUUUUGGAUGGAGGCCAUAGAUUCCAAUAUUUCCUUCACGAAAACUACAAAAAAAUUAUCAAAGGCAUCAAUUUCUACACUCUCACCGAGCAAUACUCUUAACCCAGAAGAAAGUGUAUAAACCAACCCCAAUCAGUCCAUCAAUGUCGUCAACCUCAUACAGCAUAAAAAAAAUCUGUGUCCAUUAAACCGCCAUUUAAACCGUCUUUAUUGAGCCAUUAGACUAUUCGUGUCAUCUUCCCAUCUCGUUGUAGUAUUUUGCCAUUCAAAUCUAGUUAUCAAUUGGGGAAAAUGGGGACCAAUCUGCAAGUCUUUAAAAUAGAAAGAAACUUUAAUUGGGCUCUAUUUGUGCUUUAAAAAUUAUUUUACACACUCUAAUUUUAAUAAGAAUAUAUAUUACAAAAUUACUUAUCAUAUAAGUUACUGGACAAUAUAUUAUAAGUCAACAUUAUAUAAUUACUUUGAACACUUAUAUAGCCCAAUCCAAAUUCAAUUUAUUAUUCUCAAAACUUAAAUAUAAAAAUUUUUAUUUCUAACUUCUUAAUUAAUAUGUAGAUGAAUAAUAAGGAAAUUAACUUUGAGAAAAAAUUAAAUAUAAAAUAUGUGUAAUACUUUAAAAAAAAAACAAAAGUAUUGCACAAGAUUUUUUUGGGGGGGGUUGGCCAUUCUUCUUCUUCUCCUUCUCUCUCCCUUUUUUUUGGUAGUAUUUAUGGAAUAUUUUCUAUUGUUAUGUUCUCAUUGCAAGUUAUUUUGGGUGUAAAAUUCAAUAUUAAAAAUAAAUUAAAUAAAAAAAUGAGUAACUAAAAUUAUGUUAAAUUAUUUUUUUACUUAAUUUUUAAUUAUAUUAUUAGUAUAUGUUAAAUCUCUUAAAAAUGAGUGUUGAAUAAUUUUAUUAGUUUUUUAAACAAAUAAAGUUAAAUAACUUAAAAAAUUUAAGUAAGGAUAUUUUUGAAUUUUUAAACAGUGUACAAAGUAAAGUUUAUUUUCUUGUCAGUGGCAAAUGAUCACGACAAGAAAUCUGAAGUAGAAACAGCAGAGCUCAACAAAUCACUAAGAGAAAAUAAGACCAAUAACCAAGCAGAUAAAAGAAAAGCAAAAUAACCCAUCUCAAAAUCACCACAUGCACAAUUUAAGGGGUUUGUGACAUGGGUUUAAGCAUGAUUUAACAAGUGCCACCUGUGAAUUGUCAGAGAUUGUAUUUUCAUACACAUGUCAAAAAUGCUCGAAUCCAAAUUACAACCCCAUAAGUUGAGUCGUUCUCUUCGAACUGAAUUAAAAAUAAAUAAAUAAAAUUAAAUAGAGAGAUUGACCUCAAACUUUGGAAACAGAAGCGACAGCGAUCUGUUUCUUGUCUGGAGUGUCCAUUUCUAUAAUCUACUUUGUCCGUUUUCAGUCGCUCUGCCACAGAGCUUCUUCCCUCUGAAGCCGAAGCUCACACACACUUGCAAAACGAAAGCAUUUUUUAUUGAUUGAGAGGCGGGAAGGCGGGAAGGCGGGAAAAUGAGAGAAAUUUGCAUUUGUUUCUGUUGGUUUGGUCAUACCUGUGCGGGCCCCAGCUUGACAAGCGGUAUUAUUACUAUUUGUAUAAUUUACAUGACGCGUGUCACGCAAUGACGAUAAAAUAUAUAUAUAUAUAUUGUUAAUUUUUCACUUAACAUUGAAAUAUCAUAUAAUUUUUCCAAUUUUAUGGUUAUUUUCUCGCCCUUAUGCCACAUUCUUUUGAUCAAAUAAUACAGUAAAACUUUUCUAUAAUCAUAAUAUUAAAGCCAAAUUAGCUUUAUUUAUGUAAAGAGGCUAUAGCUUACAAAUAUAUGAUAAUUAAUUAAUGAACUAUGUCAAAUACAAUAUGCUAACAAUGAUAAAAAAAGAUAGACAUAAUUUCAAGAAACUAAUAUAUAUAUUUAUGUAGGGGUGGGCAAAAUCGGGUUCGGGUCGGGUUCGGGUCAACCCGAUCGGGUUUCGGGUUGUUCGGGUUGGAUUUAAAACGGGUUGGAUUGAGUUCGGGUCAAUUCGGGUCAGUUCGGGUCAAUUCGGGUCGGUUGAAAUCGGGUCAAAUCGGGUCGGGUCAAUUCAGGUCAAAUUCGGUUAAUACAAUUUUGAGCUCUUUUUUUUCCUAUUAUUGUAGUUUUUAUGAAAGUUUUAAGACAUUUUUCUUAAUUGUAGUCAUUUUUACUAAUUUUCAACUGAAAAAAGGAAAAGAAAAUGUUAUUAUUAAUUCAAAAAUCAAAACACAUAAAUAUUAUUAACAUAAUCCAUAAACAAAAAUUAGUAAUUUCAAUUCAAGUUGUUCAUGCUCCAUAAACAAAAAGUAAGAAAUUCAUGAUACUUAAUUUUAAUAUAAUAUAUAAUAUCCAAUUACCCAUUCCCCAUAAUAAAUAAUAUGAUAUUAUUUGUCUAUCUAUAUCUUAUUUUUUAUUAUAAAUUAAAUCCUUUAAUUUCAAGUCCAAGUUACUUGUACUUAACAACUUAACGGAUGAUUAACAUAUAAUAUAAUAUUAAUUGAAUUUAUUAAUUGGUUUAGGGUUGAAAGCUUGAAGCUACUGCACAAGUACACAUAAUUACAUAACAUAAACACAUUAUAAUUAUAAAACAUAUACAACAUAAUACUUAAUUUUAAUAUUUAAUCUACCUAAUGUGCUAAUUUAUUCAUAAAAAAAUCAAUUAUUAAUUGUUGUUAACAAUUAUCAAUUAAUAUUAUUUCAAUUAUUAACUAUUAUUAACAAUUAUUAACAAUUAACAAUUAACAAUUAUCAAUUAACAAAACCCACCAAUCAACAAUUCCUUUUUAUAUAUGAAAAAAAAUAAUUUAUGAUGAGCUCAAUAAUUAACAAAAUUUCCUUGAUUUUAUUACUAAUAUUUAUAAAUACAUAAUUAGUUCAUUACAACAAUUAAAUAAUAAACAAUUACUAAAUUACAUAAUAAACUAUUUAGCAUAUAUAAUUAAUUAAUUAUAUAGUGUAUAUAUACCAUGAAACGAAACAGGAAACACUUAGGAAACGGGUCAAAAAGUUGAAGGCUUGAAGCUUGAAAGUGGAAGGUGGAAACCGGAAAGCUUCAAAAUCGGGUUCGGGUCGAGAGGAUUCGGCCUUCAAGCAGCAGAUCGGUGGCCACGGCUCACGGCUGGACGGACGGGAUUUCACUUGGCAGCAGAUCGCGGCUUCACUUGGCAGCAGAUCGCGGCUUCACUUGGGAGUUGGCAGCAGCAGAUCUCGGAGAUGCGGACGGCUCACGGCUCACGGCUGGACGGGUUUGACUUGGCAGCAGCUGGUCGCGACUUCACUUGGCAGCAACAGAUCGUGAUUUCAGCAGUUGGCAGCAACAGAUCGCGUCUUGUGGUGGCUGGUUGCAGACUUGCGGGUUGCGGCUGCCUUGUUUCAGUUGUUUGUGUUUGUGUUUGUGAUUUGUGAAGUUGUGGCUGACAGGCAGCGUGUGUGUGUGUUAGGUUUGCGUCUUUGGGAGUGAAUUGUUGAGUGCAGCGUGUGUGUGUGUUGUGCACUUGCAGCGUGUGUGUGUGUGUGACUGUGUGCUGUGCACUUGCAGCGUGUGUGUCACAGUGUCAGUGUGUGUGCUGUGCAGCUUGUGACUUGUGUGUGCUGUGCAGUGUGCAGCUUGUGGCUUCUAUAGUUCUAUGUGUGCAGCAGCGUAUGUGACUAUGUGUGUGUGGCUCAGUGGCUGGCAGCUUGUGACUUCUGUUCUAGUGUUCUGUGUGUGUGCUGUGCAGCAGCAUGACAAAUUUAAAUUUGUUUCCGGUGACAAAUUUCUUUCUUUGUUUCUUUCUCAUCCUCUCUCGGUCUCUCCCCUUUUUGUUUUUUUUUUUCUUUUCCUCCAAAAAGAAAUUGUUCUGUUCUUAAACAAUUUGUCAAAUGCUCGAAAUUUAUCAAUUGUUUGGCGUUGGGUAGAAGAUAAGAUCUCUUUUGAAUGAUUAAAUUGGACAAAAACAGAAAAGGGUGAGGAUUGCUUCAGUCAUCAUUGCACUUGCAAAAUGCCAUCUAAGGCAACUUUAUUUUCUUUAUUAAAAUUUAAAACGUCUCUGAGAAGAAUUUUGACAGAAUGGCUGCCAACUUUUUGGAUUGGUUAUUGGUGUGAUUCGAUUGCUGUUGGAGAAUGGAGAGAGAAAUAUGCUCAAUAAGGAGUACAGACACAUGCCAGAAAUCAUUUUUUUUUUUUUUGGGAACCCGAUCGGGUAUUCAGAUCGGGUCGGGUUUGCCCCGAAUUGAUCACAACCCGAUCGGGUUUGUAAGUUUCAAUUCGAUCGGGUUUCAAUCCCGACCCGAUCCGACCUGAACUCAAAAUUUAUCGGGUCGAGUCGGGUCGGGUUAGGUCGGGUCGGAUCGGGUAAAAUGCCCACCCCUAUAUUUAUGUAGUGUUGGGAUUAUACAAAAUUAUCUUAAAAGUGUAAAGAGUAAAGUAUUAUUUUGAUUAAUUUAAAAAAAUUAUUUUAUCUUAAUCUUUAACUUUUAAUGAUUUAUUGGCAUGUGUCAAUCAUUAAUGAAAUUAAAUAAUUAAGACUUUAUUUUAAUUAACGUUUACAUAAAUAGACAUCAAAAUUCACGUGUGAUUCUUAUCAAUUUUUUUCCUGCAAAUUCUUUUCCUCUCAACUAUUCAUAUUUUGACAUUAAUUUCCAGCAAACUAUAAAAAAGAAGAAGCGUAAAAUGGAGAAAAGUGAUUGACAACAAGAUUUGCAUCUUAAUUUCAAAAUUUUUCUUUCUUUACUAUUUUUGUGGGUUCUACAAUUGUUGUUUUCACUCUCAGCUGCGGUUCAAUGAACUCUAUUAAUAUUUAAUAACCAUGAAGCUUAAUGUAUCAAUUCCAAUACGACAAGUCCUUCUACGCAUGUUACAACACUUUUUGGUCAUUAUAGGUUGCAAAUGUUCCGUAAUGUACUCAUUCAUAUAACGGAAACGCUAUUAUCAAUAAUGAAAGUUGACUAAGUUUGUAAAUUCUAUUUAACGAAAAAGUAACAUAAAUUUAGUUGAACAAGAGGUAAUCAAUAUGUAAUCUAUGAAACUAGGGUGUGACUAAGUUACAUAGUAAUGUAACUUACAUGAACACAAAAAUAAUUAGGUUUUAAACUACAAGUAGCUUUGGAACAGCUCUUAAAUUGAUAUAAGUUCUAUUAUUAUGUAACUUAGCAAGGUCAGAUAUUUUAAUAAUAGCACAUCACUAUUGUUUCAUGUGAAUGAUGCAAUUGGAUUAGCCAAUACAUACCGUCAUCCCCGGGAGAUGCUAUGGCAAUAGCUUACUCUACCGUGCCAACGUCAAUACUCAACAGUAUUAAUCUGUUGAACCUAAGACCAGAUUUAAGCUGAUCUAGAUUCCCGAAGAUCGUAAUUCGCACACCACACAGUGAUUAAUGAAUCAAGAACAAUAAACCAUCAAAGAAUCGCAAACUUACAUGUCGGGUUACAUGUAAUAAAUGUUUUAAUUAUUAGAUGAUUCAUAAUGUUAGACCAUUUUUUGUAUGUUUUGUAAUCUACGUUUGAUAAUUUAAUUAGCUGAUAAACACUUGAAUAAUAUUAUUUCAUUAACUAUGUCAUUGAUCCCCAGGAAAAAAAAAAAAAAACCCAAUUUGGGAUGUUAUACAUUACUUCCCAUUUUAGAUUAAUAUUUAUCACAUAUAUUCUUAGUAACUUGUAACCCUUUUUGCUAAGGGUGAAAUGUGUUUGUUACCCCUUCUAUUUCUGAGAUUGUCCUUACAAUAAGGAUGCCGGCCCCAAUGUCAAAAACUGCUAUCUCUAGGUGUAAAUUCCUUAUAAAAUUCUUUUUUAAUUGAAAUUACUUAAAUAAUUGAAGAUAAAUUAAUUUUUUAUUUCAUUCAAAUAAAAAAAAUAAUUAAACACUUAAAUAAGCUAUCCUUUUAAUUUUUUUUUACACCCAUCCAGUUUCAUAAUUUAAAUUUAUUAUUUAAAUUUUAAUGGAAAAUAUUUUUUUGAAAAAAUUUAAGAAUUAAGAAUUUUGGGGAUAAAAAUUAUGCAAUAAGAACAAAAUAAUUUAAAAUUUUAAAAUUUGCAUGUAUCAUAAACAAAAACUUGAAAGAAAUACUCUUUUCAGGGUGAAAUUUAAUGAGAAAAAGAUUAAUUUUAAUUUAUGAAUUAGUAUUUUAUAAGUUAAACUGAGGUAUUUCAAGAAAUAGACUUCAAAAUGCAUGGGAACGAGGGCCUUGGGUUUCAUUUUGUUUUGUAUGAAUUGGGAAAAAUACACGGACAGACAAAGGGAGCAGUCAUUAUAAUGCUGUGAAGCUGGUCGGAGAUACCUGCCCAUUUGUAGCUUAGACUCCUGGGGUUUGUUCAUGUCUUUUCUGUAUCCCACUUUCUCAUGCAGCAGAUGUACAUAUGAUGAGAUGAAAACAACAGCAAAAAUUGCUCUCAUAAGAGAAAUAGUCAUACAUAUAGUGGGUUAGGCCUCCUAUCCAUUAACUUAAUAAUGAAUUUUAUGAAAAUUGAUUAUCUCAUUGGAAUUACAUAGAUAUUGGAAAACAUUACUCCAGCCCCACCAUCCCAACCAUUUACUUAGUUCAUCAGUAAAAGCUGGAUUUUCCAUUUGUUCUUGAGAUUCAAAUUAAGGCAACAAGUUGCUCAUUCUACAUUAUCUAUGUAAUCCUGUAAAAGUGAAGGGCGUUUAGAUGUGGAAAAACCUUAUUCCUGCCGCAACACCUCAAACAGAUUGUGACCAGACAAGACUUAGUUCAUCAUUAGCAGUCUUUGAAGCUUCCAUUUGUUCUAGAGAUUCAAAGGCAGCAAGCUGCUUCCUCAGUGCUACUAAUUCUUCCCCGGCAUUGCAUAUGUAGCCUGAGGCUUGUCUGCCAGACAAAGUUGCUCCUUCCAUUCUAUCUAUGUAAUCCUGUGAGAGUGAAACCAUUUAGAAGACAUAUCUCUUUUUUUUUUUCAAUAUUUGGAAUGAAACAAUUAUAUACAGUUACCUGUUUUGUAUAUGAGCUGGCGAGGAAGAAGUUCUUCACUGAUAUCUUUUGAUCAGGUCUGAAGGGGUCUUUACCAGGUCCCUCACCUCACAAAGAUUGCCGGAUUUUGACGACAGAUAACCAAAUAACUUCUAAACCUUGGGAUGAUGGAAAUAGAGCUAAAACCUAAUAAAAGGAACCGUGAAUGGAUAGUAUGGAUUCAUGUAUAUUAUCCAGAAAGUUGCAUGACCUUUUGUGGUACUCAGGUCAUUAAAAAACGUGAGAUAAACAUCUAGGAUAAGAAAAGCAAAAAAGCGUAACCUAAUACGUAUUAUAUGAAUUGAAGGUGUCACUGAACACUACUAACCUGCUUUGCCACUCUCCUUAUGAUUUCAUCAUUUGGUAAGGGCAUAUAAGGAUCUCCAGGCGUCAAAACGCAUCUGAAAGAUAAUAUGGUUAUAGGAAGCAAGAUGGAAUACAAAGACACUUGGCAAAAGGAAGUCAAUCAGAUUCCAUGCACAUUAAUAGAUGCGUAAAAAAAUAAUAAGAGCCAUAUGUGAAACAAUUUACCUUAGACAUGGCAAGUCCUUUGACAAAUGUUUCCCCGUUAGCAGAAUUAUCAUAAUGCAUCUCUCUGCAUCCCCACCUAAGAUGGAACCAGUUCUCACAAGAACAGACUCCAAGGUUGGGAAAAUCAAUUGAUCAUCGGAGAAAACAAACAGGAUUAACAAAUCACUACAAUGGUGUGAACCCGUAAAUACAAACGUACCUGCCCCAUUUAUCUGUGAUAUAUUUUCUUAUUGGCCCACUCAAAUAAACAUCCGGAGAACCCUUGAGCAUCUGCAAUAGGGAAGCCUCGGUCUUAGUCGCAAACAGUGCAAAUAUAGUAUGCAUACAACGAGCAAUGAUGUUUUCAAAAUCAAUAAACCCAAGGGCAAACGCAACAGGAUCUUACAUUCUUUGGAUACUCAUCCAUGUACCACCCUUGGACAAAAAGCAAUCAGAGAAGCUUAUCUGUAAGAAGAAAUGAAGUUUGAGGUAAAAUAAAAAUUUGUAGGAACAGGGAUUGAAAUUCAACAAACAAGAAAAUAUGUUGUUUGUUGAAAUUCAACAAACAACAAACAAGGCUCCAUCAGGAUCAAGAAGUGCCUUUACAACAGGACUCAGCGCAAGAGCAAUAGCAUUUCUUGAUUUAUCAUAAGUCUGCACUUGAGCAAUAUACGAGGCAAAGUACAUCAAAAGAGAAUCCAAAAGAGGCAAGAAGCUUCAACAUGAAAAAAGGAGUACUGCCUCGUCAUACUGCUUUGCAAUCACAGUGCAAAAGAUAACAUCAACAAAAUCAAAAUCGAGCAUAAAUCCGUAUGCACUACCUUAAGCUGAUUUGUAGACAAAAAUGCACGAAUCCCAUGUAAUGGAGCUCCAAUCGGAAACCGGAAAUCAAGUUCUGGAGUUGAAAAUCAAAAUCAUGAAUCAAAUCAGAGUUAUUAUUGAAUUAGACAAUCCAUAAACCAAUAGAAGGUGAUGUCAAACCAUCAAGCAUAACUAUUAGUUGUUUUAAGUGAUCAAGAAAUAACUGUACCACCAAUUUCACCACCCUUAUUUACAAAUUUAUGAGUAUGAUCCUUCAUGAGUAAAUUUUCGUCCGCACCGACCUGUCGACAUCCAUGAAAAACUAUCAGAUCAUAAACACAUGUUCCAGUUAAAGAGGAUCUAUGAUUCUGAUCCAUCAUGUUAUUUGAACAACAUUUUCGGAUUUUCUUACAACCCUAAGCUAUUAUCAGUUAUCAUCGCUACAAAUGAUAUGGUCAAGAGGAAUGAUAGUUCUUGUUUCAAGAAUCUCAAAUCGUAAUUCUUUUGCAUGGCUUCUGUGCUUUUAUAAUCAUUCAAACACGCAUAUCCACAACUAAGCAAGCUUUACCUUUUUUGUCAAUCGGAACAGAUUAUUGCAGCAUCCAAAGAAAACGUGCAGGCUGAUUUCAAUAUGGUUUCCAUGUUUACCGACAAAUGAAGCCACUUUACCACCAAUAAAAGACCUCAACUCAUAUAUAUCCACCUGGAAGAAAGGAAAAUUUAAAAAAAAGGAACUUCUAAUUUCUUUCACCAUCAACAAAAUCAGAAAAACACAUACUAAUUCAAAAUGAAAUAAAGUUUGUGAAUUGAAAUAAUGCCAACUCCUAAGAAAAAUUAUGACUGCUGAUAUUUUUUCCGAAAUGCUGAUAAAAGCUUCUGCUAUUUACUUUGAAAAAAUUGAGGUUAGAAGCCUAUUUACUUGAAAUUUUGAGUUUAGGCAAGAGGAUGAAUGGUAAAAGUGAAACAUUUUAGGGAAAAAUGUACGUCAGUGGCCAAUGAAAGCAUUAAGAAGAUUGAAAUCUAAAUGAGCAAAACCUCAUGGCCUUGAUCCAACAAUUCCACUGCUGUUGACAUGCCUGCAAGCCCAGCUCCAAUAAUAGCCACUUUCAGCUUUGGUCCUCUAUAAUGUUCCGGUUCUGGUGGAAACAAUUAAACAAACCCUUGGGAGCUGCCAAGUAUACCAUCCAAUUAUCCACAGCGAUAAUGGAAAUAUAUAUGUGUUUGAAAGUACUAAAUUCCUAAACAUGACAUGUAUCCAAAAAGUGACGCAAAGCAGAAUUGCGGAAGCAUUUCAAUUCCCAAUAAAUUUCAAGAAUACAAAAUACUCGGUCUGUUCUUUCAAUUCCUUCAAUAAAAUUUCCACUAGAGGCUACGCAAGCCACUCAAUAACACUCCAAAGCCAGAUUUUAAACGUUAUCUUUAUCUUUAACUCCAAUCCAUAAACAAUUCUGCCACAAAUUCAAUCCAAAAUUGUUCAAGUGCACCGCCAAUUCUCCAUCAAUUCCCUCAAAAAUUCAUAAUUGGCAAACACUACAAACCCAAAAGAGCUUCCAGCAAUAAACGCAUAAAAAUCCACCAACCAACAUAAAACAAAAUACCCAGAAACCAGAAAAGCCAAAAGAUCAAUGCUUGGCAAACAAGCAAAUCAAAUAAAACAAAAAGAAGUGGAAUUUACCCUUAACGCUCAUAUCAGAAACAUUAGUGUCCAAAGAAGCCCGUACACGGAAUCUUGGACCCUUCACUUGAACCCGAGACCAUCUAACGCCAGUAACUGAAGUUGCAGGAAACAGAACUGAAGAACCCAUAUUGCAAAUCCUGAGCUGAAAUCAAAGAAAUUCAAUUGGAACUCAAUUCAGCUCAACCGAGCGGAGCUCUCUUUUGCUUCAAUAACAAAGUGUUUUUCUUUCAUAUCAACAAAGAUUUGUCAACAUCAACAAAAUUUAACUAAGAAACUAAAAUAAUGCGGUGUCUUUGAGUUUAAGAAUCUAACAAGAUGCUAAGGAAGAGAGUUUUGUCAGGGAACUGUUUCGGUGUGGUUGGCCAAGUGCUUCUUUGUUUGUUUUUUUUUUUUUUCUUUUUUUGCCCUUUUCAUUAAUACACAACAGUAGUACUCGUGAAGAGCACAAAAUGUUGGUGACUUUGUCACUACUCACUAACGAUACCAAAGUGGCGUGACCAGAGCAACCAACUAAAUUUUAAAGAGAGGGAAUGAUAAGUAAUAUUUUCUUUGGGUGAUUAAUUAAUUUAUUAUCAAAUAAUUUUAUUUAUUUAUUUAAACGACAUCCUUAUCUUUGUACAAGGCUGCUGAAAGAUGACGAUGUUGUGUUGUCACAUAUUUUUGGGCCGACCGUUUCUUGUUUCGGCUUAAAUGAGGCUUUUGUAAUUUUGUACUAAAAAGUGGCUUACCAUGCAGCAAUAUGAAUUUUAAGCUCUCUUUUCUUAUGUCCACCCAAGGCAUUGGCUGGAUGGCCAAACAGCAGAGUUCAAGUCUACAAUAGAGAAUCGAAAUUUUCCUUUGUAAAUGUUCGUAAGUAUUUACCACAGAUUUUUAAGUUAUUCUUGAUAGAUCCCCUACCACAUACGCUAUAAUAUUUCUCUCCUUUUAAUUUAAAAGUAAAUCAUGCAUAAUAACGGGUUUGUAAAGAAAUGAAAUUUCUGGUAAUUAACUGACAAAAUAAAAAAAAGAUGGAUUAAGCGAAAGAAGUUAUUAUAGAGUAAGUCGAGUACUUGACAAUCAAAGUAAUUUACUCGAGGUUGAGUAAGGAUAGUACGAUACUUUCUCAAGUUUUCUGAGGACAUUCAUGUGACAUUGGACUAUUGACUAUAGUUAGAGAGCAGUCCAAGGAUGUAAGUGAUGAUGAUAGAUUCACAAUUCUUUUGAAGAAAAUAUUUUAUAUAAACUUAAUUAUAUGGUAUAAAAUGAUUGGCCUUAAUAAAAUUAAAAAAUAAUACACGCCUGGGUCAUGCAAUAUUUUCAACCAACUAAUUUAUACGCAAAAUUAAACUUUAUGAGUACAUUUAAAAAAUAAUAAAAAUAAUACACCCCUGGGUCAUGCAAUAUUUUCAUGAAACAAUGUGCACAAAAUGCCUGUGAUAAUGAAACAAUGUGCCAUCCUUAAACUAAUAUUAUUAGAAACUAUAAGUGAAAGUUUUCAGAAAACACGCACGUGAUAAGUUUUUCUCGGAAUUUGUUUUCUCCUUUGUUUUGAUUUACGCGAGAGAUAGUUGUAAAGAUUGUUUUGAUAAGUUUUCGGAAAACAUGUGACGAAUCGUAGUAAAAAAUUUAUAUAUAAUAAUUGAAUGAGAUCCAUGGUUCACAAUUGCAAAUUAAAGGUUGGUUUUAUAAUAAAAAUCGUUUUGUACAUACCAAAUUAGAAAAGAUAAUAAGUAAAUUAAGAUUUUCAAAAUUUGACUAGUAUUAGAUUACGUACAUCAAUAUAAUAUAAAUUUCUUAUAUAUAUAUUUUACUCUGUAACCAAUGCUUUCAAAAACUUUGUACUUGUAUGUUUGAACAACUUUUUUCGCUUUCUAUUUAUAUACGAUCUCAUUUAUGUUUAUAUAAAUUUUCAUAUGUACCCAAAUUAAGCAUUAAAUAAACACACUUUGGUAAGACACAUUAAUUUCUAGUAUCAGACAAUGAUAUUAUAUUGAAUGUAAUGCUUCAAUGAAUUUUAUUACUAUAUACUAAAAUACUCAACGAUCUUCAUUAAAAUUAAAAAAAAAAAAGAAAUUGCAUGAUUAGAAUGAUUAAAGUUCAUUUAAUGACAAGUUUCAUCAUUGACUGUGUCGAAACACAACAGCAAUCCACAAUACACUUAACACGAGAGGCGCACACAAGCAUGAAUGAAUCUUCCACCAUUAAACCUGAAAUCAUAAAAUGAAAGAAACAAGGUGAGUGUUGUUUUACGGUCUGAAAGCCGAUUCGAAAUAAUAAUAAUAAUAGACCUCUGUUAAUAGUUACUACUAGUGGUCACUGCCUUGUCCAUCUUCCUUCUCUGUAUCAUCGUCCUCUUCCAAGCCGCUGUCAUCUGACCAAACCCCAGCAACCAUGGGAAAAAUCACCUACUUGUUUUAGGAGCAGGAGCAGGAGCAGGAGGAGGAAAUUAAGUUAGGGAUUUGGAGUGAUAGGGAAAAAGCUGAUUGUUGAGAAAUAUGUAUACCUUUUGUAUGGUUGUGUUAAGGUCGCCCUUCCAAGCCCAACGUGCUUCACUCCGCCGCUGCACUUCGUGUAAUUUGGGUGUACUUAAAUUUCCUUCAGAGAAAAUCUUCAUAUCGGGGCAAUCAUCCACCACUAAUCUUUCCAAAGAUGGGAACUUGAAAGCACAAUUGCCAGAGCAGAAGCUUGUCAAACUUUUUAAGUCUAAAAGCUUCAACUCCUUCAAUUCUUUGAAAGUAAUAACCUCAUCUUUUGCCACAACAUCAUCCACCAGUACUAUUUCUGUUAUCAUAACGCAUGAUUUUAUCUUCAUAUAUCUAAGUCGCACCAGAGACUUUGCAAUUGAGGAUGUUAAUACGAUUUUCAAUCUUUCGCAACUGAAUACCACCAGAUUUGUAAGAUUCUGAAAGGAUGUCGACGAUGGCACUAGAUUGACCAAACGGUCACACCCCUUUACACGUAGAAUAACCAAGUUGUUCGUAACAGAGGACUCCCUUAUCAAAAUGUUCUCCAGAUGAUAACAAUUAUUUGCUUCACUUAUUUCUACUGCCAUGCCAUUUUCAACCUUCUCUUUCGGCGACCGGCCACCAUAUCCUUGUAUUUGGAGGACUUUCAUUGUGUGAAGUCUCUGGAGGAAGUCAUCAAGUGAUACAAUAGUCGGCUCAUCAACCAACUCCACAAAAAGAUAUUUUAGUUUGCAAAGCAAGUCUUCAAAAAAUAGAUAUUUAUUUGUUCCUAUGUACUUUGCAUCAACUUUCAACUCUUCCAAAUUAGGGAAUACCUGGGAGAUCGAUCAGAACCAAAAAAAAAAAAAAAAUACAAGAUGAAUCAGUUGAUGAGAAUUAUAAGUUACCACUAAUUUAUACAAUAUAUUUUAUUCAAUAAAUCAAUAAAUACAAGAUAAACUUUCACAGUACAUACAUAAGAAUUGAAAAUUUGAUUAUAAAAUUCUUGUACGUACCCUUUCUGUCGAGAUAUUAGUAGUUUUUUCGUAUCUCACCAUGAAUUCAGGACAUGCAGAUAUCCAUAAUUCUUCCAAGGAUGGAAAUUCAAGAAUAUCAAUAUCUCCAGUGCAGAAGCUUGUGAACUUUUCAAGAUCAGACAUCCUCAGAGAUUGCAACUGGGGAAACGUUACAAUAUUAUUCUUCAUUUCUUCUUGGUUGUCCACGACUAUUAACUCUUCCAGGACAGGACAUUUGACUAUCAUAACGUGUUGGAGUCGAACAAAGCUACUAACUGUAGAAGAUGAAAAUAGACAUCUUAAAUUCAUACAGCUGUACAGGGUCAAGCGCGUUAAAUUCUGAAUACCACAAGACAUGACUGCAACUUGGUUCAGCCAAAUCCUCUCAACAUUUAUUGAAUACAACAUCAACUCCUCCAAAUUUGGUAAUGCAACCUGCACGAUCAAAAAAUUAACUUGUUAAUUACAAGCAACAAUGAUUUCUGUUGAUGGACAAAUCAAUAAAAUUACUCUUUCUCUGGUUAUAGUUCUUUUCAGUUUUUCAUACAAACAACCGUUAAUCAAGUUUACCAAAUUAUUCCUUACUAAAUUUUGGUUGAUUCGCAAUAGGACCUACUAUCCAGCGCGAGCAGUUCUCGGGGAUUUAACUACUGGCACCUCGAUUAUAUAAAAAUUUAGACGGCGGCUAAUAUAAUUUAUAUGUAUUCUAAUGACGUAUAUUAAAGAAAAUGAUUAACCAUAAUUUCAAUCAACUUAUUAGUCUAUAUAUAUAUAUAAUAUUCAGCGAUUACAACAUAUUUAGUAUUCCAUAACAUGAUGCUUAUAAUAAUAAUUAUUAUUAAUUCACUUAUUGUGUCCGAGUACCUUUUCUUUCUCUAAGAAUGUAUUUGUUACACCCUACUAUACUUCGGAUGAAAAAUUUAGAAUAAUUGUGAAAUAUAAUUAUUAAUCACUCUUUGCCAUAUUUGUUACCAAACAGGAAUAUAACAAAGAAAAAAAAACAAAAAUUAUAGAGAAUUAAUAAGACGAUUGACUUAUUAAUAACUGACCUUCUCAGGGAAAAGUGUAUUAUAAAUUUGGACAUUGUCCUCCAAAAUGAUUUCAUGUGACUGCAAAUCAUUAGCUGAUUCCUCUUGUCUCUGUUGACAUUGCAGGUGUCUUGAUUUUAGAGUGUAAACUUAAUUGUGAACACAAUCUUAAUUAAUGCAUAAAUACAAGAUCUUUAAAAAUUAGUACAAUAAACUUAGCACUAAAUCUAAAUUUGAUAUUUUGGAUUCCAUGAUUAAGAUUUUUUAAAUAAAAAUUUAAUAGAGUUAAUUUAAAAAUAAAAAUUAAAUAUGAAAAAUAAACUUGCAAUUAUGGAUUUAAUUUUAAUAAAUAAUGAAUGUUCUCUUUAUAUUUUUUUUAAAAGGUAAAAGAGCGUACAAAGCCCAAAUUCAUUUUUUUAAGUCCUUUACUCUCCCAUGAUUCAAACUUGGGUGGUUGUAAGAGGACUGAAAAUAUAUAAGACAGUUAACUUCACUUUUUUUUUCUUUUUUUUUUUUGUUGAGAGAAAAGAGAAGAAGGAUAUUACAAAGCAUGAAGCUCGUGCAAUAUAAGGGCAAUUAUGGUUUUUUCUUUAAAUUAAAAUGGUAAGAUUCUGAAGCUAAAAGAUUAAAAUAUUAAUUAAAUUGCAAACAUUAAAGAUUUUUUUUGCAAAUGGUUGCUUUUAAAAUGAGAAUAAUAUAAUAUUUGAAGACUUUUCAAAAUUAAUUACUGUGAUGCACUAGAAAUUUCUAGCUUUAGUCUAAUGUAUAAAUUGACAAAACGAUAUUCGAAUCCCAGGUGAAAAGAACCCUCUCAUACCAAUUAUUUAAAUUAGGAAUGAUCAUACCUCUGACUCUGCCGGAUUGAGGGCGAGCCAGAGACGCUUGAGAUGGGAAGAGCCCACUUUGACUAAUUCAUUACGAAAAUAAUCAACAUCUUGCUCUUGCAAUCCCCAUAACUCAAGGUCUUCAAUUCUCUGCAGUUGCACGAUCAGCGAAUCCUUCAAGCAAAUCUUGUUAUUUAGCUCGAGACUGAAUUCACGACACCCAAUGCCGGUGCUCUCCCAAUAGCCAUCAUCUCCAAUGCGUAUGCUGUACCUUUCCAGCUUCUCCAAGAGCAGGCCUCUGGGCAGAGUGCUGACGUCACGGGCGCGUAAUUCCAAAGAGGUCAAGUUGGGCAAAUGCUUCAACUCCUCAAGGCUUGCAUUCUUAACCCCUUCCACCUCCACCUCCCAUUUAUCAAAGCUUUUAGGACCUAUAUAUAGUUCUUCUAAACGGGAUAAUUUUGACAGUAUAUUUGGUGGAAUAACUUCUAGGUCCUCACAAUCUCUCAAAUCAAGCAACUUUAGCCAAGUCAAUUCACCUACUUCUACCGGCAACUUCUUAAUAUCAGAAUCUCUUAAGCAAAGGAUUUCUAGUUUCUUCAAGCCUCCUACAACACUUAGAUCAGGCAGGUAGCACCAACACAAACUCAGUGUUCGAAGGUUUGACAGGAGACCAAGUGAUGAAGGCAGUGACCGUAGAUCCAUGUCAGUCAAGUUUACAACUCUGACCUGUAUCAUGCUCUUGAAAAAGUUGUCUGGAAUUGUUACUCGUGAAUAUUCCCAAGGAUCAUCACUUAUAAAAAGAAGUUCGAGCUGAGGACAUUCCAGUACUUUAGGAAGCAAAUUAGUGUUGAUAUCAUGUAAGACGAUUGAAGUGCAAUGCUUUAUUGCACUUCCGUCCGACCAUUCCCUGCAACCAUCAACCUGCUCAUUUGUAGCAGUAAACACAUUUCGUUCAGUAGAUGCAAUUGAUAUGGCGACAUCGCGAACUACAUCAUGCAUAGAAAACAACUCUUUCUUCUGGCUUAUAUGGUCAAGCAACAUACAAGAAGCUUUGAGUGUGCGCACCAAUGUAUGUACUCGAUUUCGUGCUACUUCAAUCUUAUUCACACCUUGAAAUAAACCCAAUCCCAUACCACACAUUAACAAGUCUUCAAUAGAUGCUAUGGCUGUAUAUCCUAUUAGCAAAAAGAUGUUCUUGAGAUCAUCCCUUCCUAGUUUAUUGUAGCUCAACUCGAUAGCUUUAAAUGCGGCUGGCUGUACAUCCUUAAAAUUCGAUGAAGAAGGCCUUCUUAGCUGUUCCAAUGCAUCCUUCCAUUCACGUAUGCUCUUGUUCCUUAAUGCCCUUGCAACCGUCACAAUGGAAACUGGUAGACCUGCACAUUCCUUUGCCACAUCCCUUGCUACCUCUUUCAAUUCAUUACCUUCAACAUAAUCACCUGCCAUCUUCGUGAAUAGACUCCAAGCUUCAUCUUCUUUUAAAAAUCCAACUGGGAAAUUUUUUCGAGACUCCAUCUCUCCAGACAAUACUUCUUCACUCCUUGCCGUGAACAGCACUUUACAUCCCAUGUGAUCAUCUCCGUGAGGAAUUCCGACAUCCAACAAAUCAAGAUUUUCCCAAAUAUUAUCCAAGAUUACAAGGAUCCUCUUCUCUUUCUUCAGUCGAUCAUAGAGUCUUCUUGCCCUACCCGAUUCACUCUCCUCAUCAAAUUUUAGACCUAGUUUAUCCGCGAUUUCUCCUUGAAGCUUUCUUACGUCUCGACUCUCAGACACCUCAGAAAAAACCACCUGAUCGAAAAGCUUGUCACUCUCUGCUUUUCUAGCAACUUCUUUAGCUAGCGUCGUCUUUCCGAUUCCGCCCAUUCCAUAAAUCAAAAGCAUGUUGACAUUGGGAUUUUUUAAUGCAUCAAUUAUUUCAUUCAGAAUGGACGUUCUUGAUUCAAAGGCCUCGAAGUCUUUGUUAGGCAUAAGCAAGGUAUCCUCCGGAAUGAUGCUGUAGGAAAUACUAUUAACUGGUCUAGCGUCCCGGACUUUGACAACAGCCUCCUUCUGCCUCUCUGCUUCCUUGCUAAGUCGAGGGCGGGUCUUCAAAUUAGGACAUAACCCCUUGAAACAACGCUUAUUUGCAGUGGCUUCAUCUUCUGUAAAUUUAUCUGCCUCUUCAAUGACACUGUUGGCCGUUGCAAGCCAAUUCUCAACGUUCUCUUCAAUCUCUUCUCCUUUUCUUUUAGCCUCAUCAACCUGGUGCUCUGUACUCACCCUCUCAGACUUUAGUUUCGCAACUUCAGUGUUGAGAUUCUGUAAGUUGCUCGUGUACUUACUCUCACGCAAAUAGCUAAUUUGGCGAUAUGCGGGAGGAGCCAAGCACUUUACAACUUCUAAAACAAUAGUAAGAAUGAUUUCAGCCAUCUUCAGUCCUUUGUCCUUGUCUCUCUAUCUCUCUUUUUCUGAAUUUUGGAAAAACAAUUCAACAGGUGACCACAACAAGAUGGAACACAAGUGACUACAACAAGAUGGAACAAAAUAAAAAGGAAAAAAAUACAAAGAGUGGAUGGAGAAUAAAACAGAGACAGCGUCACAGCUAGACACAAUUAGAUAGAGAACAGAGGAAAACCAAAUAACAAGACUUAAGAUUACAACAAACAGAGGCCGAGGUGGAUAUAUAUACUUGGAGAAUAAAAUUCAAGAGCAAAGCGAGUGCUGGGCUGCAGUUUCUUAAGGAGAUUUAUAUAUCAUCCUCAAAAAUAAAUAUUUUAAGGUAGGUAUUUAGACUAUUUCAUCAUAAAAUAAAUGUAAUUAAUUUUCAUAAAUAUGUGAUAUCAAUAUUUAUUUAUUUUUUUAAUUACUGAUGGCCUUUGAAUAUACGAUACAUAUUACUAAUUCAAAAAAUAAAUUGUGAUUAUUUGUUAAUGUAUAUGAUUACUUGUGAUGGUAAACAAGGUAGAUAUGGUAUAUUUUGAAGUAGAAAAAAAAAAACAAAAGAAAAAACAGAGCUUUUACCAUUGCUUGCCUUAUCAUCUUUUAAAUUAAAGUUAUUAUUCUUUUAUUUUUCAAGUUGCCAACUCAUACGCAUUUUCUUUUAUUGAAUUUGAAGAUCAAUGAUUAUAAAUUUGUGUGAAAAUUUUAAGCCAAAAUUUUAAAUUAAAAUAAUCAUUAAGUUAUUAAAAAAUAAUAACUUAAUAUAACAAAUAUUAUAUCAUAUACUUUAUUGCUACAAGAUUACAAAACCUUAUAUUAUAUUAUGUUUCCAUAUUUCUCCUUUAUAGUGAAGACUCAUACUUUUUCUCUAGUAGAUGUUAAAGUAUUGGCUUAAACUUUUUAACCAGCACAGUAAACCCUUAAGCCUAUAUAUGCUAUAAUGUCCCUCUUCCCUCACAGAUCAAACACUAUUUUUCAAAAUAUUAUAUCUUUAGACUUAACAAAAUAUCUUUUAACCAUAUAUGUACAGUUUGUUUGAUCUCUUUUAAAUAUUGGAGAUUACAACAGAACAGAUGCGAAUUAGCAGUGACGCUGAGUUUAGAAGAUUGAAGUUAAGAAAAUUAAGGAAAGGGUAAGGAUGUAUUUUCAAAGUGAAUUAUUGAGAGAUCUUUGAAGAUUACUUCCGUCAAGAGCUGGGUCCUAUACUCUUAACCCUUUGUCCUCCAGUCAACCAUAAGACAAAUUAUUAUUGAGUGUGAGCAGACAUUAACCACCAAAUUUUCAAACUUGUGAUCCUUAUUGAAUCUGCAUUCCCCUUUACAAAAGUAAAAAAAAAAAGUGCAAAUAACGAAACAAAAUUCUGUUCCUUGACUGCAAGUGCUGUCGGCAUUUUCAGACUUGUAAGACCCUUCUACUUGCAAGAUACCACUGAAUUUGUCUUUUUUUUUUUAAAUUACACUAUAUUAUCUUAUAUUUUAUAAAAAAUUUAAUAAAUAUUAUAAAUUAUAAAUUUUUAUAUUUAAUAUUCUCAAAAUAAAUUAUCAAACAAAUGAUUCAUUUAUUAUUUUUUCUUUUAAAUUUUUGUUAUUAAGAAGAUUUUUGGAUAUUAAGCGUGAAGGGCUCCACUGAUCGCUAAUUUUGCAGCAAUUGCCCUUUUCUUUCUCCCCUAAUUGUUUUGAAAAAUAUCUAGUCUCAUUCAGCGAAGUAUCCAAGGCCAAAGGGCUAAAAGAUGGGACACCCACAUGUGCUUCUAAUUAAAAAGGGUUAUUUUUCGCUACCCCACAUGUUUUGAUAAAUCAUAUUGUGUACCCAUUUGUUUCAAUAAUCAUCAGUGUGCACCCAUUCUGUUAAAUUCAGCCGUUUAGUUUAACCAAUCAAGGGUAAAAUGGAUAUUGUACAAUAAAUGAAUAAAAAAUCAAGUUAAACUGUUUGCACAGAAGAAAGAGAACAAGGAGAAGUAAAAGAACAACAUCAUUUCUGAAAAAACAACUCCAUCUCUGCAAAUCGUACCAUCCAAGAGCAUAAAUCAAAGCAAAUAUGGAGGGAAAAUAUUAUGUGUUGGAGUUGAUGUUCUUAUAUCCCCAUCUAGAGUAAGAGGUUUUGACAUGGUAGCGUCUUAUGACACCAUUGUAUUACAAGUUAUCAUUGGUAGUUUUUUGGCUGAAGGCUGGAAGGAGUCAAGAUCAUGGAUGCAACCAAAACCAUUGUCUUCUUCUAUGCCAAAAUUCAUCCUAGAAGCAUCAGCAAUUGGAAGCCCACCAUCACAUGGAAACUUAAGUGAAUCAUCUGGUGGACCUGGAAGCCCUCUAAACCACAGCACCGAAGGAGGCUGCAGUAACAGCAAUCCGCCAAGCAUACUGAAAUUUAAUGAGUUGGUGUUGUGUGAUUCAGCAUCAGUUUUUAUUUUUUAACAUGCAUAUUAACAGUGACUGGUGGGAUUUUUGAAAUUUAAUGAUUUGAAAUUCAAAUUGGGGACAAAAUCACCAUUUCACAAAAUAAUUGUCAGAAUGGUUAAAAUAAACGGCUGAAUUUAACGAAAUGGGUGCGCGGUGAUAAUUGUUGAAAUAAGUGGGUUUACGGUAAAAUUUGUCAAAACAUGUGGGGGGUGGCCAAAAAUAACCGAAUUAAAAAAUCAAAAGUUAGGGGGACCAUAACUUACAUUUAAUAUAAUUUAUGAUAGGAGUCCACUUAUGUUACCACUGUACAACAGGUUUGGUCUUUUCUGACUCAGUUGCUGUAAAAGUUUGUUGAGCCCCUUGUACUCGAUAUUAUUUACUAUUUAUUUAUAAGUAUUAUAAAAAUUUCUGCUUACUUGUUAAAACAAACCUCUCGGCCCCACUCCCCUUGUGCUCGAUAUUUUUUACGCGUUUCUCUUUUCUCUCCCCCACGUGAACACUUUUGCCUUUUGCUGGUUCACGUGAAAGUCAGUUUAGAAUUUUGAUCUUAUUUCACAGAGCUAAUUUUUUAUCACAAGCAGGAGAGAAACGGCAUUUCUUAGCAGUAGUUCAUCACUGUAGUAGCGAGCGAGUGAGGAACAAAAUUACCAACAAUUCUCAAAAAAUAAUUAUAAAAAAUGAUCACAUGCUAUAAUUAAUCAUGACACUUUGACAACAUUACUCCCACCGAGCAAAAGUUAACAGCAUCUUCUCCCACAUUUUUAAAAAAAAAAUUGUAUUAUAUAACCCACCAAAAGUAUAAAGAGUCUUUUCUUAUUAAAAUUAAUAAAUUACUCUUUAUAUUGAGAAAUUAAAAUUUAAAAUGAGAAUGAUGGGCGAUGUUCAUUUCUUAAAAUAAAAAUAAAAUUUAUGAAGUUUAUCUAUUUUUAGAAUUAAAGAAUAAGAACUUAAUUUCUUAUGGGGAGUGUUGGAAAUCAAGUUCUUAUUCCUUAAACUCUCAAUUUUACCUCACAAAAAUUUAUAAGUUCACUUUUAUCUUUAAUUAAAAUAUUAUUAUGUUAUUAUUAUGGUUAUUAUUCUUAUUUUUGUAGUAGUUGCUGUUGUUUUUGUUGAUGAUGAUGAUAAUAGUUGAUAAUAAAAUUAAUAAUAAUAAUGAAAAUAUAACUAUAAUUUUAACAGCUACAAUAAUAAUCAUUAAUAUUAUCGUUGUUGUUCUUAUUAUUAUUAUUAUUAUUAUUAUUACUACUACUACUAUCCUAUUAUAUUAUUAUUAUUAAAUAAUUAUUUUGAAUAAUAAUAAUCUCAAUUAUUAUAACAAACAACGACAAUAAUGAACUAAUGUCAUUUUCAUAACUUAUAACAAUUUAUUUUUUAUUUCAAGACAAAAUAAACAUAUUAAUAAUAAUACAGGUCAUUUCGAUUAUGAUUCUUACAGGUAAAAUAAAUAAUUUAUUAUGAUUUUCACAUCAUAAUCAUAAUUCUUAUAGUAUUAUCUUUAUUUUAAAAUACUUUUUUAUUUAUAUUUAUUAUAAAUUAAUUAAAUUAUACCAAUGAAAAUUAAAUAAAAAUUUAAGUAAUAAAAAUGAGAAAAUAUAUGUUUCCGUUUGAAUAAAAAAUUAAUAAUAAAAUAUUUUUCUUAUUUUUUAAUAUUUUUAUUAUGAAGAAAAUAUAUUUUUCUUUUUUUAAUUAUUUUGAAAAAAUAUCCAGACUCAUUCUGCAAAGUACCCGAGGCCAAAGCGCCGAAAGAUAGGACACCCACAUGUGCUUUUAUUUACAAAAUCUAAAGUUAGGGUGGGUGUCCGAAACUUAAAUUUAAUAUAAUUUAUAAUUAGGUAAAAUUCUUUGAUUGACCCAUUAAAUUUUAUUAUUCUACUACUUAUUUUUAUAUUAAAAAAUUAGUAAUGUAGAAAAAUUCUUAAAAGUUAAUGGAGAAGGAAAAGAAAAAGUGUAAAUGAACUGUAUUCACCUAAGUUUCAAACACGUGGUUCAAUCUGAAUUCGCUUUUUUCAAAAGUAAAUACAAAAGAAAAUAUACAGAAAAAAAAAUUAAACGAGACAAAAAUCUGUGGCGUGGGUCAUUCAUAUCUUUUGUCAUUUCUUUUUUAGAGGUACAUGGGGUGGAUAUUUUGAAGUGACAAGCAGAGCCUUUACUGUUGCUUGCCUUAUCAUCUUUUAAAAUUAGAGUUACUAUUCUUUUAUUUUUAAGUAGCCAACGGAUGGUAGCCAACUCAUCCAUGUUCUCUAUUAUUGAAUUUAAAGAUCAAUGAUUUAUGUUAAUAAAUAUUUUGUUAACUAUCAAAGUUUUUAUUUCAAAAUUACUGUUAUAAUUCAUUAAUUUUUCAAUUUUUCCUUUUUCUAUUCACACAACAGAUUGAUUUGCCCUCCAAAAAAAUGUAUUAGAUUGUUUAAUAUUGUAACAUCAAGAAACUUAUAAUAAAUUUUUAAAGAGAUAACUAGAGAAUGUCAGCCUCGCAUCUACUCAAAAUUAAUAAAUAUACCACUAAUUCCUUAUUAUUUUUAUAAAACUAAUAACUUUCUUGGUAGUAUAAUUUUAUAGUAUUAUCCUUAUUUAUAAGUACAUUUUUAUUCAUAUUUAUUAUAAAUUAAUUAAAUCAUAUCAAUAAAAAUUAAAAUAGAAUAAUAUGUUUUGGUGUAAAUAAAAGAUUGAAAAUAAAAAUAUUUUUCUUAUAUUUUUUGUCAUUUUUAAAUGUUUUUCUUAUAAUAAAUGUACAUUUUAUAUUAUUAAGAUGAAUUUUGAGUAAUGACUCAUUUACUCACUUUUUCUUUAAAUUUUUGUUAUUAGGAGGAUUUUUAGAUAUAAUGAAAAUUGUAAGGUAGGAAGUAAUAUAUAAUAAUUUUAAUAAAGAAAAAUAAAAAAUCUCUUAUUUUAAAAUAUAAGGAGAAAAAUAAUUAAUUUUAAAAAAUUUUAGAAGAUAUUUCAAUAUGCGGUGGGAUCACACCCUCGAGUCUUUGUCGUCUCAGUCAACUAAAAGGACAGAAUAUUGAGCGUGAAGGCUCAACUGAUUGUUAAUUUCACAACAAUUACCUUUUUUUUCUUCUUUUUUUCCUAAUUAUUUUGAAAUGGUAGGUAGCAAUUGCUUACAUCAAAAUAUUUAGACUCACUCGGCAAAGUAUCCGAGGCCAAAAUGACAAAAGGUGGGACACCCACAUGUGCAUCUAAUUACAAAGUCUAAAGUUAAUGAAAAGAAAAAGAAAAAGUAUAAAUGAACGAUAUUCAUUCAAACAUCUAGUUCAAUAUGAAUUUCUUUUUACCAAAAGUAAAUUUGGGCGAGACUUUGCGAGGGGCCUCGGUGUGCCCGCGGGGAGUCUUCGGCUGAGCGCUGCCCAAAAAUAAGCAUCCGAAGGUCGUAUGCUCGCGUGUGAGGCUGCCCCCGCUCGCGCGGCAACGUAGAGUACGCUCACGCACGAGGCUGCCCACGCCCAGUCGCAAGUAGGGCAGCGCGCGCGACAAGUGGUUGCCCACUCUCGCGCACAAAACAAGCUUAUAAUAGAGCAACUCCAGGCAUAUGAGGCAGUAGCCAUAAGACAUAAUUUUGAGAAUGGUGAGUGUGGAAACAGGGAGGAAUUUCAUAAGGUCAAAAAUGGGAUAUUGGCGGGCGAGUCUUUGCGAGGGGCCUCGGUGUGCCCGCAGGGAGUCGCGGGCACAGCCGCGCCCAAAAACAAUGCCCCAAGGUCGGGGUGACAAAAAGGCCCCAGGGCCCCGAGACGGGUGUGCUAUAGCCUUGGUGGGGGGCGCGGGCGAAGUUCGUCCACCAGCGCGGCCGUGCCUGCAACGCUAAACGAGAGCCCUCGGGUGCGCGGGCGAUGCUCGUCUGCCGGACUCGGAAUGGGGCGAGACUUUGCGAGGGGCCUCGGUGUGCCCGCGAGGAGUCACGGUGCCAAAAAGGCCCCAGGGGGCCCGAGUCGGGUGGGCUAUAGUCUUGGUGGGGGGCGCAGGCAAAGUUCGUCCGCCGGACUUGGAAUGGGGCGAGGUUUUGCGAGGGACCUCGAUGAGCCCGCGGGGAGUCGGCGGCCGAGGACCAUCUUGAAGUCAUCCAUGAGGACGAUGGAGAAAUCAAGCUUUCCGCUCCAUGUACCGAGUGUUAAGUGCACGCCUUGUGCAAUUCCCGCAAUUGACUUGGCGGGUGAGUUUACCGCUUUCAUCGUGCCUCUUUCCAUCCCGAUUCCCGAGGCCCGCUGGUCCCAUUGGACGAAACGGAACCACAAUCGGAUGCCCCGAUCAUGAGUUACGGCCGAAACCGGUAAAAACAACCCCGAUCUUACCCCCCGCUGGCGAUCGAAACCCGCUAACGCACUAGCGGAAAAAGGCCCCGAGACGGGUGGGCUUUAGCCUUGGUGGGGGGCAUAGGCGAAGUUCGUCCGCCGGACUCGGAAUGGGGCGAGGCUUUGCGAGGGGCCUCAGUGUGCCUGCGGGGAGUCGUGGGCACCCUGCCCUUCGGGGCCCAAAAAUAAGCGCCCGAAGGUUGGGGUAGCAAAGGCCCCAACGAAAAAAGGCCCCGAGACGGGUGGGCUAUAGCCUUGGUGGGGGGCGCCGCCGCACAAUUCAUCCUCCGCGGCCCUUUCCCCACUCCCCGGUGGGUCCGAGGUGUCCCGGAGAGUUGCGAACUUGACGUGAUAAGUUGUAUAUUUCACGUGAAGUGUUACAUCCUUACUUCUUCAGCUUCCUUGUACGUUCACUUCUUAAGAAUCUGGUUAUGUUUUUUUAAUUUUGGGUAUUUUUAGUGUUGAAAUUUGGCUUGUAGUUGGGCUUAAUGAGUAGUGUAAAGAUUGUAGAUCAAUGAUUAAUGUGCUUGUUGCUGAUUUAUUUCUGUUUUUGUUUCAGAUUGGUGAGUGUCGCCUUGGUGGGGGGUGAGGGCGAAGUUCGUCCGCCGGACUCGGAAUGGGGCGAGGCUUUGCGAGGGACCUCGCGGAUGCAGCCCAGCCUCGCAUGCCAGCAGCACAUGCUCGCGGGCAAGGAUGGGCGCUCGCGCGGGGCAUACAGCAGGCAGUCGCGCGGUAAACUGCCCACGCUCGCGAGGCAAGCAGCGCCUAGUCGGGCAAGGCAGUGCGCGCUCGCCACCAAGGCAAGUAGCCCAAGCUUGCGCGAGGAAGUCAGGCCAGGCUUGUGCGCGCGCGUGGGGCGAGGCUUCGCAAGGGGCCUCAGUGUGCCCGCGGGGAGUCGUGGGCAUAGCCGCACCCAAAAAUAGUGCCCCUAAGGUGGUGGGGGGCACGGGCGAAGUUCGUUCGCCGGGCUCUGAAUGGGGCGAGGCUUUGCGAGAGGCCUCGUUGUGCCCACGGGGAGUCGCGGGCAUAGUCGCGCCCAAAAAUAGUGCCCCAAAGUCGGGGGGCCAUUGACUGGGGUACCACGAUCAUAUUUAACUGUUGUAUGCAUGAAUCCUUGUGACAUGACAUAUAGCCAAUUAAAUUCUGACAUGCGUGCAAUAAAGACUGUAAAGUGACUGGUUAUUCCGGUUGAAUUCACAAGAACUCUUGUUUGUGUGUUUAUGUUCCAAGUUGUGUACUCUUUGUUACGAGUUCUCUAAUUAGUCUGAUAUUAUCGCAACUGAUGCUCAAUAAUGUUACAUGUUUUAUAAUAUAUGUCACUGGUACGAUCGUUGUCACAAAUUUUGAACGAAAAGUUCCUAAUAAAACAAGUUAUUUAAUUAAUUAAAUAAGAAUAAAAUGAAUUUGUGAAAAAAAAUUUAAUUUAAUUUUGAAUUAUUUUAACCAAAAUUUAAGUUUUUUUUAAUUUGUUUAAGAAAAUGCGUUUUAAUUGUCUUGUAUUAAUUGGAAAAUCAAUGAAAAAAUUUAUGUAACAGAAAAAAAAAAAAGCAAAACGUUUUGUUUUGGAUGGAGGCCAUAGAUUCCAAUAUUUCCUUCACGAAAACUACAAAAGAUUAUCAAAGGCAUCAAUUUCUGCACUCUCACCGAGCAAUACUCUUAACCCAGAAGAAAGUGUAUAAACCAACCCCAAUCAGUCCAUCAAUGUCGUCAACCUCAUACAAUAUAAAAAAAAUCCGUCCAUUAAACCGCCAUUUAAACCGUCUUUAUUGAGCCAUUAGACUAUUCGUGUCAUCUUCCCAUCUCGUUGUAGUAUUUUGCCGUUCAAAUCUAGUUAUCAAUUGGGGAAAAUGGGGACCAAUCUGCAAGUCUUUAAAAUAGAUAGGAACUUUAAUUGGGCAGUAUGUUCACAGUGGUGGACCCAGCAGCAUUAAUAUUUAAGGUGGAGCUAUUUGUAUCUUAAAAAUGAUUUUAAAUAUUUUAAUUUCAAUAAGAAUAUACACCCUAGAGCCCCAGACGACCGAAGAUCCGUGCAGGGAUAUAUNNNNNNNNNNNNNNNNNNNNNNNNNNNNNNNNNNNNNNNNNNNNNNNNNNNNNNNNNNNNNNNNNNNNNNNNNNNNNNNNNNNNNNNNNNNNNNNNNNNNAAAUAUAAAAUUUUUUAUUUCCCAACAUCUUAAUAAAAUAUGUAGAUGAAUAAUAAGGAAAUUAACUUGAGAAAAAAAUUAAAUACAAAAUAUGUGUAAUACUUUAAAAAUAAAAUAAAACAAAAGUAUUGCACAAGAUUUUUUAUGGGGGGGGGGGGGGGGGGGGCUUUGGCCAUUCUUCUUCUUCUCCUUCUCUCUCUCUCUUUUUUUUUUUGGGUAGUAUUUAUGGAACAUUUUCUAUUGUUAUGUUCUCAUCACAAGUUAUUUUGGGUGUAAUAUUCAAUAUUGAAAAUAAAUUAAAUGAAAAAUUAGUAACGAAAAUUAUGUUAAAUUAUUUUUUUAUAACUUAAUUUUUAAUUAUAUUAUUGUGAGUAUAUGCUAAAUCUCUUAAAAAUAGAGUGUUGAAUAAUUUUAUUAGUUUUUUUUAAAUAAAUAAAGUUAAGUAACUUAAAAAGUUUAAGUAAGGAUAUUUUUUAAUUUUAAUUAGUGUACAAAGUAAAGUUUAAUUUUUUUUAUAAUUAAAUUAUAAACGUGAAAAAUAAUAGAAUGUUCAAAAUAAUAUUUAGAGUAUUAAUAAUCCUACCUUAAUCUUUAUCAUCACAUUAUUUUUCAUAAAAAGUUUACAAUUACCUCUUUAUUGGAUAAUUUUGUUCCCUCUCUUACCUUAUGUUCCCUUACAUUCUCAUUUCUGCAUCACCAUUUAAAUUGUAAUCAUAACGUUAAUCUUUAUCCAUCACAUAUUUUGCCAAAUUUAUUCGCACCGCAAAGCUCUUUCCUUUUUUUUUUUUUUCCUCCGUUAAGUUUGCUAUAAUGUACGUGAAGAAUAGUUAAAGAGCUCUUUCGUGUCCUUACCCUUUUUUUUGGGUUUACUUUUGCUGCCUUUUUACGUUUCUCCAUAAUUCACUUCAACAUCACUGGCGCAUUUUCUUCUUUCUCACUGCAACAUCAACUGGGCCACCACCUCUUGCCUCUCCCGGUUCCCCUCAAUUUUCGUAUUCAAUGUCCACAGUUGAUUGUACAUUUAUUAAAAUUCUGUGGUUAUUGUUUUUUUGCAUACAUUUAAUUCCACACGGUCUAUCAAUAGAGCAGGUGCAUCGUAGUUGUGGCCUUAACUGUUAUUGGUAACUCAAUAGCUAAUUCUAAUGUUUCAUCAAGCAGUUUAGAGAUAACCUCUCUCGCUGAACACCCUGGAGUAACGCAAUCCAGUUUUUUCCAAUGCAAUCAUCAGACAGUUGAACAGCUUCUGAAUUCCCUUUGCUUUUCUUGUUUUCUUUUCCAUGUAAAGGGAGCUCAGGCUUCAAUAUAUCUGGGGAUUGAUUACUAAUGAUAAAGACAACAUACGGUAGAGGACACAAAUUGUUAUCAAAGAAUGACGCACUUUUCAACUGAGUACAGUAAAGCAAGAAUGGGUAAUUAGUUUUACCUGCAACGUGAAAAUCUAGACUCCCGAUGGUAACCGAUCUUUGGUGAAGCAAAUAAAGAAGAAGGCGAAGUAAAAUUCACUGAGUUGAAUGAGCGAUCAUUGCGUAUGGACUUGAUUUGUUCAAUGGGUGAAAGACUGCUGAUAUAAUUAAAGACUGGAGAAUCCUGCACGUUGACAAGCAUCAUUUUUAAUCUAACAUAGAGUCUUAAAAACCUUGUCAGUGGCAAAUGAUCACGACAAGAAAUCUGAAGUAGAAACAGCAGAGCUCAACAAAUCACUAAGAGAAAAUAAGACCAAUAACCAAGCAGAUAAAAGAAAAGCAAAAUAACCCAUCUCAAAAUCACCACAUGCACAAUUUAAGGGGUUUGUGACAUGGGUUUAAACAUGAUUUAACAAGUGCCACCUGUGAAUUGUCAGAGAUUGUAUUUUCAUACACAUGUCAAAUUUUCAAGUCCAACAAAUUGUUAUCUUUCUAAAGAGGCUAAUAUUAUUAUUAUCUAUGCAUAGCAUGCUAUAAACAAUUCAUAUUCUGUACACAACAUAUGGACAGAGGAACAAAUCCUUGAGCUAAAAUCAUCAUAUUCCAAAAUAUUCUACCCAAAUCAACACCACAAAACGCGAACGCUAAACAGAAUUGGAGCAAUUUACCAAAGCUAUUUGUCACGCAAAGCACUAGUACCUCAGAACCCAAUUUGCAAAAAAACACCAAAAAUGAAAAAUAACAAAUGCCCAGAUGAAAAAUCAGGAAAAAAAAGCUAAAUCCAAAUUACAACCCCAUAAGCUGAGUCGUUCUCUUCGAACUGAAUUAAAAAAAAUUAAAUAGGGAGAUUGACCUCAAACUUUGGAAACAGAAGCGACAGCGAUCUGUUUCUUGUCUGGAGUGUCCAUUUCUAUAAUCUACUUUGUCCGUUUUCAGUCGCUCUGCCACAGAGCUUCUUCCCUCUGAAGCUGAAGCUCACACACACUUGCAAAACGAAAGCAUUUUUUAUUGAUUGAGAGGCGGGAAGGCGGGAAAAUGAGAGAAAUUUGCAUUUGUUUUCUCUUGGUUCGGUCAUACCUGUGCGGGCCCCAGCUUCACAAGCGGUAUUAUUACUAUUUGUAUAAUUUACAUGAAGCAUGUCACGCAAUGACGAUAAAAAAAAAAUAUAUAUAUAUAUAUUGUUAAUUUUUCACUUAACAUUGAAAUAUCAUAUAAUUUUUCCAAUUUUUUGGUUAUUUUCUCGCCCUUAUGCCACAUUCUUUUGAUCAAAUAAUACAGUAAAACUUUUCUAUAAUCAUAAUAUUAGAGCCAAAUUAACUUUGUUUCUGUAAAGAGGCUAUAGCUUAAUAAAGGUAAAAUUAUAAAAAUUAUUAUUUUGACUCAAUUAUCUUUAGUGCAAGUGAUAUAAAGUAUAAAUAUAUGAUAAUUAAUUAAUGAACUAUGUCAAAUACAAUAUGCUGACAAUGAUUAAAAAGAUAGACAUAAUUUCAAGAAACUAAUACAUAUAUUUAUAUAGUGUUGGGAUUAUACAAAAUUAUCUUAAAAGUGUAAAGAGUAAAGUAUUAUUCUGAUUAAUUUUAAAAAAUUAUUUUAUCUUAAUCUUUAAUGCAACAUAGCUUUUUUUUUUUCUUAGCAACAAAUCAUUGUUCCAAAUAAUUAUUAUUGGAUUCAAAUCAUGUCCUAGGCACUUUUUCUUCUAGUCGUCUUAAACUUUUAAUGAUUUAUGUCAUUAAUGAAAUUAAAUAACUAAGACUUUGUUUUAAUUAACGUUUACAUAAAUAGACAUCAAAACUCACGUGUGAUUCUUAUCAAUUUUUUUCCUGCAAAUUCUUUUCCUCUCAACAAUUCAUAUUUUGACAUUAAUUUCCAGCAAAUUAUAAAAAAAAAAGAAGCGUAAAAUGGAGAAAAGUUAUUGACAACAAGGUUUGCAUCUUAAUUUCAAAAUUUUCCUUUCUUUGCUAUUUUUGUGGGUUCUACAAUUGUUGUUUUCACUCUCAGCUGCAGUUCAAUGAACUCUAUUAAUAACCAUGAAGCUUAAUGUAUCAAUUCCAGUACGAGAAGUCCUUCUACGCAUGUUACAACACUUUUUGGUCAUUAUAGGUUGCAAAUGUUCCGUAAUGUACUCAUUCAUAUAACGGAAACGCUAUUAUCAAUAAUGAAAGUUGACUAAGUUUGUAAAUUCUAUUUAACGAAAAAGUAACAUAAAUUUAGUUGAACAAGAGGUAAUCAAUAUGUAAUCUAUGAAACUAGGGUGUGACUAAGUUACAUAGUAAUGUAACUUACAUGAACACAAAAAUAAUUAGUUUUUAAACUACAAGUAGCUUUGGAACAGCUCUUAAAUUGAUAUAAGUUCUAUUAUUAUGUAACUUAGCAUAUUUUAAUAAUAGCACAUCACUAUUGUUUCAUGUGAAUGAUGCAAUUGGAUUAGCCAAUACAUACUGUCAUCCCCGGGGGAUGCUAUGGCAAUAGCUUACUCUACCGUGCCAAUGUCAUUAGUAUUAAUCUGUUGAACCUAAGACCAGAUCUAAGCUGAUCUAGAUUCCCCAAGAUCGCACACCACACAGUGAUUAAUGAAUCAAGAACAAUAAACCAUCAAAGAAUCGCAAACUUACAUGUCGGGUUACAUGUAAUAAAUGUUUUAAUUAUUAGAUGAUUCAUAAUGUUAGACCACUUUUUGUAUGUUUUGUAAUCUACGUUUGAUAAUUUAAUUAGCUGAUAAACACUUGAAUAAUAUUAUUUCAUUAACUAUGUCAUUGAUCCCAAGGAAAAAAAAAAAAACCCAAUUUGGGAUGUUAUACAUUACUUUUUAAUUACUUCCCAUUUUAGAUUAAUAUUUAUCACAUAUAUUCUUAGUAACUUGUAACCCUUUUUGCUAAGGGUGAAAUGUGUUUGUUACCCCUUCUAUUUCUGAGAUUGUCCUUACAAUAAGGAUGCCGGCCCCAAUGUCAAAAACUGCUAUCUCUAGGUGUAAAUUCCUUAUAAAAUUCUUUUUUAAUUGAAGAUAAAUUAAUUUUUUAUUUCAUUAAAAUAAAAAAAAAUCAAUUAAACACUUAAAUAAGCUAUCCUUUUAAUUUUUUUUUUACACCCAUCCAGUUUCAUAAUUUAUAUUUAUAGUUUAAAUUUUAAUGGAAAAUAUUUUUUUGAAAAACUUUAAGAAUUAAGAAUUAUGGGGAUAAAAAUUAUGUAAUAAGAACAAAAUAAUUUAAAAUUUUAAAAUUUGCAUGUAUUAUAAACAAAAACUUGAAAGAAAUACUCUUUUCAGGGUGAAAUUUAAUGAGAAAAAGAUUAAUUUUAAUUUAUGAAUUAGUAUUUUAUAAGUUAAACUGAGGUAUUUCAAGAAAUAGAAUUCAAAAGGCAUGGGAACGAGGGCCUUGGGUUUCAUUUUGUUUUGUAUGAAUUGGGAAAAAUACACGGACAGACAAAGGGAGCAGUCAUUAUAAUGCUGUGAAGCUGGUCGGAGAUACCCUGCCCAUUUGUAGCUUAGACUCCUGGGGUUUUGUUCAUGUCUUUUCUGUAUCCCAGUUUCUCAUGCAGCAGAUGUACAUAUGAUGAGAUGAAAACAACAGCAAAAAUUGCUGUCUCAUAAGAGAAAUAGUCAUACAUAUAGUGGGUUAGGCCUCCUAUCCAUUAACUUAAUAAUGAAUUUUAUGAAAAUUGAUUAUCUCAUUGGAAUUACAUAGAUACUGGAAAACAUUACUCCAGCCCCACCAUCCCAACCAUUUACUUAGUUCAUCAGUAAAAGCUGGAUUUUCCAUUUGUUCUUGAGAUUCAAAUUAAGGCGGCAAGUUGCUCAUUCUAUAUUAUUUAUGUAAUUCUGUAAAAGUGAAGGGCGUUUAGAUGUGGAAAAACCUUACUCCUGCCGCAACACCUCAAACAGAUUGUGAUCAGACAAGACUUAGUUCAUCAUUAGUAGUAGUUGGAGCUUCCAUUUGUUCUAGAGAUUUAAAGGCAGCAAGCUGCUUCCUCAGUGCUACUAAUUCUUCCCCGGCAAUGCAUGUGUAGCCUGAGGCUUGUCUACCAGACAAAGUUGCUCCUUCCAUACUAUCUAUGUAAUCCAGUGAGAGUGAAACCAUUUAGAAGACGUAUCUCUUUCUUUCCAAUAUUUAGAAUGAAACAAUUAUAUAUACAGUUACCUGUUUUGUAUAUGAGCCGGCGAGGAAGAAGUUCUUCACUGGUGUCUUUUGAUCACGUCUGACGGGGUCUUUACCAGGUCCCUCACCGCACAAAGAUUGCCCAAUUUUGACGAAAGAUGACCAAAUAACUUCUAAACCUUGGGAUGAUGGAAAUAGAGCUAAAACCUAAUAAAAGGAACCGUGAAUGGAUAGUAUGGACUCAUGUAUAUUAUCCAGAAAGUUGCAUGACCUUUUGUGGUACUCAGGUCACUAAAAAAUGUGAGAUAAACAUCUAGGAUAAGAAAAGCAAAAAAGCAUAACCUAAUACGUAUUAUAUGAAUUGAAGGUGUCACUGAACGCUACCAACCUGUUUUGCCACUCUCCUUAUGAUUUCAUCAUUUGGUAAGGGCAUAUAAGGAUCUCCAGGCGUCAAAACGCAUCUGAAAUAUAAUAUGGCUAUAGUAAGCAACACGGAAUACAAAGACACUUAGCAAAAGGAAGUCAAUCAGAUUCCAUGCACAAAAAAUAACUAAUAAUGACGAGGAUAAGAAAUUUUUCUUACUGGAGCAAUGAACCUUGCCCUUCUCUGUAGUAGUCUUCUGGUGAAGUGAGUGCUAGAUCUGCAAAGCAAGAGAAAUCUGCAUCUGGAGUAUAUGAAAUGUUAUCUAACCCCAUAGCUUGCCUCAAUUGUCUAUGUUGAUGCGAGAUUCCGGUUCUCCUCGUUCUACGACCAGGAUCUCUGCUCGAUCAACUUCGUCACGACCAGGAGGUCUCCUCGCUAGGCUUCUUCUCCAGAGGUUCCUGCGUACACAGACAAGUCAGAGUACGCCGGUUGUUUUCCCGGCGCAAACCCUCCGACGCUCAAGUCAGAUAUGAAGGUUCGGGGAAUGCUUGCCACAGAUCUUAUGGCUUUUUUGUGGUUUUCUCUUCUUUUUUAUUUCUUUUCUAAUCUCAAAAAUGCCAACCCUUUUACCUCGUUGGCUACCUUUUUAUAGGCUUCGAAUCCCAGUUUUCCACUUUUUUCGAGACGGUAUGGGACUCUGACUCCUGCGUUAUGGGCAAACGUGGGAUCUUGCGUGUUACGCCACGGUUCUGGGGAAAGCGUGGCUGUCGUGGUUCUGUGAGAUCUUGCGUGUUACGCCACGGUUCCGGGGAAAGCGUGGCUGUCGUGGUUCUGUGAGAUCUUGCGUGUUACGCCAUGGUUCUGGGGAAAGCGUGGCUGUCGUGCCUAGAUUCUCGGGCUGGAGAUCAUGUCUUGCCAACUGCCGUCGACCGGGUCUCCUCGCCUCUCGACCUCUAGCCGGAAUGAUCUUAUGCCUCUUACAGGAAAUUGGCCUCGCGGAUGACGUGCUCGUGGACGAGCAGGAUAUUUCUGCUCCUGUUCCCCCGCGCAUCAGGCUUUUACGGAACACACCGGCUCGCAGAACUCUGCCACCAGAUAUCUGCUCACCAUGCCUGGUCUCGUCGACGUAUUUCUCCCAAACACCGGUCCCCCAGUUUCUGGUGUUGGGUAAUGUAGUGGACCAGCAGUAGAAACUCGAUAGUACUCGCUCGCGUGGGAUUGGAAAAGGCUGCCAAGAGUCAUGUCGCAUUUAAUUGCGGACGAGGUGACGUGGCAGAAAUCCCCCCCCUCCAUUUGAAUUUCAAACCGACGGUUAUGAGGCCCUCGGGAUUCGGCGCUGUUAAAUGCUGGCAACCCAAGAGUCCGUCCUCAUUAGGAAAACCAAAUCCUCUCGAACGGCAUAUUCAUCAUCCACUCCGUCUCCGUCUCUGUCUCUCCGGCAAAGAAGUUCCGGCAUAAAAGUCCUCCAUCUCUGAUUUUCACCGACUGAACCAUUACUUCAGGUAUUUCUUCUAUCUCCUUGGUCUCGGAUAGUUGUAGAUAAUUUCUCUUCUCUUCUGUUUGGGUAGUAGUUGGUGGUGUUGUGGUUAGAGCUUAGGGAAUGUCGAAAGGCAAAGAGAAGGUCAUUGAGGUCGAUGACGACGAGUUGGACUUCCUGCCUAGUCUGCUCACCGAUCCUGCUUUUGACCCUGGGAUUCCCUUAGAACCCAUUAGGUCUAGUGUCGGGACUAGUGCUAGGAGGAUGUCUCCCCAAACAACCUCUACGAGCAGAAGUAAUGGUGAGGAGAGAUCUUCUGGCUCUGAGGAUACGUUGAGUGAGAAUGGCGAAGGUGACUCUGGUGAGGUGUCUCCAUCUGGAACAUCACGACCAGAAGAACGGGGUACAGUAGGAGGCAGGGCCUUGUCGCGCGAUUAUGCCAUUGAUUACAUGACGUGCACGACCUCGUUUGACGAGCUCAAUGACCUCCGGCUUAGGUAUAGCAUUCCUGGUGAGAUACCUCUCAAGGUCCCAGGAAAGAAGGAUGCUCCCAGCCGGCCUCCUAGGGGAUAUGUUACCCUGUAUCUGGACAGCUUUAAGUACGGACUGAGGUGUCCCUUGCAACCUUACUUUGCCCGGAUACUUAACGGGCUAAAUCUAGCUCCUGGUCAGCUGAAUCCCAAUGGGUGGAGAGUGCUCUCUGGUCUGUUCAUAUUGUGGGACAGAUGUUGCCAAAGCGAGCCCACGGUUGAUGAGGUGAAGCACCUGUACCAGCUAAAGAGCAGCCCCAAAGAUGCCGGCUGGUACUACUUCCAGUCUAGCACCAAGAGCAGGAAACCUAUAACCGACCUCCCUACUGGUGGUGGUGGGAAUUGGAAGAGAAAGUUCUUUUUUGCUGGGGGUCCUUGGGGUCAGGUUGCACAAAUGGACGGGAAGGAUUAUCGGGUCCCACCCCGUUUCACGGUCCCGGGUUGCCUGCUCGCUUUAGAUGUCUUGUAUCCAUAAUUGUUCUUGCUUUAUUGGCUUGUCUCUAACCAAGAGUCUGUUUGUGUUGUAGUUUCUUGGGGUGUUCACUUCCCGCUCCCACCUGACCAGCUCAAACGGGUCGAGGCUGUGCUCGCCAAUUCCUGCUCGAGCCGAGAACUGCUAACUAUAUACAACUUGCUCGAGUCUCGCUUGGUACUUCCUGGCCAUAGGAUGGAGGACGCUGUGAUUGGGGCUCUGACCCGAAAACGUUCUCGACCUCCAACCACGAAGAGGGACCAGAGUAAGGAUGCCCCUACUGCAAAGCGGGUCAACAUCGUGCAGCAAGUCUCACCCCUGAAGACUUUGCCUCCUGCUCCUGUAAAAGUCGGGGAAGCUAGUGGGGCAGCCACAGAUCAUGCUUCCUCUUCUCCUCCUGUCGGGCUCGAUCUCGUUUACCUGACAGCCGAGCAGAACACCUGGUCCUCUACCUCAAUGAGUUGUCUAAACUCGUGAGCAAGAAAGACCUGGAGGACUUCGACGGCUGCACCUUGGGUGAGUUGGUGGGGGCCAUGCAGCAUAGCGCUUUCCACCUCAGCUGCAUGACCACUUAUUACAAGGCUAAGGUUGGUCGCUACGACCGGAAAAUGAAGGGGGAUAUUCAAUCGGCGACGACCAGAGCUGACGUUGCCGAGAAGAAAGCAGGGGAGCUGAAUCUCGAGAAUCUGAAGCUGAUAGAGCAAGAAUCACUUGCUCAAGCAAAGACUAUUACCCUCGAGGAGGAGCUUACCAAGGUCAAGGAGGAUCUGCAAAGGCAGAAGGCUAUGUAUGAGGCCCAGCUCGAAUCUCUCCGCGACUCCAACCGAGCUCAGGUCGAGAACUGGGAGAGGGAGGCCGAGAAUCAGUAUGACCAGGGACUUCGGCAUUCUUAUCGUUGCAUCAUGGCCGUCAUCGGGAAGCAACACCCUGAUCUGAAGAUGGAUGACCUUGCAGCUGGUGUUGCCCAACAUAUGGACGAGGAGGCGGCCAAGGAAGAUGCUGAAGGGGUAGAGCCGGUCGUGAUCGAGGAGGAAAGUUCUCCCCCUCGUGCAGUCCCUGCUGAUGUUGGUGAGGCGAGCACCCCUCCGGACGCAACUGGUGAUACCCCCCCCGCACCUGAGGAGGUCCAGCCAACCGAUGCUGCUCGGCUUACUGAUUUACCAUCUUUUUGAUAUAUUUCUUUUUGUAUUGUAAUGAACAACGUUUAUGAAAUUUAUCCCCUCUGUUAGCCAUUAACACAUUAAUAAAAAUGUUUUUUGAUUACUUUCUCGUCUUGUAAUCAUCACUUAUUUUCCGUUUGGGAAUCUGCUCGUCUCGUCUGGUCGAGGAGGUUCUGGUUUGGCAUAUGGUUUUGCAACAUGCCUUAGAAAUUUUUUUUUUUUUUUUUUUUUGCUUGGGGAUUCUGCUUGCCUUCGCGUGGUCGAGCAGGUCCUGGCACGCUUGGCUUCAGUCUCGCCAUAAACAGGCUUUGAGACUUGGUGAGGCCUUUGCAUGCCUUAGAAAACUUUUUCGAUGCUUGGGGAUUCUGCUCGACUUCGCUCGGUCGAGCAGAUCCUGGCAUGCUUGGCUUCUGUCUCGCCAUAAGACAGGCUUUGAGACUUUGUCGAGCCUUCGCAUGCCUUAGGAAUUUCUUCAAAGCUUGGGAUUCUGCUGCCUUCUCGUGGCCGAGCAGACCCUGGCAUGCUUGGCUUCUGUCUCGCCGUAAGACAGGCUUUGAGACUUUGUCGAGCCUUCGCAUGCCUUAGGAAUUUCUUCAAAGCUUGGGAUUCUGCUGCCUUCUCGUGGCCGAGCAGAUCCUGGCAUGCUUGGCUUCUGUCUCGCCAUAAGACAGGCUUUGAGACUUUGUCGAGCCUUCGCAUGCCUUAGGAAUUUCUUCAAAGCUUGGGAUUCUGCUGCCUUCUCGUGGCCGAGCAGAUCCUGGCAUGCUUGGCUUCUAUCUCGCCAUAAGAUAGGCUUUGAGACUUUGUCGAGCCUUCGCAUGCCUUAGGAAUUUCUUCAAAGCUUGGGAUUCUGCUGCCUUCUCGUGGCCGAGCAGAUCCUGGCAUGCUUGGCUUCUGUCUCGCCAUAAGACAGGCUUUGAGACUUUGUCGAGCCUUCGCAUGCCUUAGGAAUUUCUUCAAAGCUUGGGAUUCUGCUGCCUUCUCGUGGCCGAGCAGACCCUGGCAUGCUUGGCUUCUGUCUCGCCGUAAGACAAGCUUUGAGACUUUGUCGAGCCUUCGCAUGCCUUAGGAAUUUCUUCAAAGCUUGGGAUUCUGCUGCCUUCUCGUGGCCGAGCAGAUCCUGGCAUGCUUGGCUUCUGUCUCGCCAUAAGACAGGCUUUGAGACUUUGUCGAGCCUUUGCAUGCCUUGGAAACUUUCUCGGUUUCAAGCGAAAGAAAUUCUUCGACGUUGCAUUAAUGGCAGGAUUCGACUUACAUGAAAUUGUUUGGACAUAAAACGUGAAAGAUAAAUGAUAAUGAACAUGAGCAAAAACAGCUUUCAAAUGCGAACAAGUCUUACUGGAAGUAUUUUCGGAGGUGUGCUGCGUUCCAUGGGCGUUUCACCUCGUGGCCGUCCGUGCGAACCAGCUUGUAAGCUCCGGGUCCCGCUAUCUGCUUGACUCUAUAUGGCCCUUCCCAGUUCGGUCCCAGCACUCCUUGAGUCGAAUCUCUGGUGCUCUGAUUCACUCUUCUUAGUACCCAGUCUCCGACCCUGAAUUACCGUAUGUUCACCUUCUGGUUGUAAUACCGAGUAACCCUCUGUUGGUAAACGACUGAUCGCUCGGCUGCUUGCUCCCUUCUUUCCGUUAGCAGAUCAAGAUUCAAACAUAUCUGCUCGUCAUUCUCCUGCUCAUUGAAAUGAUCUGUCCGGUGUGUGGUCGUUCCUAUCUCAGCCGGCACGACCGCUUCAUGUCCGAAAGCCAAAGCGAACGGUGUCUCCCCAGUUGCGGUUUUGUGGGUUGUUCUGUAUGCCCAUAGCACACCUGACAGCUCGUCAACCCACGCACCCUUUUUUGCUCCAAGCCUGGUUUUCAAAAGCCUCUUGAUGGUCUUGUUGGCUGCUUCUACUUGUCCAUUCGAUUGAGGGUGAGCAGGCGAGCAAUACUUCAGCUCUAUCCCGAGGUUCUGGCAGAAAUCCCUGAAGCUGUGAUUAUCGAACUGCCUGCCAUUAUCCGUUACCAAGGCAUACGGGAUCCCGUAUCGACAGACCAGGUUUCUCCACACGAAGUCUGUUGUUUUCUUCUCAGUGAUCCUGCUAAGGGCUUCUACCUCUAUCCACUUCGUGAAGUAAUCUAUAGCAACUAUUGCAUGUGUUGCUGCUCCUCGUCCCUUUGGCAAUGGGCCGAUCAGAUCAAUUCCCCAUUGAGCAAAUGGCCAAGGGGAGGCCAUGGAGGUGAGCUUCUCUGGUGGUUGGUUAGAGAAAUUUGCAAAACUUUGGCAGCUUACACAACUCCUGGUCUUCUCUUGCGCAUCCUGGUGCAUUGUCGGCCAGAAAUAUCCCUGCCUUAGAACCUUGUGGGCCAGGGACCUCCCGCCAGAAUGAUUUCCGCAAAUUCCUUCAUGUACUUCUCUCAGUACGUAAUCCGCGUCGUCCUCAUCCAAACACCGAAGGAAAGGUAGUGUAUAUCCUCGCCGAUACAGUACCCCAUCAAUCAUCGUGUAUCUCGAGGCCUGGGCUCUAAUCUUGCGAGCUCGCAGCUUAUUUGGUGGUAAUACCCCGUCUCUAAGGUAUGAAACUAUCGGGUCCCUCCACGAGCAUUUUUGUUCUAUCCGCAACACCCCCAAAUUCUGAUCGAUACUUGGGCUGGACUUCACCUCCAGAGGGACCGACUUUGGCAUUUUUGGGUCGGCUACUGCUGCCAUCCUCGCCAAAAUGUCUGCUCGAGUAUUCUGCUCCCUGGGGAUUUGUAUCACCUCCACUGCCUCGAACUUCCCCAUCAGCUGCCUGACUAUCUUCAGGUACUGCUCCAUCUUCUCCUCUCUUGGUUGGAAUCUUUCACUGACAUGAUUCGCAACCAGCUGGGAAUCAGUUCUGAUCUUAACUCUGUCUGCUUUCACGGCCUUAGCCAAUUCCAGACCUGCUAUCAAGGCUUCAUACUCUGCCUGGUUAUUUGUGGCUGCAAAUUCCAACUUUACAGCAUAAGAGAUCUCCUCCCCCUCUAGACCUUCCAAGACAAUCCCUGCUCCUGAACCCCGCUCCCCUGAUGACCAAUCCACAGACAUCUGCCAUACUUGAGUUUCGUCAUUGCCUAUAACUGCAUCUUGUUGAUCUAAGCAUACUUCGGGCUCUGUGAAUUCAGCUACGAAAUCGGCCAUUGCCUGGGCUUUUAUCGCUGCGCGGGGUUUAUAGUCUAUGUCGAACUCGCUCAGCUCUACAGCCCACUUGACGAGCCGACCAGAGGCAUCUGGCUUGUGAAGAGUUUGACGCAAUGGCUGGUUUGUUAUUACCGAGACCGGGAAUGCUUGAAAAUAUGGCCUCAACUUCCGAGCAGCAACCACAAGGGCAAGUGCCCAUUUCUCCAACGGUGGGUAUCUGGUCUCAGCGUCGAGCAGGGCCUUGCUGGUGUAGUAUAUCGGAUAUUGAACUCCUUCUUCCUCUCUCACCAGAACAGAACUGGCGGCCCGAUCCGAUACCGCCAAAUACAGAUACAACUUGUCCCCAUCCCUCGGUGUGGACAGCAGCGGAGCUUGCUGCAAGUAUUGCUUCAAGUUCCGGAAGGCUUCCUCGCAUUCUGGGGUCCAUUCUGUUUUCUUCCCCCUCCUUAUCACUUGAAAGAAUGGCUGACACUUAUCUGUAGCCUUGGAUAUGAAUCUGCUCAACGCCGCCAACCUCCCCGUGAGGCUAUGCAUCUCCUUCAGGUUACGAGGAGACGUCAUCUGCACAAUCGCCUGGAUUUUCUCGGGAUUUGCUUCAAUCCCCCUAUGGCUCACCAUGAAUCCAAGGAAUUUCCCUGACUCGACCCCGAAAGCACACUUCUCCGGGUUGAGCUUCAUCUUAUACUUCCUCAAAAGCUCGAAUGUCUCCUCGAGGUGUCCGACAUGUUCCUUUGGGAUUUUGGACUUGGUGAUCAUGUCAUCCACGUACACCUCCAUGGUUUUCCCAAUCAACGGCUUAAAGACUUUGUUCACCAGCCUUUGAUAGGUGGCCCCAGCAUUUUUGAGACCGAAUGGCAUUACCCUGUAACAGAACAAACCUUGGUUAGUGAUGAAAGCCGUGCUCUCCUCAUCCUGCUCGUACAUGGGGAUCUGGUUGUAUCCCGAGAACGCGUCCAUGAAGCUGAGCAGACCAUGUCCAGCCGUUGAAUCUACUAGUUGAUCGAUCUUUGGUAAAGGGAAGCUGUCUUUUGGGCACGCCUUAUUGAGGUCUGUGAAAUCCACACACAUCCUCCACUUGCCGUUUGCCUUCUUUACCAACACCACAUUCGAUAUCCACUCAGGGUAACUGACUUCCCGAAUAAACCCUGCUCUCAAGAGCUUCUCCACCUCGCCAUUUAUAGCCUCAUACCUCUCCUGGUUGAAGCACCUCCUCUUCUGCCUUACUGCCCGAGCACCUUUCUUUAUUGCCAGCUUAUGACAUGCUACCUCAGGGUCAAUCCCUGGCAUGUCUUCAUGUGUCCAAGCAAACACAUCAGCAUGAGCCUGUAAGCAUUUCACCAACUCCUGCUUUUGCUCUCCCUUAAGUCUCGACCCGAUUCUGAUCGUCUUUCCCGGGUUCUCUGGUCCCAGGCUUACUGUUUCCAGAUCCUCUACAGGUUCUUGUCUGCCAUUCUUGUUUUCCACUCGGGUAUCGAGGGAUGUUAUCUGCAUUGCUUCCCUUGCUGCCGAGGAGUAGCAGCUUCUUGCAAUCCUCUGGUCUCCUCGUACCACACCUACUACCUCAUUCACCCGGUACUUCAGAGCCAGAUAAUGGUUGGACAACACCGCUUUGCUCAUCCUUAAAAAUGGCCGACCUAGGAUCAUCUGGUAAGGACCUUCCUCAUCCACUACGACAAAGUCCAGUAUCAUUGUUCUUUCUGUCGGGGAGCUCCCAAUUGUGAUAGGCAGCUCGACCACGCCCAGAGGGACCAGCUUCCCUCCUCCGAACCCCUUCAAGGAGGUAUUGGUGUAUUCCAACUUCCGGUCGGCUAUUCCCAUCUCUUCCAGGGUUGACUUAAAUAACACAUCAACUGAGCUCCCUGUAUCAAUCAGUAUCCGGUCAAACUUCUUGCUAGCGACAGUAGCCUUGAUGACUAAAGCAUCCUCGUGGGGGUAUAGAAUCCCUUCCUCAUCCUCAUCCGUCCACAUGAUUGGCACUUGCCCGACCCUUGCUCGUUUGGCUGCUGGGGUGUUGAAGAGUACCUCUUUACUGGUCAUGGCGUAUCUAGCAUAAUUUUUUCUCGAUCUGUUGGAAUCUCCGGCCAAUGUUGGGCCCCCAGCUAUCACCCUUACUGCGGGUUGCUCGCGCCUCAAGUUUCUACCACUCUGCUCCCCUUCAUCUGUUGUGGCCACCAUCGGGAAAGUCCCAUCCAUAAACUCGUCCAGGUACCGAUUUCUCACAAAAUCUUCGACCUGGGUCUUGAGAUCUCUACACUCUGCUGUGGUAUGGCCAUGGGUGCCAUGGAACUUACAAUAACGUCCUCUAUCCCUCCUGUUGGGUAGCUUUGUUAUUGGUGUAGGGAGGUGCAGCAGCCCUCGAUCCUUUAUGGCCUCGUACACCUCAUCCAGGGACAUCUUCAAGGAAGUGUACCGCCCAUAGUCCUGGUUCUGGUCGAUCAGGUGCACUGCUCUUUCUCUGUUCUGCUCGUUCUGCUACUGUGGGAAUGUUGAUGAAGACCACCAGAUGCCGAAUCAUGCAUUCUCCAAGGCUCCCUAGCUGGGGAACGAGGAGGUUGCGCCCCGCUGCGCUGAUACUGCGGUGGCCUCUGAUGAGGCUGGUAAGCGGUUACCCGGCCUCCUGCUCCACUACCGGAGGCCUGGUGAUCCCUCCUCCUGAUCGGCCCAUUCCCCGGUAAUGCUUUCUUCUCUUUCCUCCCCAACCCUUCUAACUGGUCUGUCUUGAUCCGUGCAGCCUUCUCCUCUUCAAUCUCGAUGUCUCUCUUAGCCUGUUCGUAUGCGGCUGCAUACGUUUGAAUAGCUGGGCUUCUCAAAUUGUACCACAGCCUUCCUAUCUUCACCCAUUCUUUCAAUCCCCUUAACGCCUGAGGGUGGUUGAAGGCUCCCAAGUCGAGGACAGCCCGAUGAAACCUCUUGAUGAAUUCCCGAAGGGUUUCUUGCUCCCCCUGUUUCAUGCUUUUCAGCUCCAUCAUGUCGUCUUCCGGUGCCAUUGCCCCACUAAACUGCUCCGCGAAUUCCUGGCACAUCUGCUCGAAGGUUUUAAUGCUGCCCCGAGGAAGUUUCCUGUACCAUUCUCGUGCACGUCCCUCAAGGGAUAGUGGGAACACCCUGCACCUUUGGGAUUGAGAUAAUCCUUGUACCCCAGUUAUGUCGUUGAAGCGCUCUAUGUGCACCAGCGGAUCAGUUCUUCCCGAGUAUCUGAGGUCUGGGAGGCGGAAAUCUCUCGGAAUAACUGCCCUCAUGAUCUCUGCUGCGAGCGGUGAUUCUCCGUCCAGCAUUAUCCUCCAACCAGGGGCUCUGUUCCUUCCUUGCAUGUCGUCAAUUAUCUGCGCUAGUCUGCGCAAUUCCUCCUCCAGCAACCCUGCACGACCAGGGUCACGUGCUGCAACUUGAUCCCGCUCUUGCUCUACAUCAUGCAAGUGUUGCCUCAACUCUGUUUCCUCUGCAUUCACCUCCCCGUCGUCCUCGUCACAAGUCUGUCUUGCCGGGGACUGCUCUCUUUCUCUAUGAAAUUCUCCCCGUGGAGGUACGUUACCUCUCUCACCACCAAAUCUCCCUGUGGUUUGACUUCUCCCCGCACUAUCGGGACCUGGUGCCACUCCACCGCCUCUCACCCUUCCCUCUUGGGUUACCCUUCGCUCGCUCCGCAGCUCAUGCAGGAUGGUUGUCAAGGUCUCCAUCUGCUUUUCCAUCCGUUCCAUCCGGUCGAACAUGACUUUUUCCUGUGCUUCACUGACUAUCUCCCUCAGCGUCACGGAAUCGUUAAGCCUCCUAUCACCCCCUUGUGCACUACUUCCUCCUGUCUCCAUCGCUUUUCACUCGCCUCACCCCUCUUCUUGCUAUCAACAGAAGCUUUUUGCUUCGGUCUCCACAGACGGCGCCAAAAUGUUGAUGCGAGAUUCCGGUUCUCCUCGUUCUACGACCAGGAUCUCUGCUCGAUCAACUUCGUCACGACCAGGAGGUCUCCUCGCUAGGCUUCUUCUCCAGAGGUUCCUGCGUACACAGACAAGUCAGAGUACGCCGGUUGUUUUCCCGGCGCAAACCCUCCGACGCUCAAGUCAGAUAUGAAGGUUCGGGGAAUGCUUGCCACAGAUCUUAUGGCUUUUUUGUGGUUUUCUCUUCUUUUUUAUUUCUUUUCUAAUCUCAAAAAUGCCAACCCUUUUACCUCGUUGGCUACCUUUUUAUAGGCUUCGAAUCCCAGUUUUUCGCUUUUUUCGAGACGGUAUGGGACUCUGACUCCUGCGUUAUGGGCAAACGUGGGAUCUUGCGUGUUACGCCACGGUUCUGGGGAAAGCGUGUCUGUCGUGGUUCUGUGAGAUCUUGCGUGUUACGCCACGGUUCCGGGGAAAGCGUGGCUGUCGUGGUUCUGUGAGAUCUUGCGUGUUACGCCAUGGUUCUGGGGAAAGCGUGGCUGUCGUGCCUAGAUUCUCGGGCUGGAGAUCAUGUCUUGCCAACUGCCGUCGACCGGGUCUCCUCGCCUCUCGACCUCUAGCCGGAAUGAUCUUAUGCCUCUUACAGGAAAUUGGCCUCGCGGAUGACGUGCUCGUGGACGAGCAGGAUAUUUUUGCUCCUGUUCCCCCGCGCAUCAGGCUUUUACGGAACACACCGGCUCGCAGAACUCUGCCACCAGAUAUCUGCUCACCAUGCCUGGUCUCGUCGACGUAUUUCUCCCAAACAGUCUACAUGUUCAAAACAAGGAUCUGUUAAAAAAUGGAAAUUUCUUCAAUGCAUUAGUAAAGGGAAGUGAAGUGAAAGCUGAUUUCUUAGGCCUUCACAGAGUUAGGCCUUCACAGAGCAUCAUGUGUUUGAAUUCCGGUAACCUCACAAAAGAUUAGAGCAUCACCUUGACGGUUCUAGGUCUUGCAACUCAGUAACCCAACCAUUGUAUCUAAGCUGCACUGUGACAACAGGAACUCCAACUAGCUCAUAAAUAUUGUUGAAAAUUUUCAUUUCCCUCAACGAUGAUGGAAGCAAUCUUUUAAUUCCAGGGACAUCACAUGCGGCCAUUAAAUAAGAAGUUGAAUAAAGAAAAAUCGUUCAACUAAAUGAUUCAGGAGUUAAAAAAAAAUUGUAGAAGUAGAAAUAAAUAACGAAGAUUUAACCAUGAACCUGCAACAUAUGCAUCAGCUUGCACAACCUUCUUGUCAGUGGCCUGAAAUAGAAUGAGAAAUUGAAAGACAGUAAGCAUUAAAGAAUAAACUCAAAGAAGCUGCUUCUAACAGAUGAUAUAAACAAUAAAUUUACAAAUGUCAGUGUUAAGCAAAUAAAAGCACCAGGUCGGCCAUGAUACUAUUUCCACCCCGGCAUGAAUCACCUCAGCCAAAUGGUACGAGCAGAACAGGGGGUAACAUGAGCCGAUCCGAGACGAAUACUGACCAGAGCCAUAUACCGAGCCGGUACCCGUCCCCCAAAAAGUGGAAACACGAUCUCACAGAAUCACGGUAGUUGCGUUUUCCCAGAACCGUUGCGGGAGACGCGAGAUCCCAUGUUUGCCCAUAAUGCAGCAGUUAGAGUCCCAUGAGAGGCUACCACUACCCGAAAAAGGUGGGAUGAAGGGCAAACGGGAACGUGGGGACAGCGGCUAUAAAAGAAGAAGAAAUCGAUGAAGAAGGGGACAGAAAAAUGAAGAGAGGGAAAACGCUGCCAAAUUGCAAUUAGGCAUUUUUUACAAACUUCGAAACAAGUUAGAAACCAUUCUUGAAUCCAAAUUACAUUGUUUUCCCGUAAACACCUUGUGCUAACUUAGGCAUCGGAGGGUUUACGCCGGCAAAACCACCGGCGUCUCUGAUCCGUUUUUGGUGAACGCAGGUCUAGUAGGAGAGAGGAGGGUGAUUCCAACCCCAGUGGUUCGAGCAACAGUUAAUAACACGAACGUUGGUGGAGGAAUUUGGUCGGCCAAAAGGCGAGCAGAUUUAAGCAUCAACAUUUUGGCGCCGUCUGUGGGGAGCUGGAUAAAAAGCUACCACCGAAUUAGUAGUUACCGGAGAAACAGCGAACGAUUAGACAUGGAUUUGCCAAGGAAGGACGCUUUGAGGGAGGAUAACGAAUCGGGGGAGACAAUCACCCUUCGGGAAAUUGCAAAUGAAGCCCGAGAGAGGGUGAUGCAGGAUCGGUUGGAACGAAUGGAGAAGCAAAUGGAGACUCUCGCUACCAUACUGAAUGAGCUGAGAGAUGAGCGGAGAAGGGAUUGCGAAAUCCCCGUGGGGAGAGAUGAUAUUGGAGCAGAACUCAACCUCCGGAGGCGUAGAGUCGAGGAAAUCCCUCUGCCGGCGGACCAACCUUAUGGGGUGCAUCCCCACAGAAGCACUGGUCGGGUUCUUGGAGAACAAGUAGAUGAAGGGAGGAACCAACCUCGCCCCAGGCGAGUACCGGAAGCUGAUGACCGAGGGGCCAGUGCUGAUGAAGGAGAGUUAAGACAGCGGUUGCAGAAUGUCGAGCAGGAGCGAGAUCAGAUAGCUGCACAUGAUCCUGACCGUGCUGUAGAAUUGGAGGGAGAGGUGCGCAGAUUAGCGAAAGUGAUAGAGGAGAUACAGGGUAAGAGGAAGCCCCCAAGCUGGAGGAUAAUGCUAGAUGAAAAAUCUCCACUAUCAACUGAGAUCAUGGGUACCAUAAUCCCAAGAUAUUUUCGCUUCCCUGACCUCAAAUACCCCGGGCGAAGUGACCCGCUGGUGCACAUUGAGCGUUUCAACGACAUGACGGGUGUGCAGGGGCUGACACCAGCUCAGAGGUGCAGGGUGUUCCCGUUGACAUUAGAGGGACGAGCCCGAGAAUGGUACCGCAAGCUGCCCCGAGGAAGUAUAAAGGGGUAUGAGCAAAUGUGCCAGGAGUUGGCCGAGCAGUUCCGAGGGGCAGUGGCCCCAGAGGACGACAUGAUGGAACUGAUGGGGAUGAAACAGGAAGAGCAUGAAUCCCUUCGAGAUUUCGUAAAACGAUAUCACCGAGCCGUGCUGGAUCUGGGAGCUUUUAAUCACCCGCAGGCGUUGAGGGGAUUAAAAGAAGGUGUAAAAAUCGGCCGGCUGUGGUAUAACUUAAGAAGCCCCCUUGUACAGAAUUACUCGUCGGGGUAUGAGCAGGCGAGGCGAGAUAUAGAAAUCGAAGAGGAGAAAUCGGCAAGAAUAAAAAGUGAACAGCUGGACGAGCUGAGGCGAAAGGAACGGAGAGCCCCGACAGGGAGCGGGUCGGGAAAACGAGUUGGAGAAUCUUCAGUGAUGGGCGGAAUAUCGGCUCGGUCCCGCCCUUACCCCAUAGCUCCGAGGUCACAGCAGUUCCAGCACAACCGGGCUCAACCUCCGCGUCCCCCAUUUCCGGAUCGGCAACGAGAAUUCCGGCAGAUGGCUGCCCACCCCUAUCACAACACUCCCAGAGCAUCACAUGCAACCAAUUCCAGGGCUAGUCAACCAGAUCAGUUAGCGACUGUGCCAGCCCGAGGUGACAUUCAUGAUAGCCGAGCAGUUCAGCUGAUAGACCAGAGCUUGGCGUAUAGACAGUACACUCCAUUAAAGAUCUCCAUGGAGGAAUUGUAUGAGAGGAUCGAGGGACGAGGUCUGCUGUACCCUCCAGCCCCUAUAACAAAACCGGCUCACCGACGGGAAAAGAGCAAAUUCUGCAAAUUCCACGACACUCAUGGUCACACUAUCAGCCAAUGUCGUGACCUGAAAAUUCAGGUGGAGGAUUUGGUGAGAAACUGUUAUUUGGACGAAUAUGUAGAUGGAAUGUCCCCCGUCAUUGAAUCACAAUACACGCGGGAUGAAGGAGCUGAGAUGGGCCUGGAACGUGAACAGCCGACUAUCUGUGUAAUAGCAGGGGGGCCAACAUUGGCUGGGGAUUCGAACAGGGCACGGAAGAACUAUGGGAGAUAUGCCCUGACUAGCAAAGAAGUGCUUUUCAAUUUGCCGGCAACCAAGAAGGCAAAAGUGCGGCAAGUUCCCAUUAUGUGGACAGAUGACGAUGAGGAGGGUAUCUUAUAUCCGCAUAAGGAUGCAUUGGUGAUCAAGGCAAUGGUGGCCGGUACAGAAUUGCGAUGAAUACUAGUAGACACAGGCAGCUCGGUUGACAUCCUGUUUAAGUCGGCUCUAGAUGAUAUGGGGAUUGCAGACUUGAAAUUGGAGCGGACAAAUACAUCCUUAAAGGGAUUUGGAGGGGGACGGUUAACUCCCAUGGGGAUCAUCGAACUCCCAAUUACUAUGGGGACAAAGCCAUUUGAAAGAACAAUGAUGCUGGAUUUUGUCGUGGUAGAGGAAAGAAGCCCUUACCAGGUGAUACUAGGGAGACCAUUCAUGAGGAUAAGCCAAUGCGUUGUAUCCACGCAUUACUUGGCACUGAAAUACAGAGUAAAUGGGGUGGUUGGCGUAGUAAAAGGCGACCAGAGGAUGGCAAGGAGUUGUUAUGCUACAGCGGCCAAGGAGACACUGCAGGUUACUUCUCUAGAUAAUCGAGGAGAGUCUAAAAAGGGCCGCCAAGAGCCUGUUGAGAAACUGGAGGAAGUUGCGGUAAGCAAAAGCAACCCGAGCAGAGUAGUGAAGAUCGGGUCAGGAUUGGUUGGGGCAGUAAAAGGCGAGCUGAUAAAUUGCCUACAGUCUCAUGCGGAUAUAUUCGCCUGGUCUCAUGAAGAUAUGCCCGGAAUUGAUCGCGGGGUAGCUUGCCACAAGUUGGCAAUCAAGAAGGGGGCAAGGCCGGUGAGACAGAAGAGGAGAUGCUUCAACCAAGAAAGGUACGAGGCCAUAAACGCCGAGGUGGAGAAGCUGUUGAAAGCAGGAUUUAUAAGGGAAGCCAAGUACCCAGAAUGGAUUUCAAAUGUAGUCCUGGUAAAAAAGGCCAACGGGAAGUGGAGAAUGUGUGUGGACUUCACGGACCUCAAUAAGGCAUGCCCAAAGGACAGCUUUCCCCUACCCAAAAUAGAUCAGCUGGUGGACUCAACAGCAGGUCACAGUCUGCUGAGUUUCAUGGAUGCCUUUUCUGGAUACAACCAAAUACCCAUGGACGAGCAGGAUGAGGAAAGCACUGCCUUUAUAACUAACAUGGGUUUGUUUUGCUACAGGGUAAUGCCUUUCGGCCUAAAAAAUGCAGGAGCCACCUAUCAAAGGUUGGUAAACAAGAUCUUCCAACCGUUGAUUGGACACACUAUGGAGGUAUAUGUGGAUGAUAUGGUUACAAAGUCCAAAGAGCCGAGGGAUCAUGUGAAGCAUCUAGAAGAGACCUUUGAAUUACUGAGGAAGUAUGAGAUGAAACUAAACCCGGAGAAAUGUGCAUUUGGGGUCAGCUCGGGCAAGUUUAUGGGAUUCCUGGUAAGCCACCGAGGGAUUGAGGCCAACCCCGAAAAAAUACGAGCGGUUACAAAUAUGAGAUCUCCGCGGACAGUUAAAGAGGUGCAGAGCCUUAUAGGGAAGUUGGCAGCAUUGAACCGAUUCAUCUCGCGAACCACAGAUAAAUGCCACCAUUUCUUCCAAAUCAUAAAGAAAGGGAGAAAGAUGAAAUGGACAUCAGAGUGCGAGCAAGCAUUUGGGCAGCUAAAGGAAUAUCUGGCCCGUGCACCGUUACUGUCAACUCCGAGAGAGGGUGACCAGCUGCUUUUGUACUUGGCAAUCUCCAAGCAGGCUACCAGCUCGGUCUUAGUCAGGGAAGAAGAAUGGAAGCAACACCCGGUAUACUACAUGAGCAAGGCCCUGGUGGACGCAGAAACCAGAUAUCCACUAAUGGAGAAGUGGGCGCUGGCUCUGAUAACGGCAGCACGCAAACUCCGACCAUAUUUCCAAGCCCACCAGAUAGUUGUGAUGACUGACCAGCCCCUUCGGCAAGUGCUUCAAAAACCAGAUGCGUCUGGUCGGUUAGUAAAAUGGUCAGUGGAGCUGAGUGAAUUUGACCUGACCUACAGGCCCCGAGGAGCAAUCAAGGCCCAAGCCCUGGUAGAAUUUAUGGUAGACCGAGCUGAGCCAGGGGAAAGAGAUCGGGAGGAGCAACCGUUAGAGCAGGAGAAAACAGAAGGGGUGUGGUUAGUAAUGGUUGACGGAUCCUGUAGUGAGCAAGGAUCCGGAGCNNNNNNNNNNNNNNNNNNNNNNNNNNNNNNNNNNNNNNNNNNNNNNNNNNNNNNNNNNNNNNNNNNNNNNNNNNNNNNNNNNNNNNNNNNNNNNNNNNNNNNNNNNNNNNNNNNNNNNNNNNNNNNNNNNNNNNNNNNNNNNNNNNNNNNNNNNNNNNNNNNNNNNNNNNNNNNNNNNNNNNNNNNNNNNNNNNNNNNNNNNNNNNNNNNNNNNNNNNNNNNNNNNNNNNNNNNNNNNNNNNNNNNNNNNNNNNNNNNNNNNNNNNNNNNNNNNNNNNNNNNNNNNNNNNNNNNNNNNNNNNNNNNNNNNNNNNNNNNNNNNNNNNNNNNNNNNNNNNNNNNNNNNNNNNNNNNNNNNNNNNNNNNNNNNNNNNNNNNNNNNNNNNNNNNNNNNNNNNNNNNNNNNNNNNNNNNNNNNNNNNNNNNNNNNNNNNNNNNNNNNNNNNNNNNNNNNNNNNNNNNNNNNNNNNNNNNNNNNNNNNNNNNNNNNNNNNNNNNNNNNNNNNNNNNNNNNNNNNNNNNNNNNNNNNNNNNNNNNNNNNNNNNNNNNNNNNNNNNNNNNNNNNNNNNNNNNNNNNNNNNNNNNNNNNNNNNNNNNNNNNNNNNNNNNNNNNNNNNNNNNNNNNNNNNNNNNNNNNNNNNNNNNNNNNNNNNNNNNNNNNNNNNNNNNNNNNNNNNNNNNNNNNNNNNNNNNNNNNNNNNNNNNNNNNNNNNNNNNNNNNNNNNNNNNNNNNNNNNNNNNNNCCAAAGCUUCUCCGAAGUUCCUGUUCAAUCCUCAGAAAAGCUGACCACAAUGACAUCCCCAUGGCCUUUUGCCCAAUGGGGAAUCGACCUGAUUGGCCCAUUACCGAAAGGCUGAGGAGCGGCAACCCAUGCAAUUGUAGCAGUAGACUACUUCACCAAGUGGAUAGAGGUGGGGGGUCCUUAGGCAAAUCACGGAGAGAAAGACAACGGAUUUUAUCUGGAAGAACAUCAUCUGCCGAUAUGGGAUCCCCUAUGCCAUCAUUACAGACAAUGGGAGACAGUUUGACAACAGCAACUUCAGAGAGUUUUGCCGAAAUUUGGGGGUGGACCUGAAGUUCUGCACCCCCGCACACCCCCAGGCAAACGGACAAGUGGAAGCAGCCAACAAAGUGAUAAAGAAGCUCUUGAAAACCAGAUUGGGAGAGAAGAAGGGAGCUUGGGUUGACGAGUUACCAGGGGUAUUGUGGGCUUACCGGACAACUCACAGAACUGCUACAGGGGAAACCCCGUUCGCUUUAGCUUUUGGUCAUGAGGCAGUAGUCCCAGCAGAGAUUGGAGUGGGGACACAUCGAACGGAAUAUUUCGCUGAGGAACAAAAUGACGAGCAGAUCUGCCUAAGCCUGGACCUACUUGAGGAGAAAAGGGAAGGGACCUCACAGAAAGUGGCCCAGUGUCAGCAAAGGGUCACGCGUUAUUACAACAAGAAUGUACACGUGAGGUAGUUCCGAGCAGGAGAUUGGGUACUUAGGAAGGUGAAUCAAAACACUAGGGAUCCCAACCAUGGAGCUCUUGGCCCAAAAUGGGAAGGCCCGUAUAGAGUAAUACGAGCAACGGGACCAGGAGCUUAUAAGCUAGCAUACCCAGAUGGGCGAGACGUGAAGAGGUCGUGGAACGCCGAGCACUUAAAGAAGUAUUUCCAGUAAGCAAAAUACUCUACUAAAUCUUCAAUUUGAUAAGUUAUAUUUGUCAAAUGCAUGGUGGCUUGGUGCACAUGCAUAUAUUUUGUAUUUUUGUAACGCAUUCAAAUUUCAAUAAAGAUGAAUUCAGCAUGAAAUCCCCCGGCUAAUAAGCCCAUCAAAAAUUUACCAAGGCAAGUAAGUGCCUGCUUCUGCUCGGUCAACGAAAGACCAGCAGCUAAUUCUACAAAAAAUCUUACUAAGGCAAGUAAAUGCCUACUUCUGCUCGGUCAACGAAAGACCAGCAGCUAAAUUUAUGAAGAUUCUACUAAGGCAAGUAAGUGCCUACUUCUGCUCGGUCAACGAAAGACCAGCAGCUAAUUCUACAAAAAAUCUUACUAAGGCAAGUAAGUGCCUACUUCUGCUCGGUCAACGAAAGACUAGCAGCUAAAUUUACGAAGAUUCUACUAAGGCAAGUAAGUGCCUACUUCUGCUUGGUCAACGAAGGACCAGCAGCUAAUCCUACAAAAAUCCUACUAAGGCAAGUAAGUGCCUAGUUCGGCUCGGUCAACGAAAGACCAGCAGCUAAAUUUACGAAGAUUCUACUAAGGCAAGUAAGUGCCUACUUCUGCUUGGUCAACGAAGGACCAGCAGCUAAUCCUACGAAAAUCCUACUAAGGCAAGUAAGUGCCUAGUUCGGCUCGGUCAAGGAAGACUAGCAACCAGUUUUACGGAAAUUUUACUAAGGCAAGUAAAUGCCUACUCCUGCUCAGUCCACUAAGGAACCAGCAGGCAAAAUCAGAUAAGUUGUCCAAUUGUUUUUCAGAAACAAUCUAUGAGCAAAAACCGGACAAGAAAGCAAAUAAAGAGCAUCUAAAAAUUUAUAAAUGUUCAAUUGUUUACAAAACAAAUGCAAAUCUAGAGUUUAUACAAAAAUAGGCUCAAAGCUUAGCAGAGUCAACGGCUCCAGCAGCUGAAGGAUCAGCGAGCUCAGGAAGUAAGGGAUUAGCAACAUUAGGAGGUGGGAGAUCAGCAAUGCCGGGAGGAGGAGGCAUGGACCCUUGACCCACUUCGAAAGUGCGUCCCCCAACUUCCCCCUCUUGCACCCCAUCCAAAGGAGCCUCCACCUGAUCCUGCUCACCCUGCUCCUUGUCCGCCUGGCCGACCUCUGCCAUAUACCGCUGCACUCCAGCCUCUAACUUGCUCAUGUCCAGCUCGGGAUAUUCCCCCUGAAGCACAUACAUGAUACACUUAUAGGAGAAAGCAACCCCCGAGUCAUACUCGGCAUCCAACCGAUCGCCCACAUCAGCGGAUUUGCCUUUCUCCUCAGCCAGCUGCUCAUUCAGGGAUUUGAUUUCUCCCUCAAGGGCGGUCCUCAAAGUAUCUCUUUCACUUUGAGUUACCUGAAGGUCCGACUUCAGGCCACCCAACUCACCCUCAAACUUGGAGGCAGUAGACUCAGCAACUGCAACUUUCUCCUCCAGCUCCGUAAUCUGCUUGUUCAGCUCGGCUAGUUUCUCCCUGGAGCGGUCAGCAGAUUCAGCUUUCUUUUUCAACUCCUGAUUAUCAGCUUGAAGCUUCUUCUCAUGACGCGCGGACUUGGUCUUGUAGCACGAGACCAUUGUGGCCAGCCUGAAGGAGACUCUCUGAACAGAAGCAGCUAACUCAGAGAGGCUCAUGCUCUCGAUGUCCUUCACCAUCUUGGGCCCAACCGAUUUUUUAUAAUCCUUCUGAUAUGGGCUCAGGUAGUCACCUUGAUCCCGAGAUGGGAGAGGAGAAGAUCGGUCCCCAGACUGCAAGCUGACCUCAGGACUCUUGUCGGAGGUUUUCUCCCCACCACUCUUAUGAGGUGGAGGAGGGGGCAGAGCAGGAACAGGCGCCUUGGAAGGACCGACGCUGGGUUUCUUUGGAGGAGGAGGAAGGUUGCUGGAGCUACUCGGAGCCCGACCACGCUUCCUGCUCAUCGCGCUGAGGAUCUUGUUAUCCAUUCCAGCGGCUAUGUCCACUAGGCCCGAACCGACCAGGUUUGUUGGCGACAGGAGGUCUUGGCAGGUAGACGCGUUCAACAGAGCAGUUUCCACCUGAAGCAAAGGUCGAUCUUCAAGCCCCCCGAUCAAACCCCACGACUCUGAAAUAGCAAAAGAGGUUAAAGAACUCGAUAAGUGACAAUUUGAGAAAGAAUAUAGGCAAAAAAUGAACGACCUGGGGUGACAAACUGCGUUGGAAGGUAAAUAUCACCACCCAACGAACGGAGUGCUGAACACCACUUUCCCCCAGCAAAGAAGAAUUUGUUCUUCCAAUUUUUGCACGAGGAGGGGAAACCAGUGAUUGGCUUUCUCUUCGCAGAACUAGACAUGAAGUAGUACCAGCCCGCCUCCUUUGGGUUGCUCCGCAGCUGAUACAGAUGUUUCACUUCAACAAGGGAAGGCUCCUCCGACCCGCACCUCUCCCACAAUACAAACAUUACCGAGAGAACCCUCCACCCGUUCGGGUGUAGCUGACCUGGGGCCAGGUGCAUACCCCCCAAUAUUUUGGCAAAAUAACGCUGAAGGGGCAGCCGAGCUCCUAGUUUGAAACUCUCUAGGUGCAUUGUCACAUACCCCCGCGGAGGCGGACUAGGAACGUCACCCUUCCCAGGAACUACAAGGAGAACCUCCUCAGGAAUGUCGUAGAGGUUCCUAAGCUUGAAUAAGUCAGUUUGGGUGGUGGCACAAGCUAUGUAAUCAAUAGGGUAGGAAUCAGCCUCCACCCUAUGGCCAAGAUUCCUUUUCUUAGUAGGUCCGCUCGGUCCGGAACUGCUCCCCUCACCAUCGCCAACUCCUUCAGGGAUCCCAACCCCACCAGAGCUGUGGUUCUCACCAGAUCCCGACGCAGGUCCACCUCUAUUCCCUACAAGCUCUAGUUCGGGAGAGAAAGAGACAACCAAGGGGCGUGGGUACUCAAGGGUAUCCCUGCCAUGGGGAGGACCUACACUACUGGAGGGACCUAAGAAAUCGGUGGGUAUUGACAAGUUGAGGCCUAAAUCCCCUGAUUCUUCAUCACCCUCAUCAACAAUUAACUUUCUUUUCCGGUUUGACAUAUCGGAACCCCAAAAGAAAACAAAGAAAACUCGAAUAUACGGGUACAAAAGGGGGCAACACGGAACCCAAUCAACAACAACCAGAGAAGAGAUUAAAAGCAGUACCUGAAAUGAACUGGCCCUGAUAGCGCUGCCGUGACAGAGAAAAAACCAGCAAGUAGAAACUCCGGACACAGGAAGUGUGAGUAAAGUUCAGAAAGGGGGUAGGUUAACGACGGAGAGACGAGUAACAAAACGAUGACGAUGUAAGUCUAGGGAUUUGAAACGGAAAGGGGGAAAUGAAAGCAUUUAAGUGAUGGAGACGCCAGCUCACUCACCGUACAUCGAGGACAGAUAGUCCGUCGUUUCAAAUUUCAAAUACGAAGAAUCUGGAGAUGCCACGUCACCAACCGUUACAAGAGGCCAGGCUAGAUGCAAGCCCAGAUACGCAAUGAACAUGCUCAUUUAGGCCCACGCCCAGAUCAAAAUCUCCCCUGAAGAAAAAUGAUACCUCAGGUCCGUCCCGGUAGACAGAAGACCAGAGGAGAAACCCCCGGAUUGGUAAGAGCCGACUAUCAGUUUCUACUCUUGACUCAUUUCACUCACAAGACCAGAAACUGGGGGACUGGUGUUAAGCAAAUAAAAGCACCAGGUCGGCCAUGAUACUAUUUCCACCCCAGCAUGAAUCACCUCAGCCAAAUGGUACGAGCAGAACAGGGGGUAACAUGAGCCGAUCAGAGACGAAUACUGACCAGAGCCAUAUACCGAGCCGGUACCCGUCCCCCAAAAAGCGGAAACACGAUCUCACAGAAUCACGGUAGUUGCGCUUUCCCAGAACCGCUGCGGGAGACGCGAGAUCCCACAUUUGCCCAUAAUGCAGCAGUUAGAGUCCUAUGAGAGGCUACCACUACCCGAAAAAGGUGGGAUGAAGGGCAAACGGGAACGUGGGGACAGCGGCUAUAAAAGAAGAAGAAAUCGAUGAAGAAGGGGACAGAAAAAUGAAGAGAGGGAAAACGCUGCCAAAUUGCAAUUAGGCCUUUUUUACAAACUUCGAAACAAGUUAGAAACCAUUCUUGAAUCCAAAUUACAUUGUUUUCCCGUAAAUACCUUGUGCUAACUUAGGCAUCGGAGGGUUUACGCCGGCAAAACCACCGGCGUCUCUGAUCCGUUUUUGGUGAACGCAGGUCUAGUAGGAGAGAUGAGGGUGAUUCCAACCCCAGUGGUUCGAGCAACAGUUAAUAACACGAACGUUGGUGGAGGAAUCUGGUCGGCCAAAAGGCGAGCAGAUUUAAGCAUCAACAGUCAGAUCAUUGCAUUAGCUCUAUGCCUCCAUCAGAGGGAAUAUUAAUAGAUGCAUAAAAAAAUAAUUAGAACCAUGUGAGAAACAAUUACCUUAGACAUGGCAACUCCUUUGACAUAUGUUUCUCCAUUAGCAGAUUUAUCAUAAAGUAUCUCUCUGCAUCCCCACCUAAGAUGGAACCUGUUCUAGCAAAAACAGACCCCAAGGUUAGGAAAAUCAGUUCAUCAUAGGAGAAAACAAACAAGAUUAACAAAUCACUGCAAUGAUGUGAACCUGUAAAUAGAAAUUUACCUGCCCCCUUUAUCUGUGAUAUGUUUUCGUAUGGGCCCACUCAAAUAAACGUCUGGAGAACCCUUGAGCAUCCGCAAUAGGGAAGCCUCAGUCUUAGUCGCAAACAGUGCGAAUAUAGUGAGCAUACAACAAGCACUGAUGUUAUCACAGUCAAUAAACCCAAGGGCAUAAGCAACAGGAUCCCACAUUCUCUGAAUACUCGUCCGUGUCCCACCUUUGGACAAAAACCAAUCAGAGAAGCUUAUCUGUAAGAAGAAAUGAAGUUUUAGGUAAGAUAACAAUUUGUAGGAACAAGGAUUGAUAUUAAAACAAACUAGAAAAUAAGAUGUCAUUCUUACACUAUCAACGAGUGCCUUUACAACAGGACUCAGAGCAAGAGCAAGAGCAUUUCUUGCUUUAUCAUAAGUCUGCACUUGAGCAAUACAUGAGGCAAAGUACAUCAAAAGAGAAUCCAAAAGAAGCAAGAAGUUUCAACAUGAAAGAAGAAAUAUUGUCUCAUCAUACUGCUGACUAAUCAGAUUGCAAAAGAUUACAUCAACAUAAUCAAAAUGGAAGAUAAAUCCAUAUGCACUACCUUAAGCUAAUUUGUAGACAAAAAUGCAUGAAUCCCAUGUACGGGAGCUCCGACCGGAAACCGAAAAUCAAGUUCUGGAGUUAAAAAUCAAAAUCAUGAACUGAAUCAGAGAUAUUAUUGGACCAGAGAAUCCAUAAACCAAUUUCAGAGUGUCCAACCACCAAACAAACUAUCAGUAGUCUUAAGUGAUCAAGAAAUAACCAUACCACCAAUUUCACCACCCUUAUUCACAAGUGUACGAGUAUGAUCCUUCAUGAGUAAAUUUUUGUCCGCGCUGACCUGUAGACAUCCAUGAAAAACUAUCAGAAUAUAAACACAGGGUCAAUUUAAAGAGGAGCUAUGAUUAUGAUCCAUCGUGAUAUUUGAAGAACAUUUUCAUAUUUUCCUACAACAAGUAAACUAUAACCAGUUAUCAUCACUAUAGAUGGCAUGGUCAAGAGGAAUUAUAGUUCUUGUUUCAAGAAUCUCAAAUCAUAAUUCCUUUGCAUGGCUAGUGUGCUUUUUAUAAUCAUUCAAACACACAUAUCCACAACUAAGCAAGCUUUACCUUUUUCAUCAAUCGGAACAGAUUAUUGUAGCAUCCAAAGAAAAUGUGCAGGCCCAUUUCAAUAUGGUUUCCAUGUUUAUCAAUAAAAGAACCCACUUUACCACCAAUGAAAGACCUUGACUCAUAUAUAUCCACCUGGAAGAGGGGGGCGGGGCCAUCAAUAAAAUCAGUAAAACACAAACUAAUUCAAAAUGAAAUAAACUUUGUGAAUUGAAAUAAUGCCUGCCCUAAAGAAAAUGAUAACUGCUAUUCAUUUUUCUGAACUGCUGAUAAAAGCUUCUGUGUACUAAUUCAAAAUGAAAUAAACUUUACCUAAAAAAAAUGCAUGAUUAGAAUGAUUAAAGAUCAUUUGAUGAGGAGUUUCAUCAUUAACUGUGUCGAAACACAGCAGCAAUCCACAAUACACUUAACACGAGAGGGGCACACAAGCAUGCAUGAAUCUUCCACCAUUAAACCUGAAAUCAUAAAAUAAAAGAAACAAGAUGAGUGUUGUUUUACGGUCUGAAAGCCGAUUCCAAAUAAUAAUAAUAAUAGUAAUAGUAAUAGUAAUAGACCUUUGUUAAUAAUUUCUACUAGUUGUCUCUGCCUUUUGCAUCUUCCUCCUUUGUAUCAUCGUCCUCUUCCAAUCACACGGCUAGACCAGUAUGUCUCGAGAAUCUCUACUGCCUUCUCAGAGAUGCCGUUGUCGUCAUGACUUCGUAGAUUUUCAAUCUUUUCUAAUCCCUCAGCCUCCUCAACCAACUGGGCAUAUUGAUUAAAAUCUCCAACGGUACCCGUAUUCAUUUCAGCUACCCCGACCUUCAAAAUGUUCUCUAAUCCUUCUACGCAAACAGUGGCGAUCUUUGGAUCAGCGCAUAGAAGCAGAUCACACAAUGGUUUUAUACACCCCUCUCUCACGAGGUACUUGAUUUGCUCAUGAGUGCCACCUGAGAUGGCAUUUGAAAUUACCCAAGCGGCCUUCUCCUUUGUAUCAAAUUCAGCAUUUUGAAGUAGAUUGACAGUGGGACCAAUUAAGCCGGAAUCAAUUACCGCCUGAAUCUGCUCCCCGUUUCCAGCUGUAAUAUUUGAAAUAAUCCAGCUGACUUCCUUCUUGAUGCUCUCUUCAUGCUUAUGGACCAACAUGUCCAAAAGGUAUGGCAGUGCACCACAGUUAAUUAUACACUGAGUCUGGAAAUCGUUCCCCAUCACAAUAUUUCCAACAGUCCGCAGGGCAGGGGUAAGCACUGAGGAUGAUGGAUGACCAAGGAGCUCAACAAGUCGUCGACAGACACCUGCCUCGAUCACAGCUUGAAUUUUGUCAUUCGUACCAUCAGAAAGAUAGGAGAGUGUCCAACAGGCGUCACUCAACACCUCUUCAUCAUCUAAAUGAAUAAGCUGUGCAAGUGCCGGAAGAGCUGGCCUUACCUGAUCAAAUGGUGGUUCUGGCUUGCCCUUGCAUAAAUUAGACAAUGUCCUUGCGGCAAUUCUCAGCAUUGAAAGCUUAGCAUGCUCAUUUAACUCUGCCAGCAAUGGAAUCAAAGCUCCUUCACCAAGCACUAGAUCACGGCAUCCAGAUGAGUCACCAGCAACAUUUCCCAAUGCCCAAACAGCCUGCUCGCGGACAUCAUCACUUGGGGAAGCAAGCAGCUUCACAAAUAUUGGAACGGCACCGUGGUCAAUCACCACCUUAAUGUUCUCUGAAGUUCCAGAAGCAAUGUUUGAAAGAGCCCAAGCAGCCUCAUACUGAAGUUGCGGAUAGUCUUCCCUCAUAAGAAACUCAACAAAGCGCGGGACAACGCCAGAUUGUAUGACUUUAUCAAUUUGUGGACUCCUCUCAAUCGAAAGCAGUUUGCUGAACUGAGUAGUUGCUUCCAGCUGCAAGCCGCUGUCAUCUGACCAAACCCCAGCAACCAUCCCGGGUAAACUCGCAUACUUAUUUUAGGAGCAGGAGCAAGAGGAGGAAAUUAAGUUAGGGAUUUGGAGUGAGAGUGAAAGUGGAGAAAAAGCAAGAGAGGGAAAAAGCUAAUUGUUGAGAAAUAUAUACCUUUCGUAUGGUUGUGUUAAGGUCGUCCUUCCAAUCCCAACAUGCUUCACCCCGCCGCUGCACUUUGUGUAAUUUGGGUGUACUUAAUUUUCCUUCAGAGAAAAUUUUCAUAUUGGGGCAAUUAUCCACCACUAAUCUUUCCAAAAAUGGGAACUUGAAAGCACAAUUGCCAGAGCAGAAGCUUGUCAGGUAUUUUAAGUCUAAAAGCUUCAACUCCUUCAAUUCUCUGAAAGUAAUAACCUCAUCUUGUGCUACAACAUCAUCCACCAGUACUAUUUCUGUUAUCUCAUCGCAUGAUUCUAUCUCCAUAUAUCUAAGUCGCACCAGAGUCUUUGCAAUUGAGGGUGUUAAUACGAUUUUCAAGCCUUCGCAACAAUACGAUUUUCAAGCCUUCGCAACACGAUACCACCAGAUUUGCAAGAUUCUGAAAGGAUGUCGAGGAUGGCACUAGAUUGACCAAACGGUCACACCCCAUUACGCGUAGAAAAACCAAGUUGUUCGUAACAGAAGACUCCUCUAUCAAAAUGUUCUCCAGAUCAUAACAAUUAUAUGCUUCGCUUAUUUCUACCCUCAUCCCAUUUUCAACCUUCUCUUCCGGCAACCAAGCACCAUGUCCUCCUAUUUGGAGGACUUUCAUUGUGUGAAGUCUCUGGAGGAAGUCACCAAGUGAUAAAAUAGUCCGCUCAUCACCUAACUCCACAGAAAGAUAUUUUAGUUUGCAAAGCAAGCCUUCAGAAAAUAGAUACUUAUUUGUUACUACGUGCUUUGCAUCAACUUCCAACUUUUCCAAAUUAGGGAAUACCUGGGAGAUCAAUCAGAACCCCAAAAAAAAAAAAAAGAAAUACAAGAUGAAUCAAUUGAUGAGAAAUAUAAGUUACCACUAAUUUAUAAAAUAUAUUUUAUUCAAUAAAUCUUAACCUUUAAAAAAAAUAGUAAUAAUAGUACGCCUAACAUCUAGAAUAAUUAUGAAUGAAUACCAUACACUAAUCUGUAAGAGAGUUACGUAGCUGACAAUUUGACUUUUAGUAAGAAACCAAGCAAUGAAGGCAAAGGCAAUAUAACUCUAAGCUAUAUGAUAUAAACUUUCACAGUACAUACAUAAGAAUUGAAAAUUUGAUUAUAAAAUUCUUGUACGUACCCUUUCCGUCAAGAUAUUAGUAGUUCUUUUGUAUCUCGCCAUGAAUUCAGGACAUGCAGAUAUCCAUAAUCCUUUCAAGGAUGGAAAUUCAAGAAUAUCAAGAUCUCCAGUGCAGAAGCUUGUGAACUUUUCAAGACCAGACAUCUUCAGAUAUUGCAACUGGGGAAACGUUACAAUAUUAUUCGUCAUUUCUUCUUGGUUGUCCACGACUAUUAACUCUUCCAAGACGGGACAUCUGACUAUCUCAAUGCUUUGGAGUCGAACAAAGCUACUAACAGUAGAAGAUGAAAAUAUACAUCUUAAAUUCAUACAUCCGUGCAGGAUCAAGUGUGUUAAAUUCUUAAUACCACAAGACAUGGCUGUAACUUGGUUUUGCCAAAUCCUUCCAACGUUUAUUGAAUACAACUCCAAGUUCUCCAAAUUUGGUAAUGCAACCUGUUCGAUCAAAAAGUUAACUUGUUAAUUACAAGCAACAAUGAUUUCUGUUGAUGGACAAAUCAAUAAAAUUACUCUUUCUCUGGUUAUAGUUCUUUUCAGUUUUUCAUACAAACAACCGUUAAUCAAGUUUUCCAAAUUAUUCCUUACAAAAUGUAUAGAUUUAGAGGGCGGAUAAUAUAAUUCAUAUUGCAAAAAUUCUUUGAUUGUAACGAAUUUUGUAAAAUUAAAUUUUGGUUGAUUCGCAAUAGGACCUACUAUCCAGCGCGAGCAGUUCUCGGGGAUUUAACUACUGGCACCUCGAUUAUAUAAAAAUUUGGAAUAUUUUCAAAGGAAAUCACAUAAUUCCCCCUUGCAAAUAGUAAUUAUCAUCAAUUGCCGCGGGUUCACAUAUAAUUCUAAGAAAUUAGGCGAGAAGAGUCUCAUCAACAAUCAAUCAGCAGAUAUCACGUUUGGCAGAUCAUCAUGAUUUCCUCAGAUGCUAGAGAAUCAACGUGAUUUCCGCUCAUGCAGGAGUGGACACAUUAUCUUAGAGCAUCCCUCACUGAGAUCUUUUAAAAAAUUUAUAUUAUAAAGUGAACAACAUAUUUAGUAUAGAUUUAGACGGCGGCUAAUAUAAUUUAUAUGUAUUCUAAUGACGUAUAUUAAAGAAAAUGACUAACCAUAAUUUCAAUCAACUUAUAUAUAUAUAUAUAUAAUAUUCAGUGAUUACAACAUAUUUAGUAUUUUGUAACAUGAUGUUUAUAAUAAUAAUUAUUAUUAAUUCACUUAUUGUGUCGAGUACCUUUUCUUUCUCUAAGAAUGUAUUUGUUACACCCUACUAUACUUCGGAUGAAAAAUUUAGAAUAAUUGUGAAAUAUGAUUAUUAAUCACUCUUUGCCAUAUUUGCUACCAAACAAGAAUGCAACAAAGAAAAAAAAAACAAAAAUUAUAGAGAAUUAAUAAGACCAUUGACUUAUCAAUAAUUGACCUUGUCAGCGAAAAGUGUAUUAGAAAUUUGGACAUUGUCCUCCAAAAUGAUUUCAUGUGACCGCAAAUCAUUAGCUGAUUCCUCCUGUCUCUGCUAACAUUGCAGGUGUAUUGAUUUUAGAGUGUAAGCUUAAUUGUGAGCACAACCUUAAUGCAUAGAUACAAGAUCUUUAAAAAUUAGUACAAUAAACUUAGCACUAAAUCUAAAUUUGAUAUUUUGGAUUCUAUGAUUAAGAUUUUUUUUAAAUGAAAAUUUAAUAGAGUUAAUUUAAAAAUAAAAAUUAAAUAUGAAAAAUUAGACUUGCAAUUAUGGAUUUAAUUUUGAUAAAUAAUGAAUGUUCUCUUAAUAUUUUUUUUAAAAGGUAAAAGAGCGUACAAAGCCCAAAUUCAUUUUUUUAGUCCCUUACUCUCCCAUGAUUCAAACUUGGGUGGUUGUAGGACUGAAAAUAUAUAAGACAGUUAACUUUACUUUUUUUUUCUUUUUUGUUUAGAGAAAAGAGAAGAAGGAUAUUACAAAGCAUGAAGCUCGUGCAAUAUAAGGGCAAUUAUGGUUUUUUCUUUAAAUUAAAAUGGUAAGAUUCUGAAGCUAAAAGAUUAAAAUAUUAAUUAAAUUACAAACAUUAAAGAUUUUUUUUUUUCAAAUGGUUGCUUUGAAAAUGAGAAUAAUAUAAUAUUUGAAGACUUUUCAAAAUUAAUUACUGUGAUGCACUAGAAAUUUCUAGCUUUAGUCUAAUGUAUAAAUUGACAAAACGAUAUUAGAAUCCCAGGAGAAAAGAACCCUCUCAUACCAAUUAUUUAAAUUAGGAAUGAUCAUACCUUUGACUCUGCCGGAUUGAGGGCGAGGUCUGAACCCUCCAGACGGAGACGCUUGAGAUGGGAAGAGCCCACUUUGACUAAUUCAUUACGAAAAUAAUCGACAUCUUGCUCUUGCAAUUCACUUAACUCAAGGUCUUCAAUUCUCUGCAGUUGCACGAUCAGCGAAUCCUUCAAGCAAAUCUUGUUAUUUAGCUCGACUCUGAAUUGACGACACCAAAUGCCGGUUUUCCUCGAAAAAUAACGUCGAAUAUAUAUGCUGUACCUUUCCAGCUUCUCCAAGAGCAGGCCUCUGGGCAGACUGCUGACGUCACGGACGUGUACUUCCAAAGAGGUCAAGUUGGGCAAAUGCUUCAAUUCCUCAAGGCUUGCAUUCUUAACCCCUUCCACCUCCUCCUCCCAAUCAACAAAGCUUUCACGACCUAUAUAUAGUUCUUCUAAAUGUGAUAAUUUUGACAGUAUAUUUGGUGGAAUAACUUUCAGAAAACAACAAUCCCUCAAAUCAAGCAACUUUAGCCAAGUCAAUUCACCUACUUCUACUGGCAACUUCACAAUAUCAGAACCUCUUAAGCAAAGGAUUUCUAGUUUCUUCAAGUAUCCUACAAAACUUAUAUCAGGCAAGCCGCAGCUACACAAACUCAGUGUUCGAAGGUUUGACAGGAGACCAAGUGAUGAAGGCAGUAUCAUGUCAGUCAAGUUUACAACUCUGACCUCGAUCAUGCUCUUGAAAAAGUUGUCUGGAAUUGUUACUGGUGAAGUUUCCCAAGGAUCAUCACGACCACCACCACGUAUAAAAAGAAGUUCGAGUUGAGGACAUUCCAGUACUUCAGGAAGCAAAUUAGGCUUAAUACCAUGUAAGACGAUUGAAGUGAAAUGCUUUAUUGUACUUCCGUCUGACCAUUCCCUGCAACCAUCAACCUGCUCAUUUGUAGCAGUAAACACAUUUCGUUUAGUAGAUGCAAUUGAUAUGGCGACAUGGCGAACUACAUCAUGCAUAGAAAACAACUCUUCCUUCUCGCUUUCAUGGUCAAGCAACAUACAAGAAGCUUUGAGUGUGCGCACCAAUGCAUGUACUCGAUUUCGUGCUGCUUCCAUCUUAUUCACACCUUGAAAUAAACCCAAUCCCAUACCACACAUUAACAAGUCAUCAAUAGAUGCUAUGGCUGUAUAUCCUAUUAGCAAAAAGAUGUUCUUGAGAUCAUCCCUUCCUAGUUUAUUGUAGCUCAACUCGAUAGCUUUAUAUGCAGCUGGCUGUACAUCCUUAAAAUGGAACACAAGUGACCACAACAAGAUGGAACAAAAUAAAAAGGAAAAAAAUACAAAGAGUGGAUGGAGAAUAAAACAGAGACAGCGGCACAGCUGGACACAACUAGAUAGAGAACAGAGCAAAACCAAAUAACAAGACUUAAGAUUACAACAAACUGUGAAGAUAGCUCAUUAUGGAGAAAGAAGCAAUGGAAAGCAGAAGAAGGAAAAGCUUAAGUUGAAGCAGGAUACAGAGUAUAGUAGCAGCUCAGUUGCCAGCUCAGCAUAGUUAGUUUCAGUUCGUUAGAAGUGCAAAAUGUAUUGUGAUGAGUAUUAGCUAAUAACUUCCUUAAUUAGUUACAUUGAUUGUGAUUAACUAGAUGUUAGUAUAAAUACUCACGAAUUGUAUUACUCUGUAAUUAAGGAAAAUAACAAACUCUGCUCAAGAGUAUUUCAGAAUCCUUCGUUUAAUAUUUUCUCUAGAAACAAACAACUCUCUUUUAUAAUUCUUUUAUGGUAUCAGAGCCACUCAUGGCUAGUUCAAGCAAUACAAUCUUCAAUCCAAAUCAUAUUACUUCAAAUCAAUCAACUCAGAUAUCAUUUUCCUUUAGUUCUCCAGUCAAGCUAGAUAGAUCGAAUUUUAUGCUAUGGCGCAAGCAAGUUCUUACUUCGAUUAGAGGAAAUCGACUUGAGCAUCUAAUUUCUGAUAAUCAAGUGACACCAGAUCGUUACAUUACUCACACGGAAGUUGAUGGAUCUAUACAGAAAGUAGAAAAUCCAGCUUUUGUUCAUUGGAGAGCACAGGAUCAAACUCUUCUUGGCUGGAUCUUAUCCUCAAUUAGCGAAGGUAUUCUCAGCUCAAUUCUUAACUGUGAUAGUGCAUUUGAAGCUUGGAAAUGCAUUGAAAAACAAUUUGGAGUUCAAUCUGAAGCUAAGCUCAUGCAACUUCGUUAUGAACUAAAUAUUCUUAGGAAAGAAAAUAUGACUGUUGAGGAAUACUGCUUGAAGGUUAAAGCACUUGCUGAUAAACUCGCAUGUUCUGGAAGUCCUAUUUCUGAAAAAGAUCUACUGAUACAAAUCUUGAAUGGAUUAGGUCCAGGAUACUUAGAUCUUGCAUCAAUAAUUACUGCUAAUAAAAUGUCAUAUGAUGAUGCAUAUGCACUGCUAUUAACGCAUGAAGCUAGAAUGGAACAAAGUCAAAAUGCUAAGAGUGUGUUUAAUGCCAAUUAUGGCAUGAUGAAUGGGAAUUAUCCUCAAACUAAGGGCUAUAAUAGAAGAGGAGGUUAUAAUGGAUAUCAGGGACACUUCAAUGCUGGAAAUAGAAAUUUUGGUGCAGGAAGGGGAAUAAUGUUUACAAAUUCAAGAGGAUUUGUCAAUGGUGGUCAUGGUCCUGGUGCUUAUAAUUCUGGUAGGGGACAACUAAUGCACAUGCAGGCAUAUAGACCAACCACUUAUAAUAGAAACAUCUCUAAUGCUAACCUUGGUGCUGAAAAUGGAUCUGGAGAUAAUGUAUUAAUAUGUCAAAUUUGUCAUAAGUCUGGGCACACUGCAGAUGCUUGUUGGUAUAGGUUUGAGAAUUAUGUGCCUCCACCCAGAAACUUUGGAAGAGGGAGAGGUCAAAGGUCAGCAUAUAUGGCAAAUUUUGAAUCAUGUCCAAGUGCUGCUGGAUAUCCAAGUGCUGCUGGACCUUUUGAAACACAAUAUUAUCCAGACUACUCUAGUCAUCAGAUGUCUGAUUUGAAUUCAAUGAAUCACUCACUGGACUCUUUCUCUGCUCCUGGAGCUGCCUAUGUUGCUAACUAUGAAAGACCAGCUGAUGAGGGUUGGUAUUUAGACAGUGGAGCCACACAUCAUUUGACAAACAACAUGGCAAAUAUGCACAUCAGGGAGCAAUUCAGUGGAUCAGAUCAACUCAUUAUUGGCAAUGGACAAGGUCUGAAUAUAACUCAUAUUGGUGAUGCUUUUCUCAAUUUCAAAAGUUCAAAUGACAAACACAAACACACACCCAUAGCACUAAAAGACAUAUUGCUUGUUCCUUCAAUUACUAAGAACCUUUUGAGCAUUUCUAAACUUACUGCUGAUAAUAACCUGUCUGUUGAAUUUCUUGGAAAUAUCUGUGUUGUGAAGGAUACUCUGAAGGGGCAAAUACUGAUGCAGGGCCUUGCUGAGAGAGGAUUAUACAGGCUGUUAAUAAAUUCAUCUUCUUCAAAUACUCAGUCAUCUUCUUCUUUUCAUUCCCAUAUGUCUUCUAAUAAACCACUUUCAAUGUUGUCCUUUUAUCAUUCUGAUUCUGCUGGUCACACUGAUGUCGUUAGUGGAACUGCAAAUUUGAAAACUUGUUAUCAGACUGCUGUAUUACAUUAUACUAAAUCAAUCAAUAAAGCUUUACUUUUUCAUAGAAGAUUUGGUCAUCCUAGUGUUCAAGUGCUAUUACAUAUGCUCAAAAUUAACAAGUACAUUUCCAUUCCUACAUAUCAAAUUCAUCAAAUGCAUCAAACAACAUGUGAAGCAUGUCAAAAGGGCAAAGUUCAUAGGCUUCAUUUUCCCUGCACAGACACUAAAACUACCCAAGUUCUUGAGCUCAUACACACAGACUUAUGGGGACCCUCACCCACUCUAUCUAGGGAUGGAUAUCGAUAUUAUAUAAGCUUUGUUGAUGACUUCAGCAGAUAUACCUGGAUAUACCUUUUAAAAGUUAAGUCAGAUGCAUUAGAAGUUUUCAAACUCUUCAAGUUGCAAGUGGAAAAUCAGUUUACCACCACCAUUAAAACUCUGCAAUCUGACUGGGGAGGGGAGUAUAGAUCUUUUACAGAAUUUCUAAACCAAUCUGGUAUUAUCUUUAGGCAUUCAUGUCCUUAUACACAUCAUCAAAAUGGAUUGGUUGAGAGGAAACAUAGGCAUAUUGUAGAAUCAGGAUUAACUCUGCUGGCUCAAGCUCAUUUACCUUUUCAAUUCUGGUGGGAUGCCUUCCAUACAGCAGUUUACCUUAUCAACAGAUUGCCAUCACCUGUUCUGAAAUUUUCAAACCCAUAUGAAAAGAUUUUCAAGCAUAAGCCUAAUUAUGAUAUGCUCAGAUGCUUUGGCUGCACAUGUUACCCUUAUUUAAGAGAUUACAACAAACAUAAAUUUGCCUAUCACUCUAGCAAAUGUGUAUUCAUUGGGUAUAGUCCAUCACAUAAGGGUUAUAAGUGCUUACAUGCUUCAGGAAAAAUUUAUAUUGCCAGACAUGUUGUCUUUGAUGAGUUCACUUUUCCAUAUACCACAGACUCUUCUUUUCUUAAACAUUCAGCCUCUGAUUCUCAGUCUUCAUAUUCUAUUACUCCUCAACAAGUUCAUCAUCUUUCUACUUCACCUAUCCUACCAAUAUUUCUCAAUGACAACACUAAUAAUGCAAUCUCAGUGAGUUCAGAAAGCAUUGGUACAAGCACUUCAGUUCAUCCUACACAGCAAGAAGUUAAUCUAGAAUCACAGCAAGGUACGAUCAGUAACUCUUCACCUGUUCUUAUGUGUCCAUCCUCAGUUUAUGAACCUGUACCUAAUUCAUCACUUCCCCAUACUCACAACUCCCCUCAACAACAGUUCAAUAAUCCCAUUACACAUUCUCAUACACCUCAGAAUACACACCAAAUGAUAACUAGGGGAAAAGCUGGUAUCUUCAAACCCAAAGUGUAUAUUGCUGAUCUUGUUCACAAAGAACCAGACACUAUACAUGAAGCAUUAAAUGACUCAAAAUGGCUACAAGCCAUGAAGGAGGAGUUUGAUGCUUUAAUAAAAAAUGAUACAUGGACAUUGGUUCCAAGAGCAGCUAAUCAGCAAGUUGUUGAGAAUAAAUGGAUUUACAUAAUUAAGUACAAUACUGAUGGAAGUGUGGCUAAAUACAAGGCACGGCUAGUUGCUAAAGGAUUCCAACAAAUAGCAGGUGUAAACUAAUUUGAAACCUUCAGUCCUGUUAUUAAACCAGCAACUGUCAAAGUGGUAUUUGUUGAGUGUUAGAAAAUGUAUAUUUAUAAAGGAGAAAACCGUCAUUUUACAUUUCAAGUCUUACUAACAACCCUUACUUUUAUGUAUUUAACCUCCUUGUGAUUUAAUUACAUGUGUUUUAUUUUAAUUAAGUAUUUUAUGUAUUUUAGGGGCAUUAUAGUCAUUUCACAAUAAAGGAGAGAUCAGACGGCAAAACGGACAUCACUUUUGAACUCAGGACGAUCGAAAACCUUAGGAGGAGCAUAAAAGGAAAAAUGGCACUAUUCACAUGUACGGUACUAUUCACGUGUACGGUACUGUAUACGUUACUGUUCACGACACUGUUCACAUAGACGGACGAUGACGUGGCAUUGACCGAUGAUGUGGCAUUGACUGAUGAGGUGUCACGAUCCUGUUGGGCUAAAAUUCUUAUGUACUGUUGAUGCUGACGUGGCAGCAUAUCAGUGGAUGAAAAAUCUCGCGUACGGUACAUACAUCACACAGGAUUAUUUUCAAUCAAACCGCAUUACUGUUCAUCCGGGUCAAACCGUGUUACUGUUCAUCCGCGUGGUCAAACCGUGGACUGUUGACUGAUGACGUGGCGCAAUCCUGAGCGUUCAAACUGUUUUUAAUCCGAUGGCCAUGAUUUACUCCAUGUAUCUAUAAAAAGGGGGCCUCUCCCCCCUAAUUUGAUAUCUCUGAAUCCAUUUUUGGGAUCCAUUUUCUGUAAUUCCCUCUCCAUCUUGUAUUUUCUUCGUAUUUUAAUAAAUUCCCAUUUUGCCCCUAGUUCAAUUAUGAGUAGCUAAUUUCCUUUCAAGCUUGGGUUGAAGGUGAAGUCUCAACAUAUGCCAUGGGCUUAAUUUGGUAAAUUUAUUUUCUCUUCCCCUCUAGUUUUUGUGGAUGUUUUGACUUCUCGUCGACAAAUAAUACUAAUCUUAUCUAGUACCGCCUUGGUUUCACCGGCCCUCUAGUACAAGGUUAUUAUUAUUUGGCACGAUAAGCCCUUAGCACCAUAUUGAUUAGAGUGUGGUUCAUGAGGUGUGGAUUUCCCCCUCAUGAUUUAAUUGGUAUUAAUAAGGAAUAUUUAGCCCAUGGUGCAUGUUGAUACGGAUCCGGAUACCCAAGUGCUUCAUUUCAAUAGAUCUAUCUUCAAUUUAUUCUCGCCAUUACAAUUCCAAUUUUAGAAUUUAUUCUCGCCAUUUUAAUUUAAGUUUUAGCAUAUUCCAAAUCAUUUCCACCACAAAUCCAAUCCCCGAUUUACAAAAUUAAUUCUAUACACAAUUAAAAUCCACCUCCUCGUGGGAUCGACACUCGUCACCAUUAGUCUAUACUACAAUAGAUUUGUGCGCUUGCGAGUACAUUAAAAUUUGCACAACAAGUUUUUGGCGCCGUUGCCGGGGAGGUAAGUAAUUUUAAUUCAUAAAAUUAAUUUUUGUGAAUAAUUUCUUUUAUUUGUUUUCUUGUAUUUUUUAUUAAAAAAAAAAGUAAAUCUACAUUUAAAGGUUAGUAUUUCUUUUCUUUUUCUCUUCUUUAAAAUUCUGUAAUUUAAUUUUCAAUUUAUUUUUUCUUUGUAAUUUUUGUUUAUUUUAUUAAUUUAAUUUUUAGUUAAUUUAUUUCACGUAUUUGUUUUUGUGUAUUUUUAUAGAAAGGUUGUAAUAGCGCAAUAAGGUUAGUAUCGUAAUUUCUCCCUCUUCUUUAUUUUUAUUUGUUUUGUUCCCAUCUUUAUUUUUAUUUUAUUUGUUUUGCAUGCAUGGUCGUAGGUCAUUAUUACCUAAUCUUAAACCUAUAGACCUUGAAUUAGAAAAAACACUUCGCACACAAAAGCACAUUAAUAAAUUUGGAAUGGAUUUACAAGCACCACAGGAGAGGUCAUUCAAGGACUAUUUUAGUCCUUUAGCUAAUUUGAGCACAUCAUGUAUAAGAUACCCAAAUGUAGCUACUAGGAGUUUUGAAUUAAAACCUAGUGUGCUAAAUUGUCUCCCCACAUUUUAUGGCCUAGAAAAUGAGGACCCAUAUAAUCAUCUGAAUGAUUUUCAUGCCAUUUGUCAAACUUUUAAAUAUGAAAAUUUUUCAGACGAUGAUGUUAAACUUAGAUUAUUCCCAUUUUCUUUAAAGGAUAGAGCUCGUUCAUGGUUAAAUACUUUGCCUGCUAAUAGCAUUGCAUCAUGGGAACAAAUGGUAACUAAAUUUUUGAAUAAAUAUUUCCCAGUGCAUAAAACCAAUGCUAUUCGCAGGGAAAUCUCAGAGUUUACUCAGAGAGAGGACGAGCAGUUUUUCGAGACAUGGGAGCGAUUCAAUGGGCUACUCUUGAAGUGUCCACAUCAUGGGUACGAGAAAUGGCAUCAAUGCCAAUACUUUUUGGAGGGAUUAUUGCCGAAUGUGCAAGAAUGGCUAAUGGCAACAAGUGGAGGAGAGCUAAUAUCAAAAAGUGCAUCAGAGAUUUGGGAAUUCUUCCAGCGACAAGCGGAUAAUUCCCAACAACGGAGUCGAUCACUCAGGAAUACUAGAAGAAUUAAGGGAGUAAAUGAGGUUCAAAUUGGCGAGUCAACUUCGGGAAUCAAAGAAGUCAAGGAGAUGGUUGAAGGUCUUGCUCGACAAAUAGCAUCGUUGUCGACUGCUAAAUCAACAGAACCACAUGACCAUGACUCAUACUCCGAUCAAGCCAAUGCCAUAGGUGUAAUCAGAAAACCAUCGAAUUACAACCCAUACUCCAACACAUAUAACCCUGGAUGGAGAGACCAUCCCAAUUUUUCAUGGUCUCAAGGAUUCCAACAGAAUGGACCAGCAGCUCCAGCUCCGCCAAUUCCUCAAGUUCCUCAAGCCUCUCAGCCCCCAUUUAGACCAUACAAUCAGAACCAGAACUACUCUCAACCUAGACCAUGGGAGGAUUCAUUCCAGAAUCUCAAGAAUCUUACUCACUCUACGAUUGAGCAACAGAACCGCACCAUUGAUGGACUACGAAAUGAGUUGAGAGCGGGCUUCAACUCACAAGCCCAAUCAGUUUCAAGCCUCGAGAAGAUGGUGGGACAACUUGCUUCUUCAGUUCAGACCUUGGCAAUGACUGUUGAUAAAGGUAAAUUUCCAAGUCAACCAGUGCCUAAUCCUAAAGGAGUACAUGAAGCAAGUACUAGUUCACCACAGCAGCAUGGAGAGGUCAAAGCAAUCAUGACCUUGCGAAAAGGAAAGGAAGUCGACAACAAAGUGGAGAUGCCUGUGACAAAAGAAAAUCAAAUUGUACCUGUGAAUGUUGAAGACUCACCACCGGAGGAGAAAGAAGAAACCAACCCACGAGAAUACGUUCCGAAAGCUCCAUUUCCUCAGAGGUUAGCGAAAGGAAAGAAGGGAAAAUCCACAGGUGAGAUUCUUGAAAUCUUCAAACAGGUAAGUGUUAACAUCCCUUUGCUUGAUGCUAUUAAACAAGUUCCAUCUUAUGCCAAGUUUCUUAAAGACCUUUGUACUAAAAAGAGAAACAUGCAUGUUCAAAAGAAGGCAUUUUUAACAGAAAACGUUAAUUCUAUACUCCAACAUAAAAUUCCUUUAAAAUGCAAAGACCCAGGCUCCCCCACUAUCUCAUAUAGUAUAGGGAACCACACAAUUGAGAAUGCUUUGUUGGAUUUAGGAGCUAGUGUAAAUCUGUUGCCUUACUCAGUAUUUUUGAAACUUGGACUGGGAGAAUUACACCCAACUCCAGUGGUGUUACAGCUUGCAGAUCGGUCCACGAAAAUACCUCGUGGUAUUGUGGAGGACGUGCUUAUCCAGGUAGACAAGUUUUAUUUUCCUGUUGAUUUCAUUGUAAUUGACACUCAACCAAUACAGGAUUCAAGGAAGCACAUCCCCAUUAUCCUAGGCCGACCUUUCUUGGCAACUGCGGAUGCUCACAUUCAAUGCAGGACUGGAAAUAUGCAGUUGUCCUUCGGCAACAUGACUAUGGAGCUAAAUAUUUUCAACAUUGCCAAACAACCUCACAGUGCAGAUGAUGGAAUUGUUGAUGUGGAUUUAAUUGAAGCAUUAGUUGAUGACACUUUUAUUUCAAACCUUAGUGAUGAUCCUUUACAGACAUGCUUAACUCACUUUGGUUUUGAUUUUGAUAUUGACAGAUCGGUUGAUGAGGUCAACGCUCUACUUGACUCAACACCAUCCAUGGACACUAAUAAAUGGAAGUCAAGAGUUGAACAACUAGCACCAUCAGAAAAGAAACUCAUCCCAUCAUCAGAAUCACCACCGAAACUCGAGCUCAAACCAUUGCCCAACACUCUGGAAUAUGCAUUUUUGGGAGAAGAAAGUACUCUGCCGGUAAUCAUCUCAUCAUCCCUAAAUGACGAACAAAAAGGUAAGUUGUUGGAUGUUUUAAAAGAGCAUAAAGGAGCAUUAGGAUGGACCAUAGCAGACAUAAAAGGUAUAAACCCCGUAGACUGCAUGCAUUACAUUCACCUUGAUGAAAAUGCUAAAUCUACUAGGGAAAUGCAACGUCGGUUAAAUCCUAAUAUGAAAGAAGUUGUUAGAACUGAAGUCCUUAAGCUAUUAGACGCAGGUAUCAUUUACCCAAUUUCUGAUAGUUCAUGGGUCAGUCCUGUACAAGUUGUCCCCAAAAAGUCAGGAGUCACAGUAGUUACCAAUGCUGAUAAUGAAUUGAUACCAACUAGAGUAACUACAGGAUGGCUUGUAUGCAUUGAUUAUAGAAAGUUGAAUUCUGUCACACGUAAAGACCAUUUUCCUUUACCAUUUAUUGAUCAAAUGCUUGAUAGAUUAGCAGGCCAUGAAUUUUAUUGCUUUCUAGAUGGCUACUCAGGAUAUAAUCAGAUUCCCAUAGCACCAAAAGAUCAGGAGAAAACUACUUUCACUUGCCCUUUUGGCACUUUUGCAUAUAGGAGAAUGCCAUUUGGAUUAUGUAAUGCACCUGCUACAUUCCAACGAUGCAUGUUGAGCAUUUUUUCUGAUAUGGUUGAACGAUUCCUUGAAGUCUUUAUGGAUGAUUUUUCUGUCUUUGGUGACUCGUUUGAUCAAUGUUUACAUCAUCUAACACUAGUUCUGCAGAGAUGUAUUGAGAAGAACUUAGUCUUAAAUUGGGAGAAGUGCCAUUUUAUGGUAAAACAAGGUAUUGUUCUCGGUCACAUCAUUUCGAGCAAAGGUAUUGAGGUUGACAAAGCCAAGGUGGAUCUCAUUUCUAAUCUUCCUCCACCUAAAACAGUCAGAGAAGUAAGAUCUUUCCUUGGACAUGCUGGUUUCUAUAGACGUUUCAUUAAAGAUUUUAGCAAAGUUUCUAGACCCUUAUGCAAUUUACUUGCUAAGGAUGUACCUUUUAUCUUUAAUGAUUCAUGUCUCAUGGCGUUUGAAAAAUUAAAGCAGUUGUUGACAUCAUCACCCAUCAUUCAGGCCCCAAACUGGAGCUUACCAUUUGAGCUCAUGUGUGAUGCAUCUGAUUAUGCAGUAGGAGCAGUAUUAGGACAAAGAGUUGAUCGAAUUCCGCAUGUUAUUUACUAUGCUAGUAUGACAUUGAAUGAUGCACAGUUGAAUUAUUCAACUACUGAAAAAGAAAUGCUAGCAGUAGUGUUUGCAUUAGAGAAAUUUCGAUCUUAUCUCAUUGGUUGUAAAAUAAUUAUAUUCACAGAUCAUGCUGCUCUUAAAUAUCUUCUCACAAAGAAAGAUGCAAAAGCUAGACUAAUUCGUUGGGUGUUACUUUUGCAGGAAUUUGACUUGGAAUUCAAAGAUAAGAAAGGGACAGAAAAUGUUGUGGCGGACCAUCUCUCUCGUCUCCAUUUUGACACAAUUACAGAGCCAUUAAUAUUGAAUGAGUCAUUCCCAGAUGAACAAUUAAUGAAUGUGGAAGUAUUACCUUGGUAUGCUGAUAUAGUUAAUUAUCUUGUUACAGGUAAACUUCCAGAGCAUUGGACCAAGCAAGACAAGGCUAAAUUCUUUGCAGAAAUAAAGAAUUUCUUUUGGGAUGACCCGUAUUUGUUCAAGUAUUGUGCAGACCAAAUUGUUAGACGAUGUGUCCCAGAAAGUGAAAUUCAGAAUAUCCUUUCAUUCUGCCAUGAACAAGCUUGUGGAGGCCAUUUCAGUGCUAAGAAAACAACGACUAAAGUUUUAAAAUGUGGUUUCUAUUGGCCAACUAUAUUUCGAGAUGCUUACACUUUUUGUUCUUCAUGUGAUAGGUGUCAACGAAUGGGGAGUAUUACACGAAGGAACAUGAUGCCACUAAAUCCAAUUUUAGUGGUUGAGAUUUUUGACGUAUGGGGUAUCGACUUCAUGGGACCCUUUCCCCCUUCUUUUGGCCAUCAAUACAUAUUGGUUGGUGUUGACUACGUCUCAAAAUGGGUAGAAGCAAUUCCAUGUAGAACCAAUGAUCACAAGGUGGUGAUAGGAUUUUUGAAAAGCAACAUUGUUUCGCGCUUUGGAUUCCCUCGAGCAAUAAUCAGUGAUGGUGGUGCCCACUUUUGUAACAAAGCAUUCAAAGCUCUUUUGACAAAGUAUUCAAUCACACACAAAGUGGUGACCCCGUAUCAUCCGCAAACCAGUGGCCAAGUUGAGAUAUCCAAUCGAGAAAUAAAGCACAUAUUAGAAAAAACGGUGAGGCCAGACAGGAAAGAUUGGUCAUUAAGACUUGAUGAUGCAUUAUGGGCAUACAGAACGGCUUUCAAGACCCCGAUUGGGAUGUCACCCUACAGGCUAGUGUAUGGAAAAGCUUGCCACCUACCUGUGGAACUCGAGCAUCGUGCGUAUUGGGCCAUCAAGAAAUUCAACUUUGACAUGCAGCAAGUCAGCUCAGAAAGAAGAUUACAACUGGCAGAACUUGAAGAAAUUCGCAAUGACGCAUACGAAAAUGCCAAGAUUUACAAGCAACAGAUGAAAAUCUUUCAUGACAAGCAAAUUAUGAGAAAAUCGUUCACUCCAGGUCAGAAAGUGCUUUUAUUCAAUUCUCGUUUGCACCUAUUCCCAGGUAAGCUACGCUCUCGAUGGUCUGGUCCCUUUAUUGUUCAUACUGUUUUUCCACAUGGGGCAAUUGAAAUUAAGGACCCAAAGAACGGUGUCACGUUUAAAGUUAAUGGUCAAAGAUUAAAGCCAUAUCUAGAGUACCAACCACAUGGAGAAGACACCGAAAUAAAUUUGAGUGACCCACCAGAUUUGAAUUGAUUUUUUCUUUUUAUUGAUUUGAUUUUUCUUUCUUUCUUUUUAUUGUUCUUUUGCUAAUUGAAAUUAUUUUUGCAUAAGUGUGUUUGUUUUACCAUUAAGUUUUUUUUUCUUAUCAUUGUUAAUCAUGAGUACCAUACUUAGACCGUUCCUCCUGAACAUUCUUAAACCACUUCAGCGUGUCAAAACUCAUCUCAAAAAGCAGAUUCAAUUUUGUAAAACACAACGCAUUUGGGCUUUACAACCACCAGAGUUAGUAGCCUAUGUUGAGGGUUUAGAACGCCAACUCAGAGACAUUGAGAGAAGUGUUUACGACAUCCAAUUGGAGCUUGAGGUAAAUUCAAUAAGAGGACGAUUUUAAUUUUCUUUGUGUGUUUUAAUUUGUUUUUCUGUUUGUGUGCUUUAGUUUGUUACCCCGGUGAAGUGGCGGAUAACGGUACUCUGUGACAAUCAAGUCGGUUACUUCAGUUUCCCAUAAUAACUGACAUUCUGAGGCAAAAGUAUGGACAGAAACGAGAUUCUAGCGAAGCUUCACAAGCGAUUCCCUUCACUUCCUCAGAAUGCCCUCCUUAUGAUCUAUAAAGCUCGGUCCGAACGCAUGCGAUUGCUCAUGAGGAAUAACAUACCUGCUGAUAUCCGUUGGUUAAUCGAGGCGAAAGUACGAUCGGCAGGUGAGUUACCUCCAAAAUUUAUUGCAUACAUGUCUGGUUGUGGUAAAGGAAAUUAUGCAAGAAAACGACGAGCUCGACGAAUUUCUGUUGCUUGUCAUAAGUGUGCCAGAAUGAGUUGCAAUAAAAACCCAUGUUCUUUAGGAAUGAUGUCUGAUAACAGGGAAGACAAGAUUCAAUUCAUUAGGGAUGGCUUGAAUAAGGAGUCAUUGGAUGAUAUCCUUUUGUCUCUUGAAACGCAUCCCAGUGGAUAUGUGCAAGGAGCGAUUCUCCAGUUAUGGCUAUUAUUCCAGAAAGAGCAUGCACGAUACAGUCUCGGGAAUCUGACUAUAAACGACCAUGUUUGCCAGUUUGUAAGAAAACUGGAUAGGAAGCCUAUCCUCGACUCAUAGAGGGCGUUCAAGCCGUUUCUGGACGUAAAACCAGAGGAAGAUGUGAGCCACAGUCGCAACUACGUGUAAAUAUCCUUUUACUUUACUGUACUUUUUCCUCCUUACUGUUUGCUUUUUUCCUUAUUACUAUUUGCUUUUUCCUUUUUACUGUUUCCUUUUUGACUCGCGAUCCACGUGCUUUACGCAUUAUUUGACACUGACAUGUUACCUCAUACACCACUAUGACCCACUAUCACCAAGACUCUUAAAUGUGAUUUCUUUUUUGUCAAGCACUCACAAAUUGUUUUUGAGAAGUAUCACAAUGGCCGCUACUCCCAAUAGACAAUUCAAGAACAUUUGUGUGCUUUCUGGAUUUACCUAUGGCAAACAUAAAGAGUUCGUGGAGGCAGCCAUAGAUCUUGGUCGAAGCAUAGCAGCGAGAAAAUUACACUUGGUGUAUGGAGGAGGUAACCGAGGGUUAUAAAAAAUGGUCUCAGAAGCAGCUUUUAUCAGAGGAAGUCAAGUGUUAGGCAUCAUCCCAAGAGUCCUAAAACCAUUGGGCAGUUCGUCUGACUCAUCAACUGGAGAAGAGUUAGUUGUCUCAGGUAUGCAAGAAAGAAUAACUGAAAUGCUUAAUCAUGCUGAUGCUUUUAUUUUCCUUCCAGGAGAUCUUGCAACACUAGAGGCACUUAUCACACUAGCAUCCUGGGCCCAUCUGCACAUCCACCAGAAACUCAUCGGUUUGUUAAAUGUCAAUAACUUUUAUGAUGGCUUUAUCGCAUUUCUUAACCAUGCAAUAAAAAACUACUUCAUUCCUUCCCAUGCGAAAAAACUUUUUAUUUGUGCUCACACUGCUAAUGAGCUACUUGAUCUGUUACAAGCUUAUAGACCGGAGCCAGACCCCUGGACCUUUGUGUUGGAGCGCCCAAAUAAUGAUGGUAACAGUAGCCGCAGUAAGAAGUACAAAUUAGAUUUAACUCUCCGCUUGUGAAUAUUUUCUUUUGUGUUGCACCACCCAGGUGAUGUCUUCUAAACUCUACUUCUUUCCUUUAAAACAUUGAGGACAAUGUUUCGUUCUGGUUGGGGGGAGGGAAUAGUCGACAAUUGUGGAAUCUUGGUUAAGUUUUUACUGAUUUUUUUUGUUGUAGAAACUAACUAUUGCUAACUUUUUGUGUUGAAGAAGGCUGAAUAUGGAGUGUAGUGACUCUAGAAACGCAUCUUCUUCACAGAGAUCAACGAUGCGUACUGUCUUCUAACAGAGGAUGGAGAGCCUCCAACUUUUCAUGAAGCUUUAAACAGUUCAGAUGUUGCUUUGUGGAAGACAGCAAUGCAGGAAGAAAUUGAAGCUCUAUACAAGAACAAGACAUGGGAACUUGUACCACUACCACACGGAAGAAAAUCCAUUGGAAACAAAUGGGUCUACAAGAUCAAACGUGAUGGUAAUGAUCAAGUGGAGCGGUAUCGUGCAAGACUGGUGGUGAAAGGAUAUGCUCAGAAAGAAGGUAUUGACUUCAACGAGAUAUUUUCUCCGGUGGUUCGACUCACAACAGUCAGAAUAGUCUUGGCAAUGUGUGCUACAUUUGACCUACAUCUAGAGCAGUUAGAUGUUAAAACUGCAUUUCUUCAUGGAGAACUUGAAGAAGAAAUUUAUAUGCUCCAACCAGAAGGUUUUGCAGAAACAGGAAAAGAGAACUUGGUUUGCAGGUUGAACAAAUCUCUAUACGGUCUCAAACAGGCACCGAUGUGUUGGUAUAAGAGAUUUGAUUCCUUCAUUAUGAGCCUUGGAUACAACAGACUCAGUUCAGACCAUUGUGCAUAUUACAAGAGGUUUAAAGAUAAUGAUUUCAUCAUUUUGCUGUUGUAUGUGGAUGACAUGUUGGUAGCAGGUCCCAACAAAGAUCGAAUCCAAGAAUUGAAGGCACAAUUGGCUAGGGAGUUUGAAAUGAAGGACUUGGGACCAGCAAACAAGAUUCUAGGGAUGCAAAUUCACCGAGACAUAAAUAACAGGAAGAUUUGGCUUUCGUAGAAGAAUUAUUUGAAGAAAAUCUUGCGGCGCUUCAACAUGCAAGAUUGUAAGUCAAUUUCUACCCCACUUCCUGUUAAUUUCAAAUUAUCCUCAAGUAUGUGUCCUAGCAAUGAAGCAGAGAGGAAGGAGAUGUCUCGAGUACCGUAUGCAUCAGCAGUGGGAAGUUUGAUAUUCGCUAUGAUAUGUACAAGACCGGACAUUGCACAAGCAGUGGGAGCAGUCAGUCGAUACAUGGUGAAUCCUGGUGGAGAGCAUUGGAUAGCUGUGAAGAUGAUUCUGAGAUACAUCAGAGGAACCUCAGAUGUUGCAUUAUGUUAUGGAGGAUCAGAGUUUACUGUCAGGGGCUAUGUGGAUUCAGAUUUUACAGGAGACCUUGAUAAAAGGAAAUCCACUACUGGUUAUGUGUUUACACUUGCGGGAGCAGCUGUAAGCUGGGUUUCGAAACUGCAGACAGUUGUGGCUUUAUCUACAACAGAAGCAUAGUACAUGGCAGCUACACAAGCUUGCAAGGAAGCUAUUUGGAUACAAAGAUUAUUGGAGGAGCUCGGGCACAAACAACAGAAAAUUCUUGUGUUUUGUGACAGUCAGAGUGCCUUGCACAUUGCAAGGAAUCCAGCCUUUCAUUCCAGGACAAAGCACAUAGGAGUUCAGUAUCAUUUCGUUCGAGAAGUAGUGGAAGAUGGAAGUGUGGAUUUACAGAAAAUCCAUACGAAGGAGAACCUAGCAGAUGUUUUGACCAAGCCGAUAAAUACUGAUAAGUUUGUCUGGAGUAGAUCAUCUUGUGGCCUAGCAGAAACGUAGGCAACAUGAUUAUGGCGAAGCAGAAAGGACGGUGUGGAGAUUGAUUGUUUUUCAAUCUAAUCUCCAAGUGGGAGAAAUGUUGAAUAUGGGGCACCACUCUUCUAGAAAUGUUGAAAAUGGGCCCUCUUCUAGAAAUGUUGAAAAUGGGCCGAAAUGCUUGAAGAGGAAAAUGGAAAAAGAAAUGUUUGAAGAAGAAAAUGAGGAACACGGUUUUGACUUUCUUGGCCAUCAUUUUGCUAUAAAUAGAAGUGCAAAUGAAGAGCUUAAGUAUUCCAUUCUGAGAGUAAUUUAGCAGUUGAGAGAGAGUUUAGAGAGCUUGAAUUUAUAAGCUCUUGUUAUAGUGAUUUUGAGAGUUUGGGUGUAUUGGAGUUUUGGGAAGUGAGCUAAAAUACUACAAUACUUGUAACUCCUUUUCACUAGUAAAAUAUUUCCUUCUGUCUUCGCCCGUGGAUGUAGGCUAAAAGCCGAACCACGUAAUUUCUGGUGUCCUCUAGUGUGCUUGUUCUUUAUUUUCUUCCAAUUUUAUUUUAUCUGCGUGUAUGCUUCACCCACCAAUUUCCUAGCAGUGGUAUCAGAGCUAUUGGUUGUAUUUUUUGGAGUCAGGAACUAUUCACGUAAUGGGUACUAUUCACGUAUAUGGCACUAUACACGUACACGAUACUAUUCACGUAUACGGUACUGUUCACGUAUACGGUACUAUUCACGUGAAACGGUGGAAGCGAUCCAAGAAUUUUGCGGUGCAAAGCAGGGAAUAGUGGUGUGAGUAAAGCAACUGUGUGGUUUUGUACAUGUCUAGGAAAGUUCUGUCACAAAGGCGAUAAGAGCUUAAGGAGUCUGGGUUUUAAGUGGGACCAUUGUGACCCCUCAAGUCUUUCCUGGGAACUUUCCUGGUGUGCAUUCUCACACAUACUCACAACUAUUCAAGGUGGUAUACUAGCUUGUGUGCAGUAUUUAUCAACAAAAUAGCGGCAAAGUAUGAAAUUGAGAAAUUUAACGGAAAUAAUUUUUCGUUGUGGAAAAUGAAGAUGAAAGCUGUAUUGAGGAAAAAUAAUUGCUUGGCAGCAAUUGGAGAAAGGCCCAUGGAGAUAACUGAUGACAAGUGGAACGAGAUAGAUGGCAACGCCAUUUCUGAUAUACACUUGGCACUUGCAGAUGGAGUAUUAUCUAGUGUGGCAGAGAAAAACACAGCGAAGGAAAUAUGGGAUACUCUUACAAAAUUGUACGAGGCCAAAUCACUACACAACAAAAUCUUCUUGAAGAGAAAACUCUAUACUCUUCGAAUGGUGGAAUCUACAAUGGUGACCGACCACAUCAACACCUUGAAGACUCUAUUUUCACAACUCACAACGUUGGGUCAUAAUAUAGAGGAAAAUGAACGUGCAGAGCUUCUACUUCAAAGUCUACCAGAUUCAUAUGAUCAACUCAUUAUCAACCUGACGAACAACAAUCCAGUGGACAGUCUAGUUUUCGACGAUGUUGCAGCCUCCAUAUUAAAUGAGGAAAGCAGGCGGAAAAAUAAGGAAAACAGACAAGCAAGUUCGCAGCAAGCGGAGGCGCUAUCAGUGACGAGAGGGAGAUCAACGGAACGUGGCCCCAGUGGGAGUCAAAAUCAUGGUAGAUCAAAAUCCAGAAGUAAGAAGAAUGUUAAAUGCUACAACUGUGGCAAGAAAGGGCACGUAAAAAUGGAGUGUUGAAGUAACCAGAAGAGAAGAGAGGGUAAAGAACCUGAGUCAUCAAAUGCUCAGGGGUGUGUAGCAAGUACCUCAGAUGAUGGCGAAAUACUCUACAGCGAGGCAACAACUGUUUCAGAAGGCAGAAAAUGACUUUCUGAUGUCUGGCUUAUAGACUCAUGAGCUACCUGGCACAUGACCUCUAGGAGAGAAUGGUUCCACACAUAUGAACCUAUCUCAGGAGGAUCUGUAUAUAUGGGUAACGAUCAUGCAUUGGAGAUCGCUGGUAUUGGUACUAUCAAAAUAAAAAUGUUUGAUGGUACAAUUCGCACAAUUGGGGAGGUACGACAUGUCAACGGCCUGAAGAAAAAUCUAUUGUCUUUGGGACAAAUAGACAAUCAUGGGUGCAAAACUCAUGUGGAGAAUGGAAUUAUGAAGAUCGUUAAAGGAGCACUUGUAUUGAUGAAGGCAGAAAAGAUCGGUGCUAAUCUAUUCAUGCUUAAAGGAGAAACACUACAGGAGGCUGAUACGUGUGUCGCAUCAAAUGGAGAAGAGUCAACGAUGAUGUGGCAUCUCAAACUUGGCCACAUGUCAGAACAAGGUUUGAAGAUUCUCUCUGAGAGAAAAUUGCUUCCGGGGCUCAAAUCGGUAAGUUUACCAUUUUGCGAGCAUUGUGUUACAAGUAAGCAGCAUAGAUUAAAAUUCAGUAGAUCUAUUGCUAGAAGUAAAUGCAUUCUAGACUUGAUUCAUUCUGAUGUUUGGGAAUCACCGGAUAUAUCCAUGGGAGGUGCAAAGUACAUGGUGACUUUCAUUGAUGAUUAUUCCAGAAGAUGUUGGGUAUAUCAAAUUAAGAAAAAGUCAGAUGUAUUUCUAGUGUUUAAAGAAUACAAAGCGCGGUUGGAACUUGAAUCUGGUAAAAAGAUCAAGUGCUUGAGGACGGAUAAUGGUGGAGAGUAUACAGAUGGCGAGUUUCUUGCUUUCUGUAAGCAAAAAGGUAUUCAGAGGCAGUUCACGGUGGCAUACACUCUUCAACAAAACGGAGUGGCGGAGCGGAUGAACAGAACUCUUACAGAAAGAAUAAGAGCUAUGUUGAGGACUGCUGGUCUACCCAAUUCAUUCUGGGAAGAAGCAGCCAAAACUGCCUGUUAUAUAGUAAAUCGAUCGCCAUCUACAGCUAUUGGGCUGAAGACAGCGAUGGAGAUGUGGACUAGAAAGCUAGCUGAUUAUUCUUACCUACAUGCAUUUGGAUGUCCUGUGUACAUAAUGUACAAUGCCCAAGAAAGAACAAAGCUGGAUCCAAAAUCUAGAAGAUGUAUCUUCUUGGGGUAUGCUGAUGGAGUAAAGGGGUAUCGUCUGUGGGACCCCACUGCCCACAAGAUCGUCAUCAGCAGAGAUGCUAUCUUUGUAAAAGAUCAACUGCAAAGGAGAGAUGAGGAUGAUGGCACUACAAAAGAAAAGUCAGAGACUGUUCCAGUAUAUGUGGAAAAUAAUCUAGAAGAUUCAGAUUCUUCUGAAGUAGCACCAGAGCACGAGGAACAAGAACCAGUCGACUCCGAGACUCCAGAAGUUUGUCGGUCAACUCGUGAGAGACGACCGCCAACGUGGCACUCAGAGUAUGUCACAGAGAUCAACGUUGCGUACUGUCUUCUAACAGAGGAUGGAGAGCCUCCAACUUUUCAUGAAGCUUUAAACAGUUCAGAUGUUGCUUUGUGGAAGACAACAAUGCAGGAAGAAAUUGAAGCUCUAUACAAGAACAAGACAUGGGAACUUGUACCACUACCACACGGAAGAAAAUCCAUUGGAAACAAAUGGGUCUACAAGAUCAAACGUGAUGGUAAUGAUCAAGUGGAGCGGUAUCGUGCAAGACUGGUGGUGAAAGGAUAUGCUCAGAAAGAAGGUAUUGACUUCAACGAGAUAUUUUCUCCGGUGGUUCGACUCACAACAGUCAGAAUAAUCUUGGCAAUGUGUGCUACAUUUGACCUACAUCUAGAGCAGUUAGAUGUUAAAACUGCAUUUCUUCAUGGAGAACUUGAAGAAGAAAUUUAUAUGCUCCAACCAGAAGGUUUUGCAGAAACAGGAAAAGAGAACUUGGUUUGCAGGUUGAACAAAUCUCUAUACGGUCUCAAACAGGCACCGAUGUGUUGGUAUAAGAGAUUUGAUUCCUUCAUUAUGAGCCUUGGAUACAACAGACUCAGUUCAGACCAUUGUGCAUAUUACAAGAGGUUUAAAGAUAAUGAUUUCAUCAUUUUGCUGUUGUAUGUGGAUGACAUGUUGGUAGCAGGUCCCAACAAAGAUCGAAUCCAAGAAUUGAAGGCACAAUUGGCUAGGGAGUUUGAAAUGAAGGACUUGGGACCAGCAAACAAGAUUCUAGGGAUGCAAAUUCACCGAGACAUAAAUAACAGGAAGAUUUGGCUUUCGUAGAAGAAUUAUUUGAAGAAAAUCUUGCGGCGCUUCAACAUGCAAGAUUGUAAGUCAAUUUCUACCCCACUUCCUGUUAAUUUCAAAUUAUCCUCAAGUAUGUGUCCUAGCAAUGAAGCAGAGAGGAAGGAGAUGUCUCGAGUACCGUAUGCAUCAGCAGUGGGAAGUUUGAUAUUCGCUAUGAUAUGUACAAGACCGGACAUUGCACAAGCAGUGGGAGCAGUCAGUCGAUACAUGGUGAAUCCUGGUGGAGAGCAUUGGAUAGCUGUGAAGAUGAUUCUGAGAUACAUCAGAGGAACCUCAGAUGUUGCAUUAUGUUAUGGAGGAUCAGAGUUUACUGUCAGGGACUAUGUGGAUUCAGAUUUUACAGGAGACCUUGAUAAAAGGAAAUCCACUACUGGUUAUGUGUUUACACUUGCGGGAGCAGCUGUAAGCUGGGUUUCGAAACUGCAGACAGUUGUGGCUUUAUCUACAACAGAAGCAUAGUACAUGGCAGCUACACAAGCUUGCAAGGAAGCUAUUUGGAUACAAAGAUUAUUGGAGGAGCUCGGGCACAAACAACAGAAAAUUCUUGUGUUUUGUGACAGUCAGAGUGCCUUGCACAUUGCAAGGAAUCCAGCCUUUCAUUCCAGGACAAAGCACAUAGGAGUUCAGUAUCAUUUCGUUCGAGAAGUAGUGGAAGAUGGAAGUGUGGAUUUACAGAAAAUCCAUACGAAGGAGAAUCUAGCAGAUGUUUUGACCAAGCCGAUAAAUACUGAUAAGUUUGUCUGGAGUAGAUCAUCUUGUGGCCUAGCAGAAACGUAGGCAACAUGAUUAUGGCGAAGCAGAAAGGACGGUGUGGAGAUUGAUUGUUUUUCAAUCUAAUCUCCAAGUGGGAGAAAUGUUGAAUAUGGGGCACCACUCUUCUAGAAAUGUUGAAAAUGGGCCCUCUUCUAGAAAUGUUGAAAAUGGGCCGAAAUGCUUGAAGAGGAAAAUGGAAAAAGAAAUGUUUGAAGAAGAAAAUGAGGAACACGGUUUUGACUUUCUUAGCCAUCAUUUUGCUAUAAAUAGAAGUGCAAAUGAAGAGCUUAAGUAUUCCAUUCUGAGAGUAAUUUAGCAGUUGAGAGAGAGUUUAGAGAGCUUGAAUUUAUAAGCUCUUGUUAUAGUGAUUUUGAGAGUUUGGGUGUAUUGGAGUUUUGGGAAGUGAGCUAAAAUACUACAAUACUUGUAACUCCUUUUCACUAGUAAAAUAUUUCCUUCUGUCUUCGCCCGUGGAUGUAGGCUAAAAGCCGAACCACGUAAUUUCUGGUGUCCUCUAGUGUGCUUGUUCUUUAUUUUCUUCCAAUUUUAUUUUAUCUGCGUGUCUGCUUCACCCACCAAUUUCCUAGCAUUAACUAAAUAUUUUUUAACCAUAUAUGUAUAGUUGGAUUAAAUAGUGGAGAUUACAACAAAACAUAUGCGAAUUAGUUGUGAUGUUGAGUUCAGAAGAUUGAAGUUAAAAAAAUUAAAGGUUUCUUGAUCAAGGGAAAUUUCAAAAGAGUGAAGCGUCUUCUAGAUCAAGACGAAAAUAAGGAAAGGGUAAGGGUGUAUUUUCAAAGUGAUUCUAUUGAAAGAUCUUUGAAGAUUACUUUCGUUAAGAGCAGGAUCCCACACUCUUGAGCCUUUGUCGUCCCAGUCAACUAUAAAGACACAUUAUUAUUGAGUAUGAACAUUGCGACUUAUAGAUCACCAAAUUUUCAAACUUAUGAUCUUCGUUGAAUCUGCAAUCCCUUUUGAAAAAAAAAAAAAAAAAAAAGGAAAACUGCAAAUAAUGAAACAAAAUUCUGUUCCUUGAUAGAGUUACGCGGCUUCAACUUGCAAGUGCUGUCGGCAUUUUCAAACUUGUAAGACCCUUCAACUUGCUUUCCAAGAUAGCUAUAAUCAAUAAUGACAACCGAAGACGGCUACGUUUGCGGUACAAAAGUUGCACCAUAUUAGACGUUCUUUUUAGGGAUGGCAAUGGGGCGGGGUGGGGGUGGGGAUGCCUACCCCAUUCCCCACCCCAUUAAAAUUUUUUGCCUCCAUUCCCCACCCCAUUCCCCAAUAAAUUUAGUGGGUUGGGGAUGGGGAAUCCCCACGUGGGGAAUGAUUCCCCCAUCCCCACCCCAUUCCCCAUUUACAUAUUUUAUAGUAAAUAUAAAAAUAUGAUUUCAGUAAAUUAAAAAUUAGAGACUUAAGAUAAAAUCAUCACAAUAUUAUAAAGUAUUUAAUUUUAAAAAAAAAUCUCUAAAAAUUUGAAACAAUAUCUUAAAAUGAUAUUAAAAGUGAAAAAUAUUUAAAGAAAGCAGCACCUUAAAAGAGAAAAGAAAAUAUAUUAAUGUUUUAAAGUUGAAAAAUAUUGUAGAAUUUUCUUUUAUUCAUAUUCUAUUUAUAUUACAUAAAAAUUAAAAAAAAAUUAUUAAUUGACAUUAUAGUUGAUAAAAUACAAAUUAUUAAAUAAGAAUUAAAAACAUAUUUAUAUAUAAUGGGGAUUGGGGUGGGGGUGGGGUGGGGAGUGCAAUACCAAACCCCACCCCGUUAACAAUUUGGGGAUUACUUUUCUCCCACUCCCCACCCCAUUCCCCAAAAAUUAUUAAAAAAUUUCCCCAUUUGGGGUGGGGCUCCAUGGGGCCCCAACCCGUGGAGGAUUUUGCCAUCCCUAGUUCUUUUUUGUUCUUAUCCGAAGUAACCGUUGGAUUCAAAGGAAAGUGAUCAGACAUUCAAUAGCUUCACACGUGGACAUUAUAGGAUACCGGUCAAAUCGGUUAGUGCUCCUCCACAUCAAACUCACAAGCAUGGCUAUCAUCGUAUCAGCUUGGAAACUUGUUACAAGUGACGAAGAGCAACAGGGUCCGCUCCUCUAGAGUCGGUUAGUGCUCAAUAAUGUUACAGGUUUUAUAAUCUAUGUAACUGGUACGAUCGCUGUCUCAAGUGGUAAACUUUUGAGGCACAAAUUUAGAACGAAAAGUUUCCAAUAAAAUAAGUUAUUUAAUUAAUUAAAUAAGAAUAAAAUGAAUUUGUAAAAAAAUUUUAAAUUUAAUUUUGAAUUAUUUUGACCAAAAUUUAAGUUUUUUUUUUUAAUUUGUUUAAGAAAAUGUGUUGUAAUUGUCUUGUUUUAAUUGGAAAAUCAAUGAAAAAAUUAUGUAAAAAAAAAAAAAAGCAAAACGCUUUGUUUUGGAUGGAGGCCAUAGAUUCCAAUAUUUCCUUAACGAAAACUACAAAAAAAUUAUCAAAGGCAUCAAUUUCUACACUCUCACCGAGCAAUACUCUUAUGCUGUGUUUACUUGCUGGAGUGGGAGUGAGGAGUGUGGAUUCCUCCCACUCCAGCGUUUACUUACUCAAAAUGGGGAGGGAUUAGGAAUCUCACUCCGUGGGCCCCAUCCAUUUUUGAAGUGGGGAGUGGGAGUGGGACUCCGAUUGGGGGAGGUGGGAGUGGGAAUCCACCCCCACCUCUCCCAUUUCUACCCUUUUUUUUAAUUUUAUGUUUUAUAAUUAAUAAAAUAAAAUAAAUAAUAUUAUAUUUAUUUGAAUAAUAUUAUUAUAUUUAUUUGAAUAAUAAUAUUAUAUUUAACUAAAUAAUAAUUUACAUUGAUUCUAAGUUAAAAUUAUUUUAAAAUAAUAUUAUUAUAUUAAUAGAGAAUUAAUAAAUAUAAUAUUAUUAUAUUUAUUUUAAAAAUAAUAGUACUAUAUUUAUUUAAUAUUAAUAAUAAUAAAUAGUUUAUUCUAAGAAAAUAUUAAUUUUGUACUAAAUAAUAUUAUUUUAUUAUUUUAUAUAAUAAUAAAUUUAAUAUAAUUAUAUUAAAUAAAAUAAAAUAACAUUUCAUUUUAUAUUAAAAUUAAAAUUAAUAAUUUAUUGUUCAUAAUUAAGAAUAUUAAUAAUUAUAAUAAAUUUACAAAUAUAAUAAAAUAAAUAUUAUUCAUUAAAUAUAUUUUUUAUUAGUUUUGUAAUUAAAAACUAUAAUUCUUUAAAUAAGGAUAAAAUUGUAAUUUGAAACUAUUUACUCCCAAUCCAAGACAAAGUAAACACAUAAAUUGAAUUCUGAUCUCCAUUCCAUACUUCUAUUCAAGUGUAAGUAAACAACCUACUCUCACUCCCACUCCACACUCUCAAUCCUAGGAUUCCCACUCCUCAGGAUUCCCAAUCCAAUCCAAAAAAUAAACGCUACCUUAACCCAGAAGGAAGUGUAUAAACCAACCCCAAUCAGUCCAUCAAUGUCGUCAACCUCAUACAGCAUAAAAAAAAUAUGUGUCCAUUAAACCGCCAUUUUUUUUUUUUGGUUAAACCACGAGGUAUCCUGGUAGGGCCCCAACUGUGGGAGGCACCUUUAAGCCCGUACCACAACCCAGACUAUAGCUCCCCGCUCGCACGUUGUGGCUAGUGCUCCCAACAAAUGCGACUUCUCUGCGACUCGAACUGGGGAGCAAACCCAGUCAAACCACUUAAGGGGGCUCCAGUUGCCAGAGGAGCCAACACUUUGUUGGUAUUAAACCGCCAUUUAAACUGACUUUAUUGAGUCAUUAGACUAUUGGUGUCAUCUUCCCAUCUCGUUGUAGCAUUUUACCGUUCAAAUCUAGUUAUCAAUUGUGGAAAAUGGGGACCAAUCUGCAAGUCUUUAAAAUAGAAAGAAACUUUAAUUGGGCACUAUGUUCACGGUAGUGGACACAGCAGCAGCUAUUUGUGCUUUAAAAAUUAUUUUACACUCUAAUUUUAAUAAAAAUAUAUAUUACAAAAUUACUUAUCAUAUAAGUUACUGGAUAAUAUAUUAUAAGUCAACAUUAUAUAAUUACUUUGAACACUUAUAUAGCCCAAUCCUAAUUCAAUUUAUUAUUCUCAUAACUUAAAUAUAAGUCAACAAUAUAAGGGGGUUGUGACAUGGGUUUAAACAUGAUUUAACAAGUGCCACCUGUGAAUUGUCAGAGAUUGUAUUUUCAUACACAUGUCAAAUUUUCAAGUCCAACAAAUUGUUAUCUUUCUAAAGAGGCUAAUAUUAUUAUUAUCUAUGCAUAGCAUGCUAUAAACAAUUCAUAUUCUGUACACAACAUAUGGACAGAGGAACAAAUCCCUGAGCUAAAAUCAUCAUAUUCUAAAAUAUUCUAUUAAAUCAACACCACAAAACGCGAACGCUAAACAGAAUUGGAGCAAUUUACCAAAGCUAUUUGUCACGCAAAGCACUAGUACCUCAGAACCCAAUUUGCAAAAAAGCACCAAAAAUGAAAAAUAACAAAUGCCCAGAUGAAAAAUCAGGAAAAAAAAAAAUGCUCAAAUCCAAAUUACAACCCCAUAAGCUGAGUUGUUCUCUUCGAACUGAAUUAAAAAAAAAUUAAAUAGGGAGAUUGACCUCAAACUUUGGAAACAGAAGCGACAGCGAUCUGUUUCUUGUCUGGAGUGUCCAUUUCUAUAAUCUACUUUGUCCGCUUUCAGUCGCUCUGCCACAGAGCUUCUUCCCUCUGAAGCUGAAGCUCACACACACUUGCAAAACGAAAGCAUUUUUUAUUGAUUGAGAGGCGGGAAGGCGGGAAAAUGAGAGAAAUUUGCAUUUGUUUUCUCUUGGUUUGGUCAUACCUGUGCGGGCCCCAGCUUGACAAGCGGUAUUAUUAUUAUUUGUAUAAUUUACAUGACGCGUGUCACGCAAUGACGAUAAAAAAUAUAUAUAUAUAUUGUUAAUUUUUCACUUAACAUUGAAAUAUCAUAUAAUUUUUCCAAUUUUAUGGUUAUUUUCUCGCCCUUAUGCCACAUUCUUUUGAUCAAAUAAUACAGUAAAACUUUUCUAUAAUCAUAAUAUUAAAGCCAAAUUAGCUUUAUUUAUGUAAAGAGGCUAUAGCUUAAUAAAGGUAAAAUUAUAAAAAUUAUUAUUUUGACUCAGUUAUCUUUAGUGUAAGUGAUAUAAAGUAUAAAUAUAUGAUAAUUAAUUAAUGAACUAUGUCAAAUACAAUAUGCUGACAAUGAUAAAAAAGAUAGACAUAAUUUCAAGAAACUAAUACAUAUAUUUAUGUAGUGCUGGGAUUAUACAAAAUCAUCUUAAAAGUGUAAAGUAUUAUUCUGAUUAAUUUAAAAUAAUUAUUAUUGGAUUCAAAUCAUGUCCUAGGCAUUUUUUCUUCUAGUUGGAGCUUCCAUUUGUUCUAGAGAUUCAAAGGCAGCAAGCUGCUUCCCCAGUGCUACUAAUUCUUCCCCGGCAUUGCAUGUGUAGCCUGAGGCUUGUCUACCAGACAAAGUUGCUCCUUCCAUACUAUCUAUGUAAUCCUGUGAGAGUGAAACCAUUUAGAAGACAUAUCUCUUUUUUUCCAAUAUUUGGAAUGAAACAAUUAUAUACAGUUACCUGUUUUGUAUAUGAGCUGGCGAGGAAGAAGUUCUUCACUGGUAUCUUUUGAUCAGGUCUGAAGGGGUCUUUACCAGGUCCCUCACCUCACAAAGAUUGCCGGAUUUUGACGACAGAUAACCAAAUAACUUCUAAACCUUGGGAUGAUGGAAAUAGAGCUAAAACCUAAUAAAAGGAACCGUGAAUGGAUAGUAUGGAUUCAUGUAUAUUAUCCAGAAAGUUGCAUGACCUUUUGUGGUACUCAGGUCACUAAAAAACGUGAGAUAAACAUCUAGGAUAAGAAAAGCAAAAAAGCAUAACCUAAUACGUAUUAUAUGAAUUGAAGGUGUCACUGAACACUACUAACCUGCUUUGCCACUCUCCUUAUGAUUUCAUCAUUUGAUAAGGGCAUAUAAGGAUCUCCAGGCGUCAAAACGCAUCUGAAAGAUAAUAUGGUUAUAGGAAGCAAGAUGGAAUACAAAGACACUUGGCAAAAGGAAGUCAAUCAGAUUCCAUGCACAAAAAAUAACUAAUAAUGACGAGGAUAAGAAAUGUUUCUUACUGGAGAAAUGAACCUUGCCCUUCUCUGUAGUAGUAUUCUGGUGAAGUGAGUGCUAGAUCUGCAAAGCAAGGGAAAUCUGCAUCUGGAGUAUAUAAAAGGUUAUCUAGCCCCACAGCUUGCUUCUAUUGCCUACAUGUUCAAUACAAGGAUCCGUUAAAAAAUGGAAAUUUCUUCAAUGCAUUAGUAAAGGGGAGUGAAGUGAAAGCUGAUUUCUUAGGCCUUCACAGAGCAUCUUGUGUUUGACAGCAAGCACUAAAGAAUAAACUCAAAGUCAGUGCUUCUAACAGAUGAUAUAAACAACAAAUUUACAAAUAUCAGGUCAUUGCAUUAGCUCCAUGCCUCCAUCAGAGCGAACAUUAAUAGAUGCGUAAAAAAAAAAUAAGAGCCAUAUGUGAAACAAUUUACCUUAGACAUGGCAAGUCCUUUGACAAAUGUUUCCCCGUUAGCAAAUUUAUCAUAAUGCAUCUCUCUGCAUCCCCACCUAAGAUGGAACCUGUUCUCACAAGAACAGACUCCAAGGUUGGGAAAAUCAAUUGAUCAUCGGAGAAAACAAACAGGAUUAACAAAUCACUACAAUGGUGUGAACCCGUAAAUACAAAUGUACCUGCCCCCUUUAUUUGCGAUAUAUUUUCUUAUUGGCCCAAUCAAAUAAACAUCCGGAGAACCCUUGAGCAUCUGUAAUAGGGAAGCCUCGGUCUUAGUCGCAAACAGUGCAAAUAUAGUAUGCAUACAACGAGCAAUGAUGUUAUCACAAUCAAUAAACCCAAGGGCAAACGCAACAGAAUCUUACAUUCUUUGGAUACUCAUCCAUGUACCACCCUUGGACAAAAACCAAUCAGAGAAGCUUAUCUGUAAGAAGAAAUGAAGUUUUAGGUAAAAUAAAAAUUUGUAGGAACAGGGAUUGAAAUUCAACAAACAAGAGCAAUAGCAUUUCUUGAUUUAUCAUAAGUCUGCACUUGAAAUUCAAGAAGUGCCUUUACAACAGGACUCAGCGCAAGAGCAAUAGCAUUUCUUGAUUUAUCAUAAGUCUGCACUUGAGCAAUAUACGAGGCAAAGUACAUCAAAAGAGAAUCCAAAAGAGGCAAGAAGCUUCAACAUGAAAAAAGGAGUACUGCCUCGUCAUACUGCUUUGCAAUCACAGUGCAAAAGAUAACAUCAACAAAAUCAAAAUCGAGCAUAAAUCCGUAUGCACUACCUUAAGCUGAUUUGUAGACAAAAAUGCAUGAAUCCCAUGUAAUGGAGCUCUAAUCGGAAACCGGAAAUCAAGUUCUGGAGUUGAAAAUCAAAAUCAUGAAUCAAAUCAGAGUUGUUAUUGAAUUAGACAAUCCAUAAACCAAUAGAAGGUGAUGUCAAACCAUCAAGCAUAACUAUUAGUUGUUUUAAGUGAUCAAGAAAUAACUAUACCACCAAUUUCACCACCCUUAUUUACAAAUUUAUGAGUAUGAUCCUUCAUGAGUAAAUUUUCGUCCGCACCGACCUGUCGACAUCCAUGAAAAACUAUCAGAUCAUAAACACAGGUUCCAGUUAAAGAGGAUCUAUGAUUCUGAUCCAUCAUGUUAUUUGAACAACAUAUUCGGAUUUUCUUACAACCCUAAGCUUUUAUCAGUUAUCAUCGCUACAAAUGAUAUGGUCAAGAGGAAUGAUAGUUCUUGUUUCAAGAAUCUCAAAUCGUAAUUCUUUUGCAUGGCUUCUGUGCUUUUAUAAUCAUUCAAACACGCAUAUCCACAACUAAGCAAGCUUUACCUUUUUUGUCAAUCGGAACAGAUUAUUGUAGCAUCCAAAGAAAACGUGCAGGCUGAUUUCAAUAUGGUUUCCACGUUUACAGACAAAUGAAGCCACUUUACCACCAAUAAAAGACCUCAACUCAUAUAUAUCCACCUGGAAGAAAGGAAAAGUUUAAAAAAAAGGAAUAAAAAUUCUUCUAAUUUCUUUCACCAUCAACAAAAUCAGAAAAACACAUACUAAUUCAAAAUGAAAUAAAGUUUGUGAAUUGAAAUAAUGCCAACUCCUAAGAAAAAUUAUGACUGCUGAUAUUUUUUCCGAAAUGCUGAUAAAAGCUUCUGCUAUUUACUUCGAAAAAAUUGAGGUUAGAAGCCUAUUUACUUGAAAUUUUGAGUUUAGGCAAGAGGAUGAAUGGUAAAAGUGAAACAUUUUAGGGAAAAAUGUACGUCAGAGGCCAAUGAAAGCAUUCAGAAGAUUGAAAUCUAAAUGAGCAAAACCCCGUGGCCUUGAUCCAACAAAUCCACUGCUGUUGACAUGCCUGCAAGCCCAGCUCCAAUAAUAGCCACUCUCAGCUUUGGUCCUCUAUAAUGUUCCGGUUCUGGUAGAAACAAACCCUUGGGAGCUGCCAAGUAUACCAUCCAAUUAUCCACAGCGAUAAUGGAAAUAUAUAUGUGUUUAAAGGUACUAAAUUCCUAAACAUGAAAUGUAUCCAAAGAGAGACACAAAGCAGAAUUGUGAAAGCAUUUCAAUUCCCAAUAAAUUUUAAGAAUACAAAAUACUCGGUCUGUUCCUCAAUUCCUUUAAUAAAAUUUCCACUAGAGGCUACGGAAGCCACUCAAUAACACUCCAAAGCCAGAUUUUAAACGUUAUCUUUAUCUUUAACUCCAAUCCAUAAACAAUUCUGCCACAAAUUCAAUCCAAAAUUGUUCAAGUGCACCGCCAAUUCUCCGUCAAUUCCCUCAAAAAUUCAUAAUUGGCAAACACUACAAACCCAAAAGAGCUUCCAGCAAUAAACGCAUAAAAAUCCACCAAGCAACAGAAAACAAAAUACCCAGAAACCAGAAAAGCCAAAAGAUCAAUGCUUGGCAAACAAGCAAAUCAAAUAAAACAAAAAGAAGAGAAAUUUACCAUUAACGCUCAUAUCAGAAACAUUAGCGUCCAAAGAAGCCCGUACACGGAAUCUUGGACCCUUCACUUGAACCCGAGACCAUGUAACGCCAGUAACUGAAGUUGCAGGAAACAGAACUGAAGAACCCAUAUUGCAAAUCCUGAGCUGAAAUCAAAGAAAUUCAAUUGGAACUCAAUUCAGCUCAACCGAGCGGCGCUCUCUUUUGCUUCAAUAACAAAGUAUUUUUCUUUCAUAUCAACAAAGAUUUGUCAACAUCAACAAAAUUUAACUAAGAAACUAAAAUAAUGAGGUAUCUUUGAGUUUAAGAAUCUAACAAGAUGCUAAGGAAGAGAGUUUUGUCAGGGAACUGUUUCGGAGAGGUUGGCCAAGUGGUUCUUUGUUUUUUUCUUCUUUUUUGGCCCUUUUCAUUAAUACACAACAGUAGUACUCGUGAAGAGCACAAAAUGUUGGUGACUUUGUCACUAACGAUACCAAAGUGGAGUGACCAGAGCAACCAACUAAAUUUUAAAGAGAGGGAGUGAUAAGUAAUAUUUUCUUUGGGUGAUUAAUUAAUUUAUUAUCAAAUAAUUUUAUUUAUUUAAUUAAACGACAUCCUUAUCUUUGUACAAGGCUGAUGAAAGACGACGAUGUUGUGUUGUCACAUAUUUUUGGGCCGACCGUUUCUUGUUUCGGCUUAAAUGAGGCUUUUGUAAUUUUGUGCUGUUUUUUAACUGAGUAUUUUGUGCUAAAUUACGCCAAAGAAAAAGUGUAAUUGUUAAAAGAUCUGCUGACACUCAUAACCUCUUAAGCGGAAUUUAUAAUGUGACAGUAUUGAUAUCUAAGUUCAUAAUAUCUAUGGGAGUGAUAAAACGAAUAAAUGAAUCGAAUCGUAAAUGAAUUUAGUUAAAAUUUAAUGGAUUUGAAUUCGAUGUGUUAUCAAGCGAAUCAUAAUUUUAAGAUUCAAACUCAAUUCAUUUAUUUAAUGGAUAUCUAUUUAAUUCGUUUAUUGUAAAAACUUAAACAAAUUGAGUUGAAUUUGGAUUCGUUUACAAUUUGUUUAAUUCAUUUAUGCAAAAUUAAUAAUAAAUCAAUCAAAUGUGGAUUUGUUUAAAAAAUAAUAAUAAUUAAUAAAAAAAAUAAAGUAAAAUAAAAUAUAAAAAAUCAUAAAAUUAACAACCUACAAAAUACAAACAAAUUAGUGACCCCAAACUCGGAUUCGAUUCAUUUAUUUAAUGAAUUGAAUUGAAUUCACUUAUUUGUUAAUGAAUUAUUUUUUUAAAAUUCAGACCUAUUUAAUUUGAAUCUAAUAAACAAAUCCUAACCUAAAUUGCCAUCUCUAAAUAUGAUGGACCUACUUAAAAUAUAUGAAUACCAAAAUGUGUGGGCUAAAAAGUGGUUUACCAUGCAGCAAUAAGAAUUUUAAGCUCUCUUUUCUUAUGUCACCCAAGGCAUUGGCUGGAUGGCCAAACAGCAGAGUUCAAGUCUACAAUAGAGAAUCGAAAUUUUCCUUUGUAAAUGUUCGUAAGUAUUUAGCAUAGAUUUUUAAGUUAUUCUUGAUAGAUCCCCUACCACAUACGCUAUAAUAUUUCUCUUCUUUUAAUUUAAAAGUAAAUCAUGCAUAAUAACGGGUUUGUAAAGAAAUGAAAUUUCUGGUAAUUAACUGUCAAAAAAAAAGGAUGGAUUAAGCGAAAGAAGUUAAUAUAGAGUUAAGUCGAGUACUUGACAAUAGGGGUGUUCGCGGAUCGGAUUUUACAGAUUAGACAUCAAUCUAUAUCUGAUCCAUAAUUUUACGGAUUAUAAUUUUUCAAUCCAAUCCAAUCCACAGAUUGAUAUAAUUCAAUUCAAAUCCAAUCCAUACAUCUGCAGAUCGGAUGCGAAUUUGACUCAAUCCAUAUCCAAUCCAUAAGUCUGCGGAUCGGAUGCGGAUUUGACUCAAUCCAUAUCCAAUCCACCAUUUUGCGCAUUAGUUUUCGAAUUAAAAAUUUUUAGUUCUCUCCAACUAAUGAAAUAAAAAAAAAAUCUAAUAUAAAAAUAAUUUUGCUACCAAUUAAAUUUAAAAUUGAAUAAAAUUUAAAUAAAUUAAUUGUUUAAAUAAAGCUAAAAAAAUACAUUUAAAAUUUUAAAAUAUAACACAUCGAGACUAAUUAUUCAAAUAAAGCUACAAUAAUACGUUCAAAGUUUCAAAAUAUAAUACACCAAGCUUAAUUGUUCAAAUAAAGUUACAAUAAUACGUUAAUAUAACACCGAAAUUAAUUAUUGAAAUAAAGCCACAAUUAAUUGAAAUGACGAAGCUUCGGAAACCAAACACAGUCUAAUCCUUUACCAGGGCUGUUGCGCUUGUCGAAAAGUGGUGAUUACGGAGCCGUCCACGAUGGGAACUAGGAGAAGUCGUCGAGUGGCAAUCUUGAAGGUUGUGAUAAUGAAAUUGUUCAGCUGGAACCAGUGAAUGUGAAGUGGCUCGGUGGACUUGGGAAAGAAGAUGGCUUGCUCUCGCUGUAAUCGCGCGGCCGAUGUCCUUCAAAUCCGUGUCGAGAGUGUAUCCAACCAGUAUUGAAUGUUGCUAGUGUGUGUCAUGGCGGGGAAGCUUAGGGUUUUUUGUUUGCAAAUUAUUUGUGACUUAGCGUCAUGUUACUUUACUUUUGGGUGACUUUGCAAAUUGUUGGUGAUUUGGCGUUAUGUUACUUUGCUUUUGCUAAUGUGUGUGACUUUGCUUUUAUUUUGUUUUACAAUGUCUACAAGUUAUAUUUGUAUAUUUGAUUAUUUAAUUAUUUUUUAUUUUAUAUUAUUAUUGGGUAAUGGCUAAGAUAUGUUAUAGUGUUUAUGUAACUAUGUAAUGUCACAUUUAUAAUUUUUUUAAUUAAAUUUAUAAUAAUUUUUUAAUUAUAUAUAAAUAUAUAUAAUUAAAAAAUUAUUAUAAAUAUAUAUAAUAUUAUUAGAAACUAUUAACAACGGCACAAAAUGCCUGUGAUAAUGAAACAAUGUGCCAUCCUUAAACUAAUAUUAUUAGAAACUAUAAGUGAAAGUUUUCAGAAAACACGCACGUGAUAAGUUUUCUCCUUUGUUUUGAUUUACGCGAGAGAUAGUUGUAAAGCGUAAAAUUUUAAAAUCCGUAACAAAACAAAAACUUACAUGGGUUGGGCGCACCAUGUGCAUACCAAAUUAGAAUAAUUGACGAAUCGUAAUAAAAAAUUUAUAUAUAAGAAUUGAAUGAGAUCCAUGGUUCACAAUUGCAAAUUAAAGGUUGGUUUUAUAAUAAAAAUCUUUUUGUGCAUACCAAAUUAGAAAAGAUUAUAAGUAAAUUAAGAUUUUCAAAAUUUGACUAGUAUUAUAUUACGUUCAUCAAUAAAAUAUAAAUUUGUUAUAUAUAUAUUUUAUUCUGUAACCAAUGCUUUCAAAAACUUUAUACUUAUAUGUUUGAACAACUUUUUUCGUUUUCUAUUUAUAUACGAUAUCAUUUAUGUUUACAUAAAUUUUCAUAUGUACCCAAAUUAAGCAUUAAAUACACACACUUUGGUAAGACACAUUAAUUUCUAGUAUCAGACAAUGAUAUUAUAUUGAAUGUAAUGCUUCAAUGAAUUUUAUUACUAUAUACUAAAAUACUCAACGAUCUCCAUUAAAAAAAGAAAAGAAAUUGCAUGAUUAGAAUGAUUAAAGAUCAUUUGAUGAGGAGUUUCAUCAUUAACUGUGUCGAAACACAGCAGCAAUCCACAAUACACUUAACAGGAGAGGGGCACACAAGCAUGCAUGAAUCUUCCACCAUUAAACCUGAAAUCAUAAAAUAAAAGAAACAAGAUGAGUGUUGUUUUACGGUCUGAAAGCCGAUUCCAAUUAAUAAUAAUAAUAGUAAUAGUAAUAAACCUUUGUUAAUAAUUACUACUAGUUGUCUCUGCCUUUUGCAUCUUCCUCCUUUGUAUCAUCGUCCUCUUCCAAUCACACGGCUAGACCAGUAUGUCUCGAGAAUCUUUACUGCCUUCUCAGAGAUCCCGUUGACGUCACGACUUCGUAGAUUUUCAAUCUUUUCUAAUCCCUCAGCCUCCUCAACCAACUGGGCAUAUUGAUUAAAAUCUCCAACGGCGGUACCCGUAUUCAUUUCAGCUACCCCGACCUUCAAAAUGUUCUCUAAUCCUUCUAAGCAAACAGUGACGAUCUUUGGAUCAGCACAUUGAAGGAGACCACACAAUGGUUUUAUACACCCCGUUCUCACGAGGUACUUGAUUUGAUCAUGAGUGCCACGCGAGCUGGCAUUCGAAAUUGCCCAAGCAGCCUCCUUCUUUGUAUCAAAUUCAGCAUUUUGAAGUAGAUUGACAAUGGGACCAAUUAAGCCGGAAUCAAUUACCGCCUGAAUCUGCUCCCUGUUUCCAGCUGUAAUAUUUGAAAUAAUCCAGCUAAUCUUCUUCUUGAUGAUCUCUUCAUGAUUAUGGACUAAAAUGUCCAAAAAGUAUGGCAGUGCACCACAGUUAAUUAUAUACUGAGUCUGGAAAUCAUCUCCCGUCACAAUAUUUCCAACAGUCCCCAGGGCAGGGGCAAGCACUGAGGAUGAUGAGUGACCAAGGAGCUCAACAAGUCGUGGACAGACACCUGCCUCGAUCACAGCUUGAAUUUUGUCAUUCGUACCAUCAGCAAGAUACGCGAGUGUCCAACAGGCAUAUGUCAAGACCUCUUCAUCGUUUGAACGAAUAAGCUGUGCAAGCGCCGGGAGAGCUGGCCUUACCUGAUCAAAUGGUGGCUGUGGCAUGCCCCUGCAUAAAUUAGACAAUGUCCAUGUGGCAGUUCUCAGCAUUGAAAGCUUAGUGUGGUCCUUUAAUUGCUCCAGCACUGGAAUCAAAGCUUCUUCGCGAAGCACAAGAUUACGGCAUCCAAGUGAGUCACCACCAAUAUUUCCCAUUGCCCAAACAGCCUGCUCGCGGACAUCCUCACUUGGAGAAGCAAGUAGUUUCACAAAUAUUGGAACAGCACCGUCGUCAAUCACCACCUUAGUGUUCUCUGAAGUUCCAGAAGCAAUGUUUGUAAGAGCCCAAGCAGCCUGAAAAUGAAGUUGCGGAUAGUCUACCCUCAUAAGAAACUCAACAAAGCGCGGGACAACGCCAGAUUGUAUGACUUCAUCAAUUUGUGGACUCCUCUCAAUCGAAAGUAGAUUUCGGAACCAAGUAGUUGCUUCCAGCUGCAAGCCGCUGUCAUCUGACCAAACCCCAGCAACCAUCCUGUGAAAACUCGCGUACUUGUUUUAGGAGCAGGAGCAGGAGGAGGAAAUUAAGUUAGGGAUUUGGAGUGAGAGUGAAGGUGGAGAAAAAGCAAGAGAGGGAAAAAGUUGAUUGUUGAGAAAUAUAUACCUUUCGUAUGGUUGUGUUAAGGUCGUCCUUCCAAUCCCAACAUGCUUCACCCCGCCGCUCCACUUUGUGUAAUUUGGGUGUACUUAAUUUUCCUUCAGAGAAAAUCUUCAUAUCGGGGCAAUCAUCCACCACUAAUCUUUCCAAAGAUGGGAAAUUGAAAGCACAAUUGCCAGAGCAGAAGCUUGUCAGACUUUCUAAGAGUAAAAGCUUCAACUCCUUCAAUUCUCUGAAAGUAAUAACCUCAUCUUGUGCUACAACAUCAUCCCCCAGUACUAUUUCUUUUAUCUUAUCGCAUGAUGCUAUCUCCAUAUAUCUAAGUCUCACCAGAGUCUUUGCAACUGAGGAUGUUAUUACGAUUUUCAAGUUGUUGCAACGCGAUACCACCAGAUUUGUAAGAUUCUGAAAGGAUGUCGACGAUGGCACUAGAUUGACCAAACGGUCACACCCCUUUACACGUAGAAUAACCAAGUUGUUCGUAACAGAGGACUCCUCUAUCAAAAUGUGCUCCAGUUGAUAUUUUGCUUCUAUUAUUUCUACCCUCAUCCCAUUUUCAACCUUCUCUUCCGGCAACCAAGCAUCAAGUCCUCCUAUUUGGAGGAGUUUCAUUGUGUGAAGUCUCUGGAGGAAGUCACCAAGCGAUAAAAUAGUCCGCUCAUCAUCCAACUCCACAAAAAUAUAUUUUAGUUUGCAAAGCAAGUCUUCAGAAAAUAGAUAUUUAUUUGUUACUACGUGCUUUGCAUCAACUUUCAACUCUUCCAAAUUAGGGAAUACCUGGGAGAUUGAUCAGAGCCCAAAAAAAAAAAAAUACAAGAUGAAUCAAUUGAUGAGAAUUAUAAGUUACCACUAAUUUAUAAAAUAUAUUUUAUAAAUUAGAAUAAUUAUGAAUGAAUACUAUACACUAAUCUAGAAUAAUUAUGAAUGAAUACUAUACACUAAUCUGUAAGAGAGUUACGUUGCUAACAAUUUGACUUUUAGUAAGAAACCAAGCGAUAAAGGCAAAGGCAAUAUAACUCUAAACUCUAUGAUAUAAACUCUCACAGAAUAAGAAUUGAAAAAUUGAUUAUAAAAUUCUUGUACGUACCCUUUCCGUGAAGAUACUAGUAGUUCUUUUGUAUCUCGCCAUGAAUUCAGGACAUGCAGAUAUCCAUAAUUCUUUCAAGGAUGGAAAUUCAAGAAUAUCAAGAUCUCCAGUGCAGAAGCUUGUGAUCUUUUCAAGAUCAGACAUCUCCAGAUAUUGCAACAGAGGAAACAUUACAAUAUUAUUCUUCCUUUCUUCUUGGUUGUCCACGACUAUUAACUCUUCCAGGACAGGACAUUUACUUAUCUCAAUGCUUUGGAGUCGAACAAAGCUACUAACAGUAGAAGAUGAAAAUAGACAUCUUAAAUUCAUACAUCCGUGUAGGAUCAAGCGUGUUAAAUUCUGAUUACCACAAGACAUGACUGUAACUGGGCUCAGCCGAAUCCUCCCAACAUUUAUUGAAUCCAACGUCAACUUCUCUAACUCUGGUAACCGAACCUGCUCGAACAAAAAAUUAACUUGUUAAUUGCAAGUAAACGAUCAUUGAUUAUAAAAUUCUUGUACGUACCCUUUCCGUGAAGAUACUAGUAGUUCUUUUGUAUCUCGCCAUGAAUUCAGGACAUGCAUAUAUCCAUAAUUCUUUCAAGGAUGGAAAUUCAAGAAUAUCAAGAUCUCCAGUGCAGAAGCUUGUGAUCUUUUCAAGAUCAGACAUCCCCAGAUAUUGCAACUGAGGAAACAUUACAAUAUUUUUCUUCCUUUCUUCUUGGUUGUCCAAGACUAUUAACUCUUCCAGGACAGGACAUUUACUUAUCUCAAUGCUUUGGAGUCGAACAAAGCUACUAACAGUAGAAGAUGAAAAUAGACAUCUUAAAUUCAUACAUCCGUGCAGGUCCAAGUGUGUUAAAUUCUGAAUACCACAAGACAUGACUGUAACUUGGCUCGGCCAAAUCCUCUCAACAUUUAUUGACACCAACUCCAACUUCUCUAACUCUGGUAAUGCAACCUGCACGAUCAAAAAAUUAACUUGUUAAUUACAAGCAACAAUGAUUUCUGUUGAUGGACAAAUCAAUAAAAUUACUCUUUCUCUGGUUAUAGUUCUUUUCAGUUUUUCAUACAAACAACCGUUAAUCAAGUUUUCCAAAUUAUUCCUUACUAAAUGUAUAGAUUUAGACGGCGGCUAAUAUAAUUCAUAUUGCAAAUAUUUUUUGAUUGUAACGAAUUUUGUAAUAUUAAAUUUUGGUUGAUUAACAAUAGGACCUACUGUCCAGCGCGAGCAGUUCUCGGGAUUUAACUACUGGCACCUCGAUUAUAUAAAAAUUUGGAAUAUUUUCAAAGGAAAUCACAUAAUUCCCCCUUGCAAAUAGUAAUUUCAUUAAUUGCCGCGGGUUCACAUAUAAUUCUAAGAAAUUAGGCGAGAAGAGUCUCAUCAACAAUCAAUCAGCAGAUAUCACGUUUGGCAGAUCAUCAUGAUUUCCUCAGAUGCUAGAGAAUCAAAGUGAUUUCCGCUCAUGCAGGAGUGGACACAUUAUCUUAGAGCAUACCUCACUGAGAUCUUUUAAAAAAUUUAUAUUAUAAAGUGAACAACAUAUUUAGUAUAGAUUUAGACGGCGGCUAAUAUAAGUUAUAUGUAUUCUAAUGACGUAUAUUAAAGAAAAUGACUAACCAUAAUUUCAAUCAACUUAUUAGUCUAUAUAUAUAUAUAUAAUAUAUAUUCAGCGAUUACAACAUAUUUAGUAUUCCAUAACAUGAUGUUUAUAAUAAUAAUUAUUAUUAAUUCACUUAUUGUGUCAGAGUACCUUUUCUUUCUCUAAGAAUGUAUUUGUUACACCCCACUAUACUUCGGAUGAAAAAUUUAGAAUAAUUGUGAAAUAUAAUUAUUAAUCACUCUUUGCCAUAUUUGUUACCAAACAGGAAUAUAACAAAGAAAAAAAACAAAAAUUAUAGAGAAUUAAUAAGACGAUUGACUUAUUAAUAACUGACCUUCUCAGGGAAAAGCGUAUUAGAAAUUUGGACAUUGUCCUCCAAAAUGAUUUCAUGUGACUGCAAAUCAUUAGCUGAUUCCUCUUGUCUCUGUUGACAUUGCAGGUGUCUUGAUUUAAGAGUGUAAACUUAAUUGUGAACACAAUCUUAAUUAAUGCACUUGUCUCUGUUUUACAUUGCAGAUGUCUUGAUUUUAGAGCGUAAACUUAAUUGUGAGCACAAUCUUAAUGCAUAGAUAUAAAAUCUUUAAAAAUGAGUACAAUCAACUUAGCACUAAAUCCAAAUUUGAUAUUUUGGAUUCCAUGAUUAAGAUUUUUUAAAUAAAAAUUUAAUAGAGUUAAUUUAAAAAUAAAAAUUAAAUGUGAAAAAUAAACUUGCAAUUAUGGAUUUAAUUUUGAUAAAUAAUGAGGUUCCGCCUAUGUUGCAACAGUUGCAACAUACCACUUCUUUUGUCAUUUUGUAAUUUAGCCAUUGGAUCCAAGACAAGAAUGGUAAAAGCAAAUCUAACGGCAGAGUGUAUUUAUUUAGGUUAUUUUCAUUGUAAUCCCUCUUGUUUUCUGAAAUGUCAGGAAAAAACAUAAUUAUUAUUUUUUUAUUUAUUGGCUUAGUUGUUAAAUGAUAUGAAUAAGAAGUAGGAAAUUUAAGAGGACUUUUAUUAUUGAUAUUAUGUAAUUACAAUGCAUGAUUCAAUACUAGUUUAUAAGAGUCACAACUUGUUAAAUAUAAAAUAAAGUUUAUGUUUGCAUCCUAACUUCAAAAAGAUAAAUACGUUUAUUUAUUCCACAAAUUAAUAAAUAUUUCAUAUUUUUUUAAUUAUUACUAUCAUUUCUAGAUCUACUCUCAUUAUGUAAAUUUAUUAAAAAUUAUAUUUAAUUAUUAUUUUAUAUUAAUUAUUAAUAUAUAAAUAUAAUAUGAUAUAAUAAAAUAAUAUUAUAAUAUAAUUUAUUUUUAAUAUUUUAAUUAUUAUAGUAAAAAUAAAAAUAUAAUAAAAAUAUAUUUUUAAUAUUUCAAUUAAGAAAAAUUUUAGCACAUUGUAGUGAAUUAUAUAAUUGACCACAAUCUAACUUUUAAAACUUCCAAACAUAGGUAAGUAAUAAAUUAAUGUGAACAAUAUUAUAACAAUAUACAAUACUGUGUUCUAAACACAUUCUAAUGGUGCGUUUAUUAAAUAAGAAUCGAAAUGAGCUAGAAUCAUAAUAAGGAAUCGGAAUGAACAACAUUCCCAUUGAUGUGUUUACUUUUUUUUAUAAUUGGAAUAAACUAUUAUAAGUUAUUAAAAUGCCCUUUGAUAAUUGUGUCCCUAAUAUUAUUUGUAUCUAUUAUAAUUAAAACAAUAAUAAUAAUAAUAAAACUAAAAAUAAUAAUUAUGAAAAUAAUGUUAAUUAAAACAAAAAAUUAAUAAAAUUUAACAACAAUAAUAAUAACAACAACAACAAAAUUAACUGAAAUAAUAAUAUUAAUAAUGAUAAUAAUAAUUAUUAUUAAUAAGUUUUAAUAAUAAUAUUAUUAAUAAAAAUAAUAACAACAUUAAUUAAUAAUAAUGAAAAUAAAAAAGUUAAUAUAUUUUAAUAAUAACAUUAAUUUUAAUCAUAACAAGAUAAAUAUUAAUAAUAAUGAAUUAAUUACAGUAUAAUAGCAAUUAAAAUAAUAAAAGUAAUAAAUUUUAAUAAUAAUAAUAAUGACAAUAAUAAUCAUAAAUAAUAAUAAUUAAAAUAAUAAAAUUUAAUAGCAAUAUAACUCUUAAGCUUUAUGAUUUAAACUUUCACAGUACAUACAUAAGAAUUGAAAAAAUGAUUAUAAAAUUCUUGUACGUACCCUUUCCGUCAAGAUAUUAGUAGUUCUUUUGUAUCUCGCCAUGAAUUCAGGACAUGCAGAUAUCCAUAAUUCUUUCAAGGAUGGAAAUUCAAGAAUAUCAAGAUCUCCAGUGCAGAAGCUUGUGAUCUUUUCAAGAUCAGACAUCUCCAGAUAUUGCAACUGAGGAAACAUUACAAUAUUAUUCUUCCUUUCUUCUUGGUUGUCCACGACUAUUAACUCUUCCAGGACAGGACAUUUACUUAUCUCAAUGCUUUGGAGUCGAACAAAGCUACUAACAGUAGAAGAUGAAAAUAGACAUCUUAAAUUCAUACAUCCGUGCAGGAUCAAGCGUGUUAAAUUCUGAUUACCACAAGACAUGACUGUAACUUGGCUCGGCCAAAUCCUCUCAACAUUUAUUGACACCAACUCCAACUUCUCUAACUCUGGUAAUGCAACCUGCACGAUCAAAAAAUUAACUUGUUAAUUACAAGCAACAAUGAUUUCUGUUGAUGGACAAAUCAAUAAAAUUACUCUUUCUCUGGUUAUAGUUCUUUUCAGUUUUUCAUACAAACAACCGUUAAUCAAGUUUUCCAAAUUAUUCCUUACUAAAUGUAUAGAUUUAGACGGCGGCUAAUAUAAUUCAUAUUGCAAAUAUUUUUUGAUUGUAACGAAUUUUGUAAUAUUAAAUUUUGGUUGAUUAACAAUAGGACCUAGUGUCCAGCGCGAGCAGUUCUCGGGAUUUAACUACUGGCACCUCGAUUAUAUAAAAAUUUGGAAUAUUUUCAAAGGAAAUCACAUAAUUGCCCCUUGCAAAUAGUAAUUAUCAUUAAUUGCCGCGGGUUCACAUAUAAUUCUAAGAAAUUAGGCGAGAAGAGUCUCAUCAACAAUCAAUCAGCAGAUAUCACGUUUGGCAGAUCAUCAUGAUUUCCUCAGAUGCUAGAGAAUCAACGUGAUUUCCGCUCAUGCAGGAGUGGACACAUUAUCUUAGAGCAUCCCUCACUGAGAUCUUUUAAAAAAUUUAUAUUAUAAAGUGAACAACAUAUUUAGUAUAGAUUUAGACGGCGGCUAAUAUAAUUUAUAUGUGUUCUAAUGAUGUAUAUUAAAGAAAAUGACUAACCAUAAUUUCAAUCAACUUAUUAGUCUAUAUAUAUAUAUAUAUAAUAUAUAUUCAGCGAUUACAACAUAUUUAGUAUUCCAUAACAUGAUGUUUAUAAUAAUAAUUAUUAUUAAUUCACUUAUUGUGUCAGAGUACCUUUUCUUUCUCUAAGAAUGUAUUUGUUACACCCCACUAUACUUCGGAUGAAAAAUUUAGAAUAAUUGUGAAAUAUAAUUAUUAAUCACUCUUUGCCAUAUUUGUUACCAAACAGGAAUAUAACAAAGAAAAAAAACAAAAAUUAUAGAGAAUUAAUAAGACGAUUGACUUAUUAAUAACUGACCUUCUCAGGGAAAAGCGUAUUAGAAAUUUGGACAUUGUCCUCCAAAAUGAUUUCAUGUGACUGCAAAUCAUUAGCUGAUUCCUCUUGUCUCUGUUGACAUUGCAGGUGUCUUGAUUUAAGAGUGUAAACUUAAUUGUGAACACAAUCUUAAUUAAUGCAUAGAUACAAGAUGUUUAAAAAUUAGUAUAAUAAACUUAGCACUAAAUCCAAAUUUGAUAUUUCGGAUUCCAUGAUUAAGAUUUUUUAAAUAAAAAUUUAAUAGAGUUAAUUUAAAAAUAAAAAUUAAAUAUGAAAAAUAAACUUGCAAUUAUGGAUUUAAUUUUGAUAAAUAAUGAAUGUUCUCUUUAUAUAUUUUUUUAAAAGGUAAAAGAGCGUACAAAACCCAAAUUCAUUUUUUUAGUCCCUUACUCUCCCAUGAUUCAAACUUCACUUUUUUUUUCUUUUUCUUUUUUUUCUUUUUUUGUUGAGAGAAAAGAGAAGAAGGAUAUUACAAAGCAUGAAGCUCGUGCAAUAUAAGGGCAAUUAUGGUUUUUUCUUUAAAUUAAAAUGGUAAGAUUCUGAAGCUAAAAGAUUAAAAUAUUAAUUAAAUUGCAAACAUUAAAGAUUUUUUUUCCAAAAUUGGUUGCUUUGAAAAUGAGAAUAAUAUAAUAUUUGAAGACUUUUUCAAAAUUAAUUACUGUGAUGCACUAGAAAUUUAUAGCUUUAGUCUAAUGUAUAAAUUGACAAAACGAUAUUAGAAUCCCAGGUGAAAAGAACCCUCUCAUACCAUUUUCUUAAAUUAGGAAUGAUCAUACCUCUGACUCUGCCGGACUGAGGGCGAGGCGUGAACCCCUCAUACGGAGACGCUUGAGAUGGGAAGAGCCUACUUUGACUAACUCGUUACGAAAAUAAUCGACAUCUUGCUCUUGCAAUCUACGUAAUUCAAGGUCUUCAAUUCUCUGCAGUUGCACGAUCAGCGAAUCCUUCAAGCGAAUCUUGUCAUUUAGCUCGAGUCUGAAUUCACGACACCAAAUGCCAGUGCUCUCCCAAUAUUCCCAACCCUCAUCCUCAUCCUCAUCCUCAUCAUCUCCAAUGCGGAUGAUAUGUAUGCUGUACCUUUCCAGCUUCUCCAAGAGCAGGCCUCUGGGCAGAGUGCCGACGUCAUAGACGUGUAAUUCCAAAGAGGUCAAGUUGGGUAAAUGCUUCAACUCCUCAAGGCUUGCAUUCUUAACCCCUUCCACCUCCACCUCCCAAUCGGCAAAGUCAAAGAGUUCACUAGCUAUAUAUAGUUCUUCUAAAUGGGAUAAUUUUGACAGUAUAUUUGGUGGAAUAACUUUUAGUGCAAAACAAUCUCUCAAAUCAAGCAACUUUAGCCAAGUCAAUUCACCUACUUCUACCGGCAACUUCUUAAUAUAAGAACCUCUUAAGCAAAGGAUUUCUAGUUUCUUCAAGUCUCCUACAACACUUAUAUCAGGCAAACUGCAGCGACACAAACUCAGUGUUCGAAGGUUUGACAGGAGACCAAGUGAUGGAGGCAGUGACCGUAUGUAAGUCAAGUUUACAACUCUGACCUCGAUCAUGCUCUUGAAAAGGUUGUCUGGAAUUGUUACUGGUGAGGUUUCGCAAGGAUCAUCACUAAUAAAAAGAAGUUCGAGCUGAGGACAUUCCAGUACUUUAGGAAGCAAAUUAGGCUUGAUAUCAUGUAUGACGAUUGAAGUGCAAUGCUUUAUUGCACUUCCGUCUGACCAUUCCCUGCAACCAUCAACCUGCUCAUUUGUAGCAGUAAACACAUUUCGUUCAGUAGAUGCAAUUGAUAUGGCGACAUCGCGAACUACAUCAUGCAUAGAAAACAACUCUUUCUUCUGGCUUAUAUGGUCAAGCAACAUACAAGAAGCUUUGAGUGUGCGCACCAAUGUAUGUACUCGAUUUCGUGCUGCUUCCAUCUUAUUCACACCUUGAAAUAAACUCAAUCCCAUACCACACAUUAACAGUUCGUCAAUAGAUGCUAUGGCUGUAUAUCCUAUUAGCAAAAAGAUGUUCUUCAGCUCCUCCCCUACCAAUUUGUCGUAACUCAACUUUAUGGCUUUAUAUGCAUCUGGCUGUACAUGCUUAAAAUUCGAUGAAGA
rnacentral:lncRNA from 1 species